AGGUAACUUCUUAUCUCUCUUGUAUAAUUUACUAUUGUAAUUGUACAAAACUUGAUUUUAAUAUUACGAAGUUUCCUCUUGUUUUUGUAUUUGUUCGGUUUAUUUUUCUUUGACAUGAUAAUAUAAAGUAUGUUAGAAUAUUUUGGUUUUCGUUAGAUUUAGUAAAAAAUUCCGUAACAUUUCAUACUCUAUUGUAUGUUAACUAAUUAUCGGACACAGUGUUAUUUUCAUAUUUUGAAGCCUUAGUUAUGAUACAUGUCUAGGUUGGAACAACGACGCCAUUCACCAUAUGUGAGAAAUAUUAAUAUUAUAGUUUUUCUUAUUUAGAUGCUAAAUCAUUAUCCUAAAGUUAAUAAAAGAGUUUAUUAUCUUUUUUUAAAAAAAAAUUUUGCCCUUAUCAAAUGCAAUGAACAAACGAAAAAAAAAAAGAUACAGUAGUCUAUUAAAUUUAUAAUAUUUUUAACAACCAUAUGAGUUGGUUCUACUAUGUUGACACGGUUAGGCAUUUGAAAAUUAACAUAUUGCAUGGAAAUUGUGGACAGUGGAGUAGUUAAAUGUUAAUAAAAAAUAUAUAUAAUUACGGGGUAAUGAUUUCUACUAGUGAUAUAUUUUCUUUUUAUAAAAAAAAAAUAAAAGAAAAAUAACUCAACCACUAGGUUCAUUAAAUUCCAGACAAAAUUUGAUGCAUCUUGAGCCAUUAAUCAUUUCUUUGGUCAACAUUCUUGAUCAGCCUGAAUUGAUACAGGAAACAGUUACACAUACAAUGACAUGUAAAAAGGUCAUUUUGUUAUUUAAAUGUAAAGUGAGUUUUGGGUUCAAGUAUGGUGUAAAUAUUUAGAACCAUAAGUUUGAAAUUAGAAUUUGCUUUACUGGAUGUGAUAACUAAUUUUCUUCUAUAACCUUGCAUGGAGGUUUCAUUUCUAAUCCAUUUGCAUUAAAUGUGAUCAGGUGUUUGAAUCAUAGUGGAGUCAAGGUUCUAAUGAGUCAUGGUAUAUUGGUGUCUCAAAAUUAAUUAACGCCUAUGCCUUUAAUUAUUAAUAUAAGGUAAAAUAAAAUGGGUUGCAGACUUAUUCAAGACCCAUCAUAUCUGAUAAAUUAAAAGAGAAGAAAAACCUAUUGUAAGGGAAUGAACUUGUAAAAUAAUGAGUUAUGUUCUUAUCUUAUAAAUAAUUAAUAAUUUAAUAUACAAGUGAAAACUAACGAUAAAGUUGGAAAGCUCUGCUACCGACCAUUCAUUAUAAUAAAAUUUAACUUACUAUUUGAAGCCAAUUUAGUUGGGUUUGACAGAUUCUAAACCUAUUAGAUGCUUACUUAGAAUUGGGGAAAAUAGAAACGAUCCAUAAAUGUCUCAAAGGCACGAGAGAUAUAUCCAAACCCGUGGCAUGAUCGAAAAGCGCUGCUGCCGGUAAGCCACACAUUAAUAUAAUUAAAAAAUUCAAAAAUAAAUAAAAGCAGAAUAGAAAUAAAUUUUAUGAUAACAAAAGUUACAAAUAUCUAAAAGAUUAAUUUAAGCCAUACACAAGUCAUUAAAGCGACCGUGCUAAAACCACGGGACUCGAGGGGUGUCUCACACCUUCCCCUCGAUCAAUAGAAAUACUUAUCUAGAUUUCUGUAUUGCAGACCAAAAUUUAGAUUCAUUUCGUUUUGAAUAGGGAUUCAAUAAGGUGACUUGGAACACCCAAACUCAAUUCCAAGUGGCGACUCUAUAUAAUAAAUAAUCCCUUUUCAAAACGUCACUUUAAUUACAAAAACCUAUUUUCUCUAAAACUAACUCCGUAGCGGGGUUGUGACGGUAAAAAAUAGGGGUGUGACACUCCCCUAUAUACGCAGUACAUUCCCAAGUACUGAUCCAUAUAUACUUCUAUGUGCUAUAUUGUCUUAUAAUAUAGAUUCAGGUGCUCAGUCCCAGCCUCGGUUGUGAUUCCCGAGUACCUUUGUCUAUAUUUCUACAGUGGUGAGUCCUCAUGUUUUGAGGAUCUAUCUUUAGACAUUUCAGUAUUCGAGUGUUUAUGUUAUUUCUUUCAAUUCAGUUUGAAUCAGUUGGGGCCCUAUCCUAAUGGCUCUUAAGUUCAUGGAGUAGUGGAGGCUUUGUCAGACUAGUUAUUAGACUGUGGUUGUGUUGAGAUUUCCAAUUUUAUGGUCGUUUAGACCGAGUAUUACAUUUGUAUUUCCUUUCAUUUGAUAUGACAAUGCUAGUAUUUUGUAUAUUCCUUCUUGAAUGAGUUAUUAUGAGAAGUGAUAGGCUCAAAGGAUUAGCUUAGGGCUACUUUUUUCCCUAAGUACCGUGUGAAGUCCCGAUAGGUGAUUUUGGGUCAUUACAAUUAAGAUGAAUGUAAUAUUUGGGUUCAGAGUAGUUCUGAGUCUUACCUAGUUUCAGAAGUGAAGGAGAAGUGGGACAUGGAUUCUACUUUGGUCAAACUGAAAGAGUUAGUUAAAGACUAAAAAGUAGAGGUUUUCUCCUAAUAGAGCGAUGGCGUGUUGAGAUACCAGGGUAGAUUAUGUGUCCCUUGUACGGAUGAUCUGAAAUAGAGAAUUAUGGCUGAAGCGUAUUAUUCUAUUCAUCUCAGUGCUACCAAGAUAUAUCGCGAUUUGUGGGAAAUUUAUUGGUGGAGUGGUAUGAAUAAGGAUAUAGCAGAUUUUGUAGAAAAGUGUUCACCUUGUCAACAGGUUAAGGUAGAGCACCAAAGACCUAGUAGCACGUUAUAAGAGUUCUAUUUUCCCACUUGGAAGUGGGAAGAGGUGAAUAUAUAUUUUGUGACUGGUUUACCCGAAUUGCCUCGUCAUUAUGAUUCGAAUAGGUUAGUAUAGACAGAUUGACUAAGUCAGUGCAUUUCUUGCCAGUUCACACGUCUUAUACAACUGAAGACUAUGCAAUGUUGUAUAUCUAAGAGUUAGUCAGAUUUCAUAGAGUUCCAUUGUCUAUUAUUUUGAAUAGGGGUACUCAGUUCACUUCCUAGUUUUGGAGAGCAUUUUAGAAGGGUCUUGGCACCCAAAUCCAUCUUAGUUCACCUUUCUACCCUUAGACAGAUAGUCAAGCAGAGAGGACCAUCCAAACUCUAGAGGAUAGGUUAAUGGCGUGUGCUCUUGAUUUUAUAGGUAGUUGGGAUGAGCAUUUGCCAUUUAUUGAGUAUUUUUAUAAUAAUAGGUACCAUUCUAGUAUUCGGAUGGACCAGUUUGAGGCUAUGUAUGGGAUAAGAUAUACGUCCCCCAUAUGUUGGUUUGAAGUGGGUAAGGCCAGUUUGCUUGGUCCUGAUGCAGUAUAUGAAGCUAUGAAGAAAGUCAAGUUAAUUAGAGAAAGAUUGAAAAUAACCCAGAUUCAUCAGAAAUUGUAUGUGGAUAUAAGGAAGACAUCUUGAAUUUGAAGUUAGUGAUUUAGUGUAUCUGAAGAUUUCACCUAUGAAAGGGGUGAAGAGAUUUAGCAAGAAGGGAAAGCUCAGUCCCCGGUAUGUUGGCCCUUAUAGAAUUUUGAGUCGUGUUGGGAAAGUAGAUUAUUAGAUUGAGUUUCCCAUAGAUUUCUCAAUAGUUCAUCCUGUAUUCCACGUCUCUAUGCUUAAGAAGUGCAUCGGUGACCACCAUUGUAAUUCCUUUAGAAAGCUCAAAAAUUCAGAACAACUUUUCAUAUGAAGAGAUUCCAGUUGAGAUUUUAGAUCAUCAGAUUCGUAGACUAAGGAACAAAGAAGUUCCCUUGGUCAAAGUUAUUUGGAAAAAUGAGUCGGUUGAGGGGGCUACUUGGGAAGCAGAAGUAGAUAUGUGAGCCAAGUUCCCUCACCUUUUCUCUGCAAACUAAAAUGUAGCCGAAGGUAAUACCCUUUCUUGAUUCAGGUCCUUUCUAAUAAGAUAUUCACCAAUAUAGAUUUCCUCAUGUAAGUUCAUUCGCUCACCAAGUUACUCAGAAGCUCAGAAUGAUUUAGAUUUAGUUGUAUAGUUCAUUUCAGUUAUGCAUGCUAUCUUAUAUUCUCAUAUUUCUGAGAAAUUUCAACUUAACUAGCCAUAUUCGAGGAUGAAUGUUUCUAAGGAGGAGAUAUUAUAAUACCCCAUACUUUUUCUAGCUAAAAUCUAUCCCUAAGAUGUUAUGGGAUAGAUUACAAGAUGAAUAUUUUUUAAUUUGUGUGGAAUUCUUUAGAUUUGAACUUUUCAUGGUGUAGGAAAUCUAAUAAUCUUUCCAAUGAUAUAAUAUUCGCCUAAAUCCAAUAAGUGGGUAAGAAUUUAUUGCUAUUUUAAGUUCCAGUCACAAAACAUCAUCAUUUGGACCCUUAGCACAUAGCAGAGCAGUGUUAAUUCCUAAGUGUCAAUUUCCAGUGGCCCUUCACGAUAUUGGCGCAUCGUGGACAAAGACAAAUUCCCAAUUGUCCAAUUCCAGUAAAGGACUGCGAUAUUAGCGUGUCACACCAAGUGUGCAGGUCCUAUCUAAGGUCGAAAUACGAUACCACUACGUCGCAUCACCAACCAGUAUCCCAGUUGGCAUUUUCUAGUGGUUUGGCACGAUAGUGGCCCGUCGCACCAAGGCCAAAAAUUGGGACCCCAGUUUAGUUUUCUAGUUUUGGUUAUGAGUUAAAGUGGGGUAUUUUAGACUUUUCCCCAUCCCCCAAUCUAUCCAAACACAUGAUUAAAACCUUUUAAAAGCAUUAUAUUCAAAGUUUCAUCAGAAUUACUCUCAUCCAAAACCCUAGGCUUCAACAUUCAUCUCCAAGAAACUCAGGAAUCCACCAUCCUUUUUCCAGAUUGUUUCAAGAUUUAAGAUCCCUAGACUAAGAUCUUCAAGAAUCUUUGUUCAAGAGUACAAAUAGUAUCUCAAAAAUAAAUCUUAUUCAUUUAGUUCAUCAUUUAAGUUAUGUGGGGUUUGGACGAGGACAAUCCUUUCUUCCUUGUGCCCAAAAACUUGAUUUUUAUUAAAGAUUACGUGAUUCGCAAGUUAGGAUUGAUACCCAAUUCUUAUUAUUUUUUGUUUAUGAAAUUAUUGUUUUAUUUAAGGCUUCAAUUGCAAAAGAUUUACAUAUAUACAUGCUUGAAAUCAUAAGAUUUAUAUUAUGAGUUAUUUUCCACUAUUUUGAUUGAUAUUGUUGAUAGCUUCUAAGAUAAUUGUUGGGCAUGAAGUUUAAAUAUGAUUUUUAUGCAUCAAAGCUUUAUACUUUGAGUCCUAAACUACAAGUAUUGAGUUUACAAGGGGAUUAUGAUCUCAAGUUUUAUUGACAUGUUUUGAUAAGUGCUUUCAAGAGCAAAGAUUGGUCCUUUGAAACUAAGCUAAGACAAAGAAUCAACAAUUUUCACAUAGUUUGAGUUUUAAAGAAGAGAAGCAUAAUCAGUUUUAAUUAUAAACCCUUAUGCUAUUAUAAGGUGAAUUUCCUAAAGUUCUGAGCAUAGGAUGGAAGUAGUAUUUAGCACUGAGUUGGGUAUGAUUCCAAGGUCUCAUUUCCUAAAACAAAGUGCCACCGUAGGACUAAGAUUAUUUCCACUUAUGCGUGGAUGACUACAAUUGUGAUCACUCAAGUUAAGGUUAUAUUCCGAUGGUAAGGGUAGAACAACUCUCCCUAAUGUGGACAAUACGUUGGACUCCACUCAAAUAGUUUAUGUCAGUUAGAAGAAACUCCCAAUCCCAAAGUCUCUAAGUCCCAAAGCUUUUAAGUUUCAAAAGAAAAGAAUUAUAGAAAAUCUUUUAUAAGUCUUAAGUGUUUUGACUCACUAGAUUUACAAGUAUGAUUAGUUAUACAUGAUUUUAUAUAUCGAUAUUUUGUGAUAAUCAAGCUUAUAUGAGUCAUAUACAUCUACAUGCAUUUACUUUCUAAUUAUGAUGAUGUUUACUUGUGUGUUACACCUCUAUAUACUCAGUAUAUCCUCGAAGUGUUAAUCUACAUAUAUGUCUAUGUGCUACAAUGUCUUAUAAUGUAGAUUUAGGUGCUUUGUAUCAAUAGUGUGAGUAGUUCGAGCAUCUUUCUACAUUCCCACAGUUGGUGAGUUCUCAUGAUUAAAGGGCCUUCUUCUACAAAUUUCCUUCUUUUAUAGUGCUUGAGUAAUUUUUUUCAGUUUAGUCCAAGUCAGUUGGGGGUCUGUCCCAGUGGCUCUCUAGUUCUUUAUUAGUAGUAGAGGCUUGUCAGAAAAUGAGUUUAUUUAUAGGCUUUUAGUAUUUGUUUUUCAGACCUUAACUAUAGUUUAUUCAAUUUAGUUUUGGUAUAAUACAGUAUUAUUUCUUGGUUAGAUUAUCUUGAAGUAAGGUUCAAACUUAGUAGCAGGCUGAAAGGGUUAGCUUGAUGCUACUAGUAGCUUUGAGCAUCUUGUGACGUCUCGGGAUCAGAUUUUGGGGCAUUACACUACCCGAGAGUUCCAAGUGACACACAUGGUCUGCAUAAGAAUGCAUAUGGAUCCUUGUGUAACUUAUGGGCCGACCUAACAAUGCAUAGUGGGCUUUAGAAUGUUAAAGGGCUGCUUUGAAAUAUAAUUCUUAUUAAGGGUGUUUUAGUAAUUUUACCCUACUAUGUAGUAGACUAUAAAUAGCAACUUAUUAAGUUUAUUUCCCAUUAGCUUAUUAUUAACAUUGAAUGAACUUUCUCUUUUAAGAUAGUGUAGUGUACCUAGGGCAAGCAUAGAAUCACUUGUAUUGAAUUUUUGCAUAUAAAUAGGGGUUCUUGAGGAGAAUUGAUUUCCCUCUUAGGUUCUCAUAAUAACUUGGUGAUUGAUUAUACAUGUUUUAGGGGUCUUUGAGUUUGAUGGACUCUUAGGUUCUUACUUUUUUGUAGGUUCUUACUUUUAUGUAGCUUCUUAUGUCAAGUUAUAUAUCUUUACUUUUCUUGCUAUAUUGAAUUUUGUUUUGUGUAAGCUUGUAUUUUUUGAGAUUUUGUUUGGUUAGUCUUCAUCUCACCUAGGUCGAUUCUAUAUCAUUUGGUAUUAGAGCAAGUUUUGAUUUCAUUCCUACAAAAUCAAUCUUGGGUUGUUAUCUAGAUAAUCAACAAAAAAAUGAUAAAAAGAGAAAAAGUUACAGUUCAUGUUUUGGCCUUUCUUGAAUUUUUGAGUUUUAGAUUUCUGUGUCUUCUUGUUUUCCUAGUGUUUGAUCUUGAUUCCCUAACACUAAAAGUGUCUAGAUCUAGAAUUUGAGAUAUUUCUGGUUGAUUUGAUUCAUCCGUCAUUGUUGAUCUUGACUUGAAGAAACUUGAAGGUGGAUUUCAAAUUUUGGAAGGGUUUGGUUGAGAAUUUAGGCUUGAAAUCGUGAUAUUGGUGUUUUGGAGUUCAACAUAUGCUUGAAAAAUAUAAAAAUUAUCAAUUUUGAGGUCAUAUGCUUAAGGAUUACUUUUUAAUGUUCUUGGUGUUCUCUUCAUAAUCUUCAUAUAUUGUUGAAGAAGAAUAUUCAAAAAGUGAUUGUUUGAUCAUAAAAGUAGGUGAGAGAGAGUGUGGUACUUGUUUGAUCAAGCGAUAUCCCAAAGGAUAUUCCAAGUCAUCAAAAGAAAGAAAUAGUCCAAAAUAAUAAAAAGGGAAUAUCCUCAAAAGAAGAGGAUAAGGGAAAGUACAAGGAGGGAACCACAAAGAAAUUCAAACUCUUUUGAGAUUGAAGGAUGAAUUCAAAGGCUCCUUUUCAUUGAAUUUUCAGCCACAAAAAUCGAUUACCACACUCCAAAAGUUUAAGAUUGAUUGAAGUUUAAAUUGGAAAUAAGAAAUUCCAAAACGACAACCAACCAAUUAGAGGAUGCCAUGUCAUCAACCAUCAAAAAUAACCUUAUGCUUGAUUCUAAUGUUAGUUAGCAACUAGUAAUCACCUACUUAGUUGUGAAAUUGUUGUUUGUAUCCUUUUUUUUGUGUCAUCUUUCUUUGUUUGCUUUUUUUUCAUUUUUUAUUCAUUAUAGAUUCUUGGUUCAAGUUCGAAUGAUAUUUUUUUUUGAGUUCUUCAAACGAAAACCAAUUUUGGGCAAGAGUAGAAAUCAUCCCUCAACUCUUCAUGGAUUACAAGACAACAUUAAACACUUGUGAAGCCAAAUGUGAGGUAAUCAAAGGUGUGAGAGUGUUCUUAGGAUACUUUUGAGCUAACUAGUUUGUUGUUUUUGUUGUUGUCUGUUUUAGGUAUAAUCGUAAUGGAUGGAGAAAAAUCAAAAGCCAUGGAUAGUGAUGUUAAUAAUACUAUCUUGGCCACUUUUGAAGAUAUCAACGAAAAUCUUGAAAAGCUAUGCAAAAUGAUUAAUCCACCAAAUCCAAUUCCUUCAUUCCAAGCUCCACUUAACCAAAUGCCUCAACCUCUACCAAAUCCAAUUUCCCCAUUCCAAGCUCAAAUUAACCAAAACCAACCCAUCCAUGUAGAGGAAGAUGGUAGUGAGAAGAAAUUGGAGUUAGAUUAGAGUCUCUCUUAUUCAUUGAGGCACAUAGUGUGGAAGCCUUUGAAAGAGGAACUUUAUGAAGGAAAAAACCUUUUUGAUAAAAGGUUUUAUAUGAUGAAGAAUGUACGUUCCUUAGCCAUUGAUGGGAAGAAAAGAAUUAAUGUUGUGUAUUGUAACUUUGUUGAUCUCAUGGAUCUUCCCACACAAAGUCAUCACAAACCAUACAAACUCCAAUAAAAUAAUGAGGUUGAAUCUAAUACGGUCACCAAGAAAACUGUUGUUGAUUUAUAGUGUGCAAGUAUCGAGAUAAAGUGCUAUGUGAUUUAAUCCCUUGCGAGCUUGUCAUUUGUUGCUUAGUAAGCCAUGGGAGGAUGCAAGGUCAAUUCAAUACUAAGGGAAGUCCAACUAAUAUGUACUUGUAUUUGGGGCAAAAAAACACUAUCUUGAUCCAAUGACAACCGAGCAACUGAGUAAAGAAUGUGAGAUCAUGAGGGGAUUUCGGAAAGUAGUAAAGAUGGAGGAAGUUUUAAAGAGGGGGAUGGAAUUAACCCUUGAAAAAGGGAACAACAACAUGGCUCACGAACAAUAAGAAAUGACUAAGAUUGAUGAUCCAAGUGGUUGCUUGAAAAGUGUGGACAAUGAAUACCUAGUUGUCGGACUUGUCUGAACAAGUUCCUUGUUGCCUACUAACAAUGAUACUAUCAUUUUAUGUUUUAUCAACUAAUCUUUUGUACAGGUACAAGAAUGUAUAGUUCCAAAGGAGUAUACAAUAAAAGUUCCUUACGAACACAUGCUGGAUGAUCUAACAGAUCUCUCACCUAAGAAUCCCAACUUUGGUAAAAAAGAUGAAUAGAUGAUCCAAGGGAGAAGUCUUGAAAAACUCUCUUGUGAUAAGAGCUUCCCUAAGGAGUAGGUGGGCUUCCAUUAUUCACACCAACGUAAAGGUCAUACAUCAGCUACAAGGUAACAAUUCUAUCUCCUACACUCUUAUCAACUUAGAAUAUUAUUAUAGGGCUAAUGGUAGCCAAGUGGAUGUAUUUCGUGGUUUUCCUAAAAGUGAAUUGUAUGAGUCUUUCCUUUUUGAUACUCUUAGUAUUGCUAGGUUGAAUGAAGAUAAAAUACUUUUUGUAAGUAUGCAAGCACAAGUUGAGCCUAUAAAUGUCAAAAUUAAUUCUUCUUAAAAGAAUGAUUUGUGUUCGGCUAGUUCUAGCACUUAUAACAUGAAUAAGGUCAAAUUCUCUUAAAGCAAGAUGUCUUUUUCGACAAUUGUGAGAUCUCUUAUUGUAUGAAAACUAGUGAAGUGCAAGAUAAUGUGUUUAAAAGGAAGAUGGUAUGCCUAAGAUUCACUUGUAACCCUAUUUCUUUAAAUCCAUUAAGAGUAUAUGGUUUAUUGAAGAUUGUGUUAACCAUCCAAUUCUUAAAAGUGAUCUUCUACUUUUGGAAAACAAUAAGCAACUGGGUGAUGAUUACCUUGAUUAGCUUGAAUGUUUAAGAAACCCAAUUAGUUAUUGUUCUUUGUAAACUAAUUUUUAUUAUGAUACUUUGUAUGACACCCCACCCUUUCUGGAUAAAUAUGGGGAUGCAUUGCAUGACCUAUAUGACAGCUUAAGUUGUGGUCCCUUUGAUGAUAAUGGUGGUUUGUUUCUACUUGAGGAUUGCUUUUUUGAAAGGGAAGGUGAUAUUUUCUUAGCAAUUCCAUCAACUUAUUCUUUGUAUUUUUUAUAUAUUUAGCGUACUCAUGGUGAUGAACUUGAAACUAGUGAGUACAUGCAUGAGGACACUAUAGUUGAAGUUGACUUGUGUGACCCCUUUUUCUACCCUCUUCUUUCUCUUGAUAUUACUAAUGGUUGUAUAAAGGGUAUGCCUAAUUUUUAUAAUGGCAACAUAAGGUAAAGAGAGUAUGUCCUUGACCCAUAUACUCAGCUACUUCUCUUAUUUGACCUCGAUGACCUGGUGGGAUGUGGAAGUUGAUACAUAUCUACCUUGAUGCUUGGUCAAAAUGACAAGAAAUGUUUGAUUGUGAAUGUUUGUAUCCUACACUAUGAUGGAAAGUCUUUCUUGUAAAUUUACAAACCACUUGAUAAACCCAAGUUGUGCAUGAGGGGAAUUUCCAGCAAUGUUAUCACUAAAGAAAGAGAGUAAUAAAACGAACCAAGAGAGUUCACCCUUGAGUUUUUCAAUUCUUUAGCAAUAUAUCACAAAUUGUUGGUCAAGGAGAGAGUUACCAUUCUUUUUGACUUGGUUGUGAUGGGAGGACUUAUUCUCAAAGGCGGCCUCAUGAUUAAGGACCCUAGGGUAAUUUUGUCAUUGCCACUUUGUGAUAUUACUUAUGUAUUUGCAUCCAUAUUUGACACACUUGAGAUUAAGUUAUUUGGAACAAAACUUAUGGAUGACAAUUUAAAUUCUUGUUUAUGGAAGAAUCCAAGUAUGUUAAAGACUUCUUGUCACCUUUGUAAAGUUAACCAACUUGAAGUAUCUUGUGGGACUCUUGGGAGAAUUCUUACCAUCAUUAGUAGAGGGAAAAAAAGUUCUUUGGAGAACUACUUAUCUAGGAAUAGUUUAUUUCAUAGUAGGUUCUCUAUUCUCUCUAAUUCAAUGGCUCCAUUAAUAAAACUCCUUCCCUCGAGAAAUUAUCUGCUAUGUGCUUUCAAUGUCUCUUUUAUUUUUUUGUGUUCCUAUUUGUGAAUAUAUCUUUGAUAAGAAUACCGUCCAUAGUAUCUUUCUCUAUUACCUUUAUGCAUAUGAUACUGUUCAUGAUCAUGUUGAAUCGAUAUCAUAUAUGCUAAUGAAUUGAUUUGAAAGGAAAUUCAUGGUGUGCCUAAAUGAUUUGACUCAAUCCUUGGGUGUUUUUUAUGUUAAAACAAUAGAGGCCAAGGGAAUCCUUUUAGAUAAUAGCACCUUGGUGGAUCUUCCAUGUUUAAUUUAUUUCUAUACUAGCUCUUUGAUUAUGAUGAUGUCCAUGCUAGUCUUUGAUUUACCCUUUUUAGAGAAAGGAAGUUUCUUAGAUAUUGCAAUAGGUUGAGUAAUAAUGCUACAAGGAUCACUCUGGUUAUUGACUCCAUAAAACCCUUGUGGAAUUGUGAUCUAUUCGAGACAACACUCUUGAUUUGGUCCCUUAAAGAGAUAAGUAAAUAAUUGUGCCUUUUGGAUUUUAAGAAGAAGGUAUUCUUAACUUUGGGGGUUGUUGAUGCCAUUUUGACCAUUUUAAUUUCAUUAUAUCUUGGAUAUUUUUAUAGCUAGUUCCUUUGUUGCAUUUGUACUAAGCUUUUCAAGAGUAAAACAAAGGAUUCAUAGUUAUAUUUCAAGUGUGUACCACCUUGGAAUGAUGAUGUUAUUUGUUGUACUAACCCUAACCCUUAUUCCAUAAGGAUAUUAUGAUUGUUUAUCCUAUAUUUGGUUUUGCAAGGUGUUGAUUAAAGGUUGAAUCCUUUUUAAGAAAGGGAGGAUGAUACGAGCUAAAUGACCAUCAUAGCUUUUGAUUACAUCAUGCAAGGCCAACACGUGAAGAAUUCAAUUGUGGUCACAUUAAGGGUAUGAGAACAUGCAUGGGGGACCCAUUUUCAGCCCACAAUAGAGCAAUUUUAUGUGUGGAAGGUUGCUUGGGAGCUUGCCUUGAUGCCUACCUAAGAGUUUUAAGUGACACACAUGGGCUGCCCUACGAAUGCAUAUGCAUCCUUGUGUCACAUAUGGGAUGACCCACUAAUGUAUAGUGGGAUUUGGAGUGUUAACGGGCAACUUUGGAGUGUAAUUCUCAUUAAGAUUGUUUUAGUAAACCCCUUGAUGUUGUAUACUAUAAAUAGCCACUUAUUAGGUUUAUUUUUCAUUAGCUUAUUAUUGAAAUUGAGUGAACUUUUCUUUUAUGAGAGAGUGUAGUGUAACUAGGGCAAGUGUGGAAUCAGUUGUACUAAAUUUUGUCUUAGAAAUGGGGGUUCUUAAGGAGAAUUUGUUUUUGUCUUUGGUUCACGUAAGAACUUGGUGUUUGAUUCAAUAUAUUAUAGGGUUCUUUGAGUUUGAUACACUCUUAGGUUCUUACUUCUUUGUAGCUUCUUAUGUCAGGUUAUCUAUCUUUACUUUUCAUUUUAUGUUGAAUUCAUUUUUCUCUUAGCUUGCAUUAUUUGAGUUUUUUGUUUUCCUUACUCAACAUCUUUUAUAAAAUUCCUAAGAGAAUGUUUUUACUUAUUGUUGAACUUUCAUUGGAACUAUUGCAUGCUAUGGUUUUUUAAUGAAACCCUAAACAAAUUUUUAUGGUUUAUCAUGGUUUAAUUGGUUUUAAUGAUAUAAAUGGUUUAAAGGUUUUGGAAUGAUUUUAAAUGGUAUGAAUGGUGUAAAUAUUUUGGAGUGGUUAAAUUUUAAAUCCUUGAUGGCUAUUAAAUUAAUUUGAAUAAAAACUUUGCGGGGUAUAUGGGAAUCUCCAAGUGAGUGAAUUAAUGAAAUUGGUUUGAAUGUUGAAUAUAUUGUGAGGUACGGGAGAAUUACCCAAACAAAACUUAAUAAUUAAAUACUUGUGAGUUAUAAGGGAAUCCCCCAACUGAUCAUAAUAAUGAUGUACUUACGGGGUGCAUGGGAAUCCCCCAAGUAAACUAAAUAAUGUAAAAAAUAGGGUACAUUUGAAUCCCUUAAGGUUUGCUUAGGACAUUACGUGCAAGCUGUAGUCGGUAUGAAAAUAUCACUUAUAAUAGCCUUUAUUGAAAAUUGAUGAAAUAAUAGUUUGGUUGGAUGGUAAUUGUUUUAAUUUGGUAAUAAUGGUGGGGUGUGAUAGCUAACCGUGAAGGUUGGAGUCCAAGUGAUGAACACUAGAAACUCAUUUUUUUUUGACAUGGGAUAGGUCAUGAUUACCUCAUAUAUGAUAAGUUUCGGUUACACGAUAAUCCCUUAAGUACAUUUGUACAUAUGUAUCAUAGAGAAAGAAGGGUACUUGGGAAUCUCUUACUUCCAUGGUAUCUUCGGUUCAUACGGCUACACGUAUUGGGGCUCGUUCAGUGGGUUACACUGGACACAUAUAACCCAUCCGUGGUUCUGUGAUGGUUAAGCUUCAUAUACCUAAGUUAAUUAUUCUAAAUUAAUGCUAAACCCUUUUCCCUUUCCCGGCAUGGUUAUAUAUUUAUACAUGUAAUAUUGUUUCUAUGCAUUUGGUUUGUUCACUUUGUUUUAGAGGUUUGCAUUAUUUUAUCUUAGGUGCAUGCUAUCUUUCACUGGCUAAGCCAUCUUUGGGAGGCUGAAUCCCUAUGCAAUGUAGGAAUCGGCCAUACUACUCCUCCUUCUUAGUGAUUGGAUUCGAGGACAAUUAGUGUUACUUGAAGUGAUGAGCUUUCAUAGUUCUGAAAGCAUCUUGUUAACCUCAUGGAUCUCUAUAGAUACUUUUGUUUUCUCAUAGACUUUAAGUUUUUGGCUAUGGCCAGGGGCAUGUCUAAACUUAAUACUCUUUUUAUCGACAAUUGUUGACUUAGGUAUGGAUUGAUUAUGUUAUAUAUAUUUACAUUAUAUUAUCGUCAUAGUUUUAGCUUAUGAUUUGGGCUUGGUUAUAGGUUUAGUUAUUGGAUGGUUUAACUUGUUGGGGUGGUCAUGGUUAUAGACCUAUCCCAAAGUUUGGGAUCAUACAUUAUACUAUCUUGUCAUAUGUAUAGAGUUCAUCCAACUCAGGGUACAAGAGGGUUGGUUGACUUGGUUAUUAGAGAUGGUCUCUGGUCCUGGUUAGACUAGAGAUUGCCCAUUAUGACAAGGCCCUAGUUCAGGUCCUGUCAUGUUGUUAUCAGAACCAUGGUUUUGGUCUUAUGUGGUGUUCACAAAGUUAUGACAACUAGAGUAUUUCAUAUUGUUGUGUUAUGUAGAAUACGUAUAAUCAAGAGGCUAAGCAACAUUUAAGAAUGUUUCACUCUCUUGUUGCUAUAUGUUUGGGCUAUGGAGUCUAAGGUCUUGAACUCUUCUCUUAAUCUCUUUUGGUUUAAUUUUUAGAUCAUGUCCUUUCAGUGGUUUAAAGUUUGUGGAAACUCACAUGUCUCACAUGAGGAUGACAUGGAUAGAUCUAUUCAAAAUCAUGGGGCACAGACCCAAUCAAGGGUUACAAUUUGUGGUUUUCCCGUGGAGUCCCACCAGUCUCCACUUAUCCUAUUUUGAAAGUUGACCCUCAUGCUCACUUACAUAAAAGAGAGUUUAUCAAUUUCAAGUUACAUUAUUUUAUUAUACUGUUAGUCCAGAUUGUAACAACUAUAUCACUCCAGUCCAAUCCAAUUGGUAUGGGGGAGAAUAAGGCAUGGUUUGGAAAUAUGUAGGGUAAGAGGUCUUGUUUUCUGGAUAAAAGGGAUGCCAAAAUAAUGGUGAUAUGUCAUCCAAGAGGAAGAGUUGGGUGGGUCCUAACUCGUGUUUUAUGGCUUGUCCUCUAUACCCUAAUCCAUUGUGAGGUAGACAUUUUUAGAUUGGUAAUUCUUCUAGGGCCCAAGGUGCCAUAUCUUGGGCCAGUGGGACCCAAUCCACCACCCUUUUUGUAGAUUUUAUGGUCAGUUGCACCAUGGUUAUUGGGAUUAAGGGAUGAAUUGGUGUUUUAGUUGCAAUUAACUGGGUCACAUGUAAUGAAAGUAUCCUAUAAUGAUUGUCGCUAAGCAAAUAGGGUAUCGAUUGACACUUCUCUAACUGUUACACCAAGGGAUGUUGCUUUAAGUUCUAACAUUGAUUGAGAUCAUCUCAAUGACUUCACUAUCCCUUAGGAUUCUAAGACAUAUUCUGAUGCUGACACUGAUAUGUUAGAAAAAACUCUUUUUUGUGAUGUGUGUAUGGUUUAAAUUGUUUUGGGUACCCUCACUCUUUGUGACCUCAUUUGUGGUUGUGUAUUUUGUUUUUGGUCUGAUGGUUGUUUUGGAUUCUUUUCUUUUUAUUUCUACCCUACUAGGUGACUCCAUAAUUUCUAAAAGAGUCUAUGGGUGUAUGUGGUAUCUCUUAGUCUUAGUGGAUUAGUUUAACUCAGAUAUGGUGGAUUUUGAUGUCAUUUGAGGGAUGGAUUAAUUAUAAUUAUGCUAUGUAUUAUUAGAUUAUCGGAUCCAUAAUGUUGUCAUUAGACUACAUGGUGAGUCAGUUAAGGAAUAGGAGGAUGGUUUCAUUCCUUAAAUAUUAAGGUAAAGGUUACACGAUAUCAUAAAACUCGUAGAUUGGUGUCCAAGAGGUGUUUCUACCAUUUAGUCUGGGUUUAAGGUUCUAACUCAGAAUGUCUUUUUGUUUAUUCAAUUUUGGAGGUGCGUGAAUUCCCUGAGGUAUUAUUGACGACUCACAUGGUGUCUUUACAAUAUAAAAGUUGGUUUGGGAUCGGUCUGGUUUUGAAAACUUUCCCAAUUUCUAUUUUUUCUUUAUAGAAUGGAUGUGGUUGAGUUCAUGGAGUGUAAGGGGAAAAUUAAUGGAUCUCUUAGAUAAAGGUUUCAUUAGUUCUAGUGUUGCAUACUUUCUUGUGGAGCUUAUGCCUAAGGUUCACAUUUUGCAUUCGCCUUGUUCAUUAUGUAUAAGUCUUGACUUUAGAUUACAUUACCUAUGAUAUAUGUUGUUGUGUUUCUCUUGGUGUCCAAUCCUAAGGACUGCUUUUAUGGUAUAGUUAUUCCAGGGUGAUUCUUCAUUAUUGUUUAUGUGGUUUCUAUGAAGUACUUAGUGCCUAUGAUGUCAGGUCUUAUUUCUAGGGUCUUACAAGGGUGGCAUGGAUAAUUCUUACAAUUUGAUUCCUUAAUGACCCUUCAUAUAAUUAGGGUGGUAGUAUCUUGGAAAGCAUGGUAGUGUUUAGAAAAGGAGGAAUAUAGAAGUCCCUAAGUAUGGGAGAGUCUAGGGUGGCUACUAGAGUUAAGGUUUUGGAGGGAGAUGUAAGGUUGUUGUCAUGAAAUAUGGUUGGGAAAAGGAUUGGUGGUGAAAAUCUUUGUGAAAGUUUUAAGGGGUGCUAGAUAUUUUGAAGUAUAGAUAAUGCCACGAUUACAUAGGUGGUAGACUUAAAUAUUGUGAUUGGUAGAUAUACCAAUGAUUGUGUUGGGUACUUAAGAGGCUUGGGGAGGCAUGAUUUAUGAAUUGUUUUCAAUGCAUAAUUAUUUUAUGGUUUUGGGUUUUCAAAUAUAUGUUGGUAUGUUUGUAUUAAAUGAUUGGUUAUGGUUUUUCCAUGUCUUUUAUGUAUAGUUUUCAUAUUAAAAUAUUGAUAGAGAAGAGUAAUGUUUUGAGAUAGAUGUAAGGAGUAGAGCCUGACUGCUCAAGUUAACUAUUUCUUACUUGAAUAGGCUUGAACAAGGAAGUAGUGCAUAGUUAGACUCAGGCUCUCGUACUUGGACUAUCACUUUUGCAUGAUUUCUAUUCACUGAGUACUCCAUGUGGUAAUAUCGAGGUAAGGUGUAUAUGGUCCCUUGUUGGUUUUUUCUUUUGGGUAGUAUUGGUAUCUCUGAUCUUUUACUCUUUAAGGAGGUCCCGAUGAGGAUCUUUGGUUGGUAAGUUCACCAGUUGCAAACAAAAAUGUAUGGCUUUGGUGAAGGUUCUAUGGUGGAACUAAAAGAUUAAGGAAGCCAUUUAGGAUGCAGAAUGGGACAUGCAGUUCAAGUAUCUGCAAUGGCUCUUUCAUUCCAAAAACUAGUGCGUAAGGUAUGCAUUCUUUGGCUUAUCUUAGUUUUAUAACAUUGAAAAAGAAAAGGAAUGGCUUCUAUUGCAUCUUUGUCUUUAACUUAUUUAGAGGUCCGAAUUGAGGUAUUGCGGUGUAAAUCAUACAUGGGAUAAGGGGUGAUGAUCUCAUCUUGAUUUAUAUCUUCGUCUUCUAAAUUUUGGUAGAGCGAGUUUUAUGGGUGUUAAUGUGUUAUCUUGUGCUUGUUCUUACCCUUACCUACUCGAGGAUGAAUGAUCCUAAGUAGGGGAGAAUGAAACACCCUAAACCUUGGACCUUAAAAAAAUUCAUGGGUGUUGGACACUUUGUCCAUGGUAUGACUCAUGGGUACCUAUCGUACCCUAAGAUACUGUUUGGGAUUUCUCUCUCGUAUGUUACGCAGUGUGUUAUAGGUUGGUUUCUUCCCAAGGAAUGACUCUGCAUCAUACUAGUCGUAUGGAAAGAUGCGAGAUGUAUGAUGCCAAGUCAUGUAAAGCUAGAGGUCUAGUCUAGUAGAAUCUUUCCAAGAUACUAUUUAUGGGUUCUUUUUGUAUCCUAAGAUACAACAUAGACCUAAGUGGUCAUAUAAUGGUUAGUAUAGGGGACCAUGGUGUGGUCUAUGGUACAAGUUAGGGUAUCACUCAUACCCUAGGUUAUGGCUAAGAGGAUAGUCCAGAUAUUUCCCACCUCAAACCUUUAUGUCCCAACGUUACAUAACCCUUGUUGGCCUCCCAUAAAACACUUUGAAGAAUAGAAAUACUUCAAAAUACUAUCUCAAGCUCACUUUUGAAGAUUGGAGUCUAGGGUUUGUACAAGUGUUCUUCGAAGGGCUCAAGACUUAAGUUUCUCUUUGAAAUCUUCUGGUUUAAGGUAUGUAUUCUUCCCUAGUUGUUAAUUCCAAUUAAAGGCUUAUUUUAAUGUAUUUUAAACAUUGAUUAUGGAUUAUGAAUGGUUGAUUUGGAAACAUAUGUUGAGGGUUUUGGCACAUAUUGUUGAAUGUUGGUUUAAAUUGUCUUUUCACAUGUUUUUGUGUGAUGGCUUGCUUAUGUGGGUACUUGUUGGUUAUAUUUUAAGAAAUGUGCAAUGGUUAACCCAAAAUUUGAUUGUUUAUGCUUGGGUUUUGGUCUUCGUAAAGGUAUGCCCUCAAUAUUUUUGAUAAAAUUCCAAAGAGAAUUUUAAUACUCUAUUGUUGAACUUUCAUUGGAACUAUUGCAUGGAAUGGUUUGGUAAUGCUACUCGAAAUUGAUUUGGAUAAUUUUACAUGGUUUAAAUGGAUUUAGUGGUAUAAAUCAUUUAAAGGUUUUGAAUGGUUUUAAAUGGUAUGAAUGGCGUCAAUAGUUUUGAGUGGUUAAAUGGUAAAGCCUUGAUGUCUAUGAAAUUGAUUUGAAUUAAAACAUUGCGAGGUACAUAAGACACCCCAAGUGAGCGAAUUGAUGAAAUGGUUUGAAUGUUGAAUGUAUUGUGGGGUACAAGGUAGUCCCCCAAUCAAUUGUUAAUAAUAAAAUACUCGUAGGUUACAUGGAAAUCCCCCAAGUGAGCUUAAUAAUGAUGUACUUUUUGGGUACAUGGGAAUCCCCCAAGUAAACUAAAUAAUGUAACCAAUAGGGUACAUCAGAAUCCCCUAAGGUUUGAUACGGAUAUUACUUGCAAGUUAUAGUUGGUAUGACGAUACAACUAAUAAUAGUCUUUAUUCAAAAAAAAUUGAAUAACAGUUUGGUUGGAUGGUAAUGGUUUUUUAUUUGGAAAUAAUGGUGGUGCGUGAUAGCUAAUUAUGAAGAUGGGAGUCUUUAGGACAAACUCUGGAAACUCAUGUUUGCAAAAAUGAGGAUAGUCUAUGACGACGUUAUAUAUGAUAUUUAUGGAUUACACGGGAAUCCACUAUGUACAUUUAUACAUAUGUAUAAUGGAGAGAAAAGGGUAUUUAGGAAUCCCCUACUCCUAUGGUAUCUAUGGUUCAUACGACUACACGCAUCGGGGCCCCUUCAGGGGUUAUACUAGACCUAUAUAGCUUAUAGGUGGUUCUAGGACAAUUAAUCUUCACAUACCUAGUUUAAUGGUUUUAAAGGCAUGCUAAACCCGAUUCCCUUUCCCGACAUGGUUCUAUAUAUAAGUAUAUAUUUAUAUGGUUUGUAUGCAUAUGGUUGGUUUACUUGGUUUUUAAGGUUGACAUUAUUUUAAACUUAUCUUUGGGAUGUUGUAUCCCCAGGCGAUGCCAGAAUCGGCUAUACUACUAUUGCUCAUUUAUUAGAUUCGGGGAAAGACGACAUUUGAUUGAACUGGUGAGCUUCCAUACUUCGUAAGGCAUCAAUUUCACCUCAUGGAUCUCCAUAUAUACUUUUGUCUUCUCAUAGACUUUAAGUUUUUUGUUAUGAUCGGGGGAAUGUCCUGACUUAAUACUCUUUGGUUUUGGCUUAUAGUCAUUGUAUGGACAACUGUGGACUUGUGUAUGGAUUGACUAUGUUAUAUAUAUUUACCUUGGAUUAUGGUUUGGGCUUGGUUAUACUGUUUGUUAUUGGGUGGUUUGACUUGCUUGGAUUGUCAUUGUUAUAUAUCUAUCACAAAGUCUUGGAUCGUGCAUUACACUAUCUUGUCAUAUGUGCAGAGUUUAUCUGACUCAAGGUACAUAAUAGUUGGUUGACUUGGGUAUUAGGGUUGGUCUCCGGUCCAAGUUGGACUUGAGAUUUCCCAUUAUGAUGAGGCCUCAGUUUGGGUCCUUUCAAUUUCAUCAACAUCAGUGUCAUUUAAGUAAGGAGUAGGACUUAGCACCGAGUAAAUGCAGGGAUGAAGGCUCAACCGCCAGUUGAGGACUAAGACUUUUAGUAGAAAUCCCUAAGUUCCAUAACUACAUUGCCAACAUAGGUUAUGAGGGAUGGCAUGCUAGUUGAGGACAGACACCCUAAUAGGAGUAAAAUUUAAGUAGACGAGUGAUACCCUAGUCAUUUGGACAUCAGUUUAGUUGAUCCACACACACUAGUAUUGGUAUUGUUGGUAAACUACCAAUACCAUUUCAAUUGGGUCAUAGAUUAGACCCCUAUUACCUUUGAUUGGGGCAUGCCGGUUAAUGUUCGCUCCUAUAUUUCCCUAUUCAGUAUUCAAAUUAUGUUCAGUUCAUGUUUUUUUAACCAAGUGUUCAACAUAUCCAUUAUUUAGUUAUAUUCAUAUUAUUUUACUAGAUGUUUGUUGUUGGUCUUGCAUUCGAUUUUCAUGUUUAUGCAUUCAUUCUCUGUAUAUAUGUAUCUCUCCUAGUUCUCAUAUACCUAUACUUUUAAUUUAAUAAUCGCACACUUUUUUUUACACUAUGUGUCUUACAACAGAGGUUCAGACGCUCAGUUCCCAGCUCGCACUUAGUUCGUUCCUCUGCCACUCAACUGCAGCAUUGGUGUGGCCUCAUUAAUCGAGGACUAUUAUUUUAUUAGUUGUUCAUCCCAGGUUUUUUACUUUAUGCUAUUUCAGUAUUUAGAGUUAGUUGGGUGCCUAUCUUAACAAAUCAUCAUGUUUAGAGUUUUUCAGAUAGUUAGUAAGUUAGACAUGCUUUUCAGUGAUGUAUUUCAGUUACCUAUGAUAUAGUUUUCAAUUAUCAAAUACUUUCAAAUGACUUCUGCACAAUGCUUUGUUGCCUUCUUUCAGUAUUUACAGUUUGUGCCAGAUCAUGGGUUAGCUUGCGGUCACUUGUAACCUUAAGCACCAUGUUACAACUGGGGGUAGCCUCGGGUCGUGACACACUUUGACACAUCUAAAUAGGCCAAACUACUCAUAAUUACCACUUUCUAUCUCAAUGCGCCUUACACAACAUUGGUCUUACCCUGAUGAUACUGGAUGAUCACAUCGUAAUCCUUCAUUAAGUCCAUCUACUGCCUCCUUCAUCAAAUUUCGAUCCCUUUAUGUGAACACAUAUUGUAGGAUAUGGUGGUCUGUUAAUACCUUACACUUGACACCAUAAUCUAGUGUCUCAAAGUAUUAAGUGCAAACAUCAUCACUGCCAAAUCCAAGUCCUAUGUUAGGUAAUCCUUUUCAUAAUCCUUCAACUGCCUCAAAGCAUAAGCAAUGAUAGUCCCAUCAUACAUCAAUGCAGUAUCCAAACCCAAGAGUGAAGCAUCACAAAAUGCAAUAAAAUCCUUAUCUUUAAUUGUAAAUGAAAGAAUAGGAGUUGUAUUCAAACUGACUUAAGCUUUUGGAAGCUCUCCUCACAAUAAUUCAACCAUACAAAUGGCACCUCUUUCUAGGUCAAACUUUUCGAGUGAGUAGAAAAAUGCAAAAAUUUUAAAAAACCUAAAAUAGUAAAAAGCAAUACCCAUGAUUCUUCUACCCAAAAUCAUAGACCUAGGUCGUACCCACCACUUAACCACCUAAAUAUUUAGAGGAUCUACCAUCACCCUUAGAGGCUGCGUGCUUUGAGAAGGAAAUCGAAGACAGCCAAAAUUCAUAUUCUGACAAGUCUCCAUCUAAUUGAUUCUCCUUGAAAAUUCCCAAGACAAUGCGAAUAUGAACUUUAAGUUCCUCCUUUCUCUUGGAGUAAACCAAAAUGUCAUUAUAAAAGCUAUCAUAAAAGAAUCCUAGAAAGACUUGAAAAUACCAUUGGUCAAGAUCAUAAAGGCUUCUAAAACAUUGAACAACCCAAAAGACAUAAAUAGGAACUCAUAAUGCCCAUACCGAGUCCUAAAAAUUUUCACACAUAUCUUCUCGGGCAUAAUUUUUUAUUGAUGGUAACCCAACCUCAAGUCAAUCUCGGAGAAUAUCGAAUGACCGUUCAACUAGUCAAAAAGAUUAUUUGUAUGAGGAAAGAGAUACAUAUUCUUGAUGGUGAUGUUGUUACACUAUCUAUAAUCAGUUCACAUUGUCAUCCUACUAUCUUUAUUUUUAAUUAACAACAAUGGAGCACCCCAAGGUAAAGAACGAGGAUGGAUAAAUCCCUUCUUAAGGAGUUCCUGUAACUGAGUUUUAAGUUCCCUCAUUUCCGACAUAACUAUACGAUAAAUAAGAAUAUAUAUUGGACGAGUGUUCAGCUCCAAAAAAUACAAAAAUCAAUAUCUAUAUUUGGAGGCAUACCUGGGAAAUUCGCCAACCCUCUUCAAGACUAUGUACCGGCUGAGAUAUCGCAAACUAAGCUUCCCCUUCUUUACAAAUCGCUUUACUCUCUAUAUGAAAGAUACCUUCAAGAACACUCAAUCUUCAAACUCAAACUUUAACUGCAUAUGCCUCAUAUCUACCUAGGACUUUUGGCAACUUAUGGCAACUUUAAGUCUAGCUCGAAUCACCUUGACCUUCCCCAUCGCCUAAUUAACCAAAUUCGAGCCAAACAUCUUAGCCUACCCAAUUUCAAAUCACCCAAUUAUAGAUCUACACCUUUUAACAUACAAUGCCUCUGAUGGAUCCAUCACAAUUCUAGAGUGGUUGAUAUUAUUAUAUGUAAACUCUUUAAGAGGCUAAUGAUUAACCCAACACCACAAUAGUAAAUCACGCAAUCCCAAAGCACAUCUUCCAAUGUCUAAAUUAUUGUUUCCGCUUGCCCAUCCGACUAUGGGUGGAAAGUAGUACUAAGGCUCACCAUAGUUCCAAUAUCUCUUUGAAACAAAUGACAAAAAUGCAAUGAGAACUGAGUACUGCAAUCUAACAUGAUAGAAACAGGUGCCCCAUGAAUCUUUACAAAUUCUAGGAGGAAGAACCUCUCAUAAUCCUCUGACAAAUAAUUUGUCCUCACUGGAAAGAAUUGAGGAGACUUAGUUAUCCUAUCCACAAUAACCCAAAUUAAAUUAAACAGGUUCCGAGACCAAGGAAGAACACUGAUGAAAUCUAUAUUAAUUACCUCUCAUUUCCACACCGACAUUUUAAUAUAUUGAGUUAACCCUUCGGGCCUCAAGUGCUAAACCUUCACUUGUUGAUACACCAUAUCACUCCACAUUUUUUCACAAAUAAAUAUCCUUAAGAUCAUGAUACAUCUUUGUUUAUUGAGGAUGAAAUACAUAACAUGAGUCAUGAUCCUUACCAAAGAUCCUCUAUCUCAACCCAUCUACAUCAGGAACACAUAAUCUGCCUUGGUAGCUCAAGAUACCACAACACCAAUCUCAAAAGCAACAACUUUUUUCUCUCCACAUCUCCCUGAAUCUUCAUUAAUAAAUGAUUUAUUAUCUAUUCUCCUAUGUUUAAACAGCAAAGGAUGACUUCUCCACCUCUUACACAAACCAACACCCCUCCUCAGAGCCAAAGAGGUGAACUCUAAGGUUUAGCAAAUAUAGAAUAUCUUUUACCAACUCUUACUUAUGCUUAUCCACAUGAGCUAGGCUCCCCAUAGAUACACUAUAGGAUGGAUAAAACCCUUGUCAAAGAGGUAUUUCAACUGCUUCUUCAACUUAGCUGAAGCCAUUAUAUAUAAAGGGAUAGAGAUUGGAUGAGUGUCUAGAAUAAGGUCAAUCCUAAAAUUAAUUUCCUUAUCGGGAAGGAUACCAGGAAUAUCAUCAAGACAAAUCUCAUGGAAUUCAUUAACCAUUAGAACAAAUCUUGGUUAUCUUCUCCCCUCACUCUCAUUCACAUUCGAUGAUGAAUGUUCUCAAGGGGGAGAUAUUGUAAUACCCCAUAGUUUUUCUUACCUUAAAAUCAUCUCAAGAAUGUUAGAAGCUUUCUUUGAAAUAUGAAUCCAUUUUUUAAAAUGUGUUAUUUUUGAAGUUUUCACUUACUGUCACUUGGGAAAUUGAAUCAGCGUUCCAACAAUGCCAAUUUCAUCAAAAUCCGACAUCGAAAGAGAAAGUUAUGGCCAAAAUAUGGAAGGUAGUAAAGUCGCCCAGAUACAACGGUGAGGAUGAUGGACCAUCGCACACGACCAUCAUAGCAUGGUAUUGGGGACUACCUUCUACCUAGGAGAGACAGUCCAGGCCGACAAGCUGUCAGACUAGAAACGGACCGUUGCUCAGGCCGUUGCAAGGAAAACUGUGAGGCCACCUUCAGGAUAAGGUACGGCGGCGAGGUUGACAGACCUUUGAACUUGUAAUGGACCACUUCCCAAGCCAUCGCAGGUCUCAUUUAGUUGUUUUUUAAGUUGUUUUAACAGGGGUAUUUUGGUCAUUUAUCACCCACUUAUUUAUACCCAGUUAUAUCCAAUUUUUGCCCAUUUGUUCAUUAUUAUUUCAACAACAACAUUAGGGUUUCUCUUUGAAAUAAAUUUCCAAGAACAAGAAUCCAAAUAUACUCCAAUAAACUAAGAGAUUAAAAUCCCUCAAGUUCAAGAACAACAAGAAAACUCAACCCAGGUAUGCAUAGUGUCAUUUAUCGACUCCUUUCAUCCAUUUAGUCCAAGAAUCCCAUUUCCAACUUCAAGUUAUGGAUUUUAUUUAUGAUUUCAUGAUUGGUUUAUUCUUGUUCACGUUGAUAAAUGAGAAAUUGAAUUUUACUCCAUGUUGGGUGAUAAUUUCUAUUUGAGUUUAAUUAUUAUAGAUAUAGAUUCAUGCAAACCUAUGACUCAACCCUUGAAUGAUGAAAUUUGAAUAUGACCAUGAUGUCUAAUUGUUGUACAAAGAUGUUUACAUGUACCAUGCCUACAAUAUGUUUGAUUUAAUGCCUAAAUUAAGAAAAAAUGCUCAACUUGUAUGUUGUCAUGAAAUCCCCAUGUAUGUACAAGCUUUUGCCUAUCUCAUGUUUGAUGAAAUUCUUCAGUAAAUGCAUUAUGGUGAUUAUUAUGUAUUUAAGCAAGUCAUGCUUUGUCAGUUUCCUUCUAUCGAGUCCUGGAGGUACUUGUACCCAAAAUAUUAGAUGUGUGCCUUAAGCCAUGUCAUGUUUUCACGUACUAUCAGUCAAGCUAUGAAUACUUAGAUUUGAGACAGUCUUAUCACUCAGGAAAUAUCCAUGAUCUCAUAAACUUAGUCAAUUGUUAGAUAUCGGUAGUAUUCCAUCAAUCAACAGAAUUUAGUAACUCAUAUCAUGAUAAGUUAGUAAAUCAUGUUCAGUGUCUAUUCAGAUGGGAGUAGAAAUUAGCACCGAGUGAACCCAAGAGUGGGUACUCACCUAUUAUAUGAGGGUGUGAUUCGUAGAAGCAAUUCUUGUAUUCCAGAACUAUGUAGCCAGCAUAGGUUAUGACAUCAUUGCCUGCUAUAUGAGGGUAGAAGAGGUGGCUUAACCUAUUAUAUAAGGGUUUCCACCAUUCUCAUUUGAGUUACUUGUUAUGUUAGGGUUACUUUUAUGUUGUCCUUACCAGUGGCGUGGUAUUGACACCCUUCCAAUCAGGGCAUAGCUUGGACCCCAAUUUAGCUAUAAUGCACCAUUUGGGGCAUGUCGGUUAGAUGACUGCUUCCCACAAUUUCAGUAUUAGCCUCAGCAAAACAACUCAGAUAGUUCUACAGAAUUCAGGACUGUCAGAUACAGUCAACUCAGAUAUAGUAUAGAACUCAGCUAGUUUCAUCAAAUUUAGGACUCUCAAAUACAGCCACUCAUGUGAUUAGUUAUAUCAGUUAUCAGUAUGUCAUGUUAUCAGUAUUCAAAUUAAGUAAUUAUGUUAUCUUGAUAUCAAUGUCAGUUAUUAUGUCUCAUUCAUGUAUUCUCAAGCUCAUGAUAGUCAAUCUAUUGUUAUUAUUGUUCAUGCAUAUGAACCCCAUGCAUUUAGACUAUCUCACAUUCAUACCAGUACAUUUAAAGUAUUGGCGCAUUCGCGCUAUGGUGUCUUAUACCAUAGGUUCAUCGACACGAGCUCCAGAGCAGCAGUAGAUUCCAGUCUCAGUGGUAAGAGUUAGAAGUGAGUCCUCAUAUUUCAAGGACAUAAUUAUUCCUUAUUAUCUCAUUUAUUAGUUUAUUAGUUGGACAUAGUUAAGUACAUGUCCCAUCAACUCCUUACUCAGACAUGUCAGUCAGUUAGAGGCUUUUGAGACUAUUAUGAUCAGAUAGUUAUUUUAGUUAUUUUAGAUACUUCAUAACCCUUUUUAGAUGUUAUGUUUUACUUUAGCUAUGUGAACCUUAUGGCCUUUCAGUUCAUGUUUCUGCAUUAUUCAAUAUUUUAUGCAGUAUACAGGAACAAAUAUCAAUCAUAGGUUAGAUUAUGGUCCUUCGAGGUCUUGAGCACUGUGUAGCAUUCCAAGUACUAUAUUUGGGGCAUUAAAAACUUGGUAUUAGAGACUAAUUUUCAAUAGACUCCUAGGAAUUCUGAAAACCACAUCUAGUAGAGUCUUGUACAUGGGUGUGUUGCACGCCACAUUUAUGUGCCGGAGGCUAUGAGAUGUUUUAGGAACAGUUUCCCUUCUUUCAAUUUUCAUGUCGUGCCAAUGAGUAUGAUUUAAGGUCAAUCUCCUGGUCUAAUCCAUUCUCUCUUUCUUCUAUAUAACAUGCCUCAUAAAAUAAGAAAUAGAAAUCAGUCAGCCCCUUAGCCUGAAAAUCAUUUGGGUGAACAGGUUUCUCAUAAAGAGUUCAAAGGUGUAUUCAUUUCUCUUGCUCAGUCAGUUGCUACUCAAAAUAUAUGACUAGCUGUCGUUCCAGCCAACCUAGUGGCCAAUUUAUCUACAGCCACAAUUUAAGAUUUCACCCGAAUGAAUCCUCCAUCCUUUCUAGGGUCUAAGUCAGAUGAGGACCCUCAGGAAUUCAUCAAUAAGGUUUUAUAGGUUACUUAUAUUAUGGGGGUGUUAGCUAUUGAGAGUACUGAGCUUGCUACAUAUUGGUUUCAAGAUGUUACUCAUAAUUGGUAUAAGUAGUGGAAGUCAGAAAGGCUAGAUAAUGUAAGGCCUAUAGAUUGGGAGGAGUUUGUCACUGCAUUCUUAGAGAGGUUCGUUUCUCUAGAGCUGAGAGAAGCUAAGGUGUUUGAAUUCAUUAACUUUAGGUAGGGUAAUAUGACAGUGAAAGAGUAUUCUCUUAAGUUUACUCAAUUAGCCCCUCUUGUGGUUAAAGAUAGUAGGGCCAAGGUGAGUAAGUUUGUUUCAGGGGUGAAUGAUAGCGUGGUUAAUGAGUACAGAUUCACCAUGCUAGAUAGUGACAUGGCUAUAGCAAAACUCAUGACUCAAGCUCAGCAUAUAGAGGAUCAAAAUAUUAAGAUAAGGGAGAAUAAAAAAAAAAGAGCAAGGACAGGUUGUUUCAACUUUUCUCAGCCCAAAUAAGAAGGAGAAAACCAUUCUCAGUUUUAUCCUAAAUCAUUAGUUCCAGCUACUUCUUCAACUAGUGCCCCUGUGCCAAAAUUCAAAGACGGCAACAGAGAUAGAACACCAGGCUCUAAGUUUCAGGAAAAUAUUAAAGUGCCUGUACCUAUCCUCUUUGUUAGACUUAUGGAAAGCACCAUCAGGGUAUUUGCAGAGUUAGGAGUGGUAUUUGUUUUAGAUUUGGUAUGCGAAGAGACAGAGAUAGAGACUGUCCUCAUCCAGGUCCUUAGGGUCAAUAGAAUUGCUACUCAGCUCAGUCCGGUAAUCUAUAUCAACAAGGUGCCACCUCCAGUGCUACUAGUGGGCAACACCCAAAUUAUCUCUAUGUUCUUCAGUCUUGACAAGAUUAGGAAAAUUCUCCUGAUGUGGUUACUGGUAUGUUACAGAUCUUUCAAGUGCAUGUUUAAACUUAGCUAGGUCCAGGGGCUUCUUUGCCUUUCAUUACUCCCUAUAUAGCAGGCGAUUUAAGAAUUAGUCCAAAAAUUCUAGCGGAGCCCUUUUCAGUUUCUACCCCAUUAGGUAAAACUACGUAAAACUAACAUAGCUCGGCGGGUAUACUGGAACUGCCCGGUUAUGAUAUUUCAAUAAGUCACUUCAACAGACUUGGUCAAAUUAGAGAUAACUGAUUUUAAUGUCAUUCUCAACAUGGAUUGGCUUUAUUCCUACUAUGCCACAGUCGACUGCAGAAAUAAAAUAGUCCAAUUUUAGUUCCUGAAUGGACCCGUCCUAGAGUGGAAGAGUAGUGUAUCCUCUUUCAGACGUCAGCUUGUUUCCUACCUUCGAGCAUGAAAAAUGAUAUCUAAAGGAUGUGUCUAUCAUAUUGUUCGAUUUAGGGAUACUAGUUCUAAAACUCCCAAUCUUGAAUCAGUCUCAAUCAUGAACGAAUAUUCAGAUGUCUUUCCCAAAGCUCUUCCAGAAAUUCCUCUAGAAAGAGAAAUAGACUUCGGCAUUAAUCUUCUUCCAGAUACUUAACCUAACUCUAUUCCGCUAUAUAGAAUGGAACAAGUAGAACUUAGAGAACUCAAAGAAUAGUUGAAGGAUCUAUUAUAUAAGGGAGUCAUCAGGCUAGUGUGUCCCGGUGGGGCACUCCAGUAUUAUUCCACUCUAGUAUUAAUUGUGCGUAAGUAAGAUGGUUCUCUCAGAAUGUGUAUAGACUACCGUCAACUUAAUAAGGUUGCAGUAAAAAAAAAGUAUCCUUUUCCUAGAAUUGAUGACUUAUUUGACCAAAUUCUGGGUACCAGCUAUUUCUCUAAGAUAGAGCUCAAAUCCGGCUACCGUCAGCUCAAAGUCAGAGAAUAUAACUUUCCAAAAACAGCUCUUCAUACUCGGUAUGGUCACUUCGAAUUCUUAGUUAUGUCCUUUGGUCUUACCAAUGCCCAGCAUAUUUCAUGGACUUAAUGAACCGUGUGUUCAAGUAGUACUUGGAUAUGUUCAUCAUAGUAUUUAUAGAUGAUAUUCUAGUCUAUUCCCGCAGCGAGCGUAAUCAUGCAGAUCAUCUCAAAAUAGUACUUCAGACUCUCAGAGAUCAUCAGCUAUUCGCCAAAUUCAGUAAGUGCAAUUUUUUGCUAAGGUCAGUAGCAUUUCUUGGCCAUAUUGUUUUCAGUAAUGGCAUUAGAGUUGAUUCUCAAAGUACUGAAGCAGUAAAAAACUAGCCUCGCCCUGUCUUUCCAUCAAAUAUCAAGAGUUUCUUAGGUUUGGUUGGCUAUUAUAGAUGGUUUAAUGAGGUAUUUUCUUCUAUUGCCUACCCUAUGUCCAGAUUGACUCAGAAGAAAGUCAAGUAGUGGUCAGAUCCUUGCGAGAAAAGUUUUUAGGAGUUGAAGACUUGACUCAUCUAAGCUUCAGUUUUAGCUCUUCCAGAUUGUCCAAAUGGGUUUGUAUUAUACUGUGAUGCAUCCAGAGUAUGUUUGGGUUCUAUACUCAUAUAGCAUGGUAAGGUCAUAGCCUAUGCCUCCAGACAGCUUAAACACCAUAAGAGGAAUUAUCCUACUCAUGAUCUUGAGUUAACAGCCGUUGUCUUUUCUUUGAAGAUUUGGAGGAACUAUCUCUACGGAGUUCAUAUAGAUUUCUUCACAGAUCAUAAGAGUCUUCAGUAUGUCUUUUAUUAGAAUGAUCUCAAUUUUCAUCAAAGAAGGUGAUUAGAGAUCUUGAAUGAUUAUGACAUGACUGUCCUCUAUUAUCCGGGCAAGGAGAAUGUAGUGGACGACAAACGCUCUCAGUGGACUGUCUAUGGGUAAUAUUACUCAUGUUGAGAUCAGUAAGAAGUUAGCCUAGGAAUUCCAUCAACUUUCCAGACUAGGCAUUCGAUUAUUAGAUGUAGAUAAGGGUGAUAUAUGGGUUCAAAAUAGUUCAGAAUCAUCCAUAAUUUCUGGGGUAAAAGAAAAGUAAGAUAGAGAUUCUAGCCUAGUCAAGUUGAAAGAGUCAAUUCAAGAUCACAAAGUAGAAGUUUUCUCCCAAGGGGGAGAUGGUGUUUUACGUUGUCAGGGUCGUUUUUGUUUUCUAGGUGUAGAUGACUUAAGGCAGUGAAUUCUUGCAGAAAUGCAUGGUGCGCGCUACUCUAUUCAUCCAGGGCCACUAAGUUGUACAACAACUUACAGGAAAUCUAUUGGUGGAGUGGGAUGAAGAGAGACGUUGCAAAGUUUGUAGCUAAGUGCUCUUCAUGUCAGCAGGUUAAGAUAGAGCAUCAGAAGCCUAGUGGGUCCAUGAAGGAGUUCAGUAUUCCUAUUUAGAAGAAGGAAAAAGUGAAUAUGGACUUCGUGAUGGCUUUGCCUUAUACCGGUCAUCAUCAUGAUGCAGUUUGGGUCAUUGUAGACAGAAUGACCAAAUCAGCUCAUUUCUUUCCAGUUUAUACAUCUUAUUCAGCCAAGGAUUACACAUAGCUCUAUAUCAAAGUGUUGGUAAGAUUGCACAGUAUUCCUCUAUUUAUUAUCUUAGACAGAGGUACCUAGUUCACCUCUUAUUUUUGGAAAGCAUUCUAAAAGGGUCUUGGUACGUAUGUUCAUCUUAGUACAACCUUUCAUCCUAAGACAAAUAGUCAGACAUGAAGGACCAUUUAGAUGUUAGAAAAUAUAUUGCGUGCGUAUACAAUUGAUUUAAAGGAAAGUUAGGAUGACCACUUGCCUUUGAUUAAAUUUGCAUACAACAACAACUAUCAUUCCAGUAUUCAAAUAGGUCCAUUUAAAGCUGUCUACGGUAGGAGAUAUAUAUCUCUAAUUGGUUGGUUUGAGGUUAGUGAGGCCUCAGUUAUAGGGCCUGACUUGGUAUUCGACACCUUAGAAAAAGUACAGUUGAUUAGAGAAAGACUUCGGACUUCUCAGAGCCGACAGAAGUCUUAUGCAGAUGUUUUUAGAAAAGAUCUCAAAUUUGAGAUUAGUGACUUUGUCUAUCUUAAGAUCUCUCCUAUGAAGGGAGUGAAGAAAUUCAGCAAGAAGGGAAAGCUCAGUCUCCGAUAUAUUGAUCCUUUAAAUAUUCUCAAUCGCUUUGGCAAGUUAGCUUAUGAGCUCGAAUUGCCUUCAGAUCUAGCAGCAGUUCACCUAGUCUUCAAUGUCUCCUUUCUCAAGAAGUGUAUAGGUGACCUAGCAGUUCAAGUCCCUAUUCAGAGCAAAGGUGUUCAGAAUAGCCUCUCUUAUGAAGAGAUUCUAGUUAAAAUCUUAGACUAUCAGACUCGUAGAUUGAGGAACAAAGAUGUCCCUCUAGUUAAAGUUCUUUGGUAAAAUUUAUCAUAGAGGGAGCUACUUUGGAGGAAAAAGUAGACAUGCAUACCAAGUAUCCUCACCUCUUCUCUGCAAACUCAGAACACGCUCAAGGUAACAAUCCUCCUUAAGCUUACUCAGUUUGAUGUUCAAUGUUUAUCACAAACUUUGUAUUAAAUACCCUUCCAUAUUCAGUCAUGCAUUCAUGUAUUAUUUUAGUUAUAAAAUUUUUCAUCAGACAUGAAUUCUCAUUGUUUGAAAUUUGGUUCAUUAGAACACCCAGUCAUGCAUUCAUGAAUCAGUUACACAUGCAUCAGAUAUGUAUGCUCAGUAUCAUAUAUAUUCAGUUAUCAGUCAUAUUAGUAAUGAGAUCAUGUUUUAGUAAUUUAUAUUCAAUAUGUACCUCGGUUAUCUUCUUCCCUCACUCGUAGUCUUAUUUGAGGACAAAUGUUCUCAAGAGGGAGAUAUUGUAAUACCCCAUAAUUUUUCUUACCUUGAAAUCGUCUCAAGAAUUUUAGAAGCUUACUUUGAAAUACAAUUGAAAUUUUUACACAUGGUAUUUUUGAGAUUUUCACAUUUUGUCACUUGGAAAAUUUAAUUAGCUUUCCAACGAUACAAAUUUCGUCAAAAUCCAACUUUGGAGGAGAAAGUUAUGGCCAAAAUACGAAAGGCAGUAAAGUUGCCCAGAUGAGAUAGUGAAGCCGACGGACCAUUGCCCACGACCGUCGCAGCAAGGCAGUAGGGACAACCUUCUACCUAGGAGGGACGAACCAGGCCAAUGGACCGUGAUACUAGAAAUGGACCACCGCUCAAGCCAUCCUAAGGGAAACAGUGAGGCCACCUUCUAGAUAAGGUGCGACGGCCAGGAUUAUAGACCGUCGAACUUACGAUUGACCGUCGUCCAAGCCGUCGUAGCCUAGGCAGUAAGACCCUAUUCAUAUCCAUGUACGAAGGUCAGUCCAAUGGACCAUCAACCCAGUGACGGAAUAUCACACCCACCGUCGCAGCUCCCGUUCAGUUUUUUUUAAAGUUGUUUUAAUAGGGAUAUUUUGGUCAUUUACCACCCACUUAUAUAUACCUAGUUAUAUCCGAUUUUAGCCCAUUUGUUCAUUAUUAUUUGAAAGAAACUAAGAGAUUCAAAUCCCUCAAGUUCAAGAACAUCAUGAAAACUCAACCCAGGAAUGCAUAGUGUUCAUUCAUUGACUCCUUUCAUUCAUGAAGUCCAAGAAUCCCUUUUCCAACUUCAAGUUAUGGAUUUUCUUUAUGAUUUCAUGAUUGGGUUGUUUCUGCUCACGUUGAUAAAUGAGAAAUUAAAUUUUACUCCAUGUUGGGUGAUAAUUUCUAUGUGGGUUUAAUUAUUAUAGCUAGAGAUUCAUGCAAACCUAUGACUGAACCCUUGAAUAAUGAAAUUAGAAUGUGACCAUGAUGUUUAAUUGUUGUACAAUGAUUUUUGCAUGUACCAUGCCUACAAUAUGUUUGAUUUAAGGCCUGAAUGACGGAAAAGUGCUUCACUAGCAUGUUUUCAUGAAAUACCCAUGUAUGUACAAGCUUAUGUCUAUCACAUGUUUGAUGAAAUGCUUCAGUAAAUGCAUUAGGGUGAUUAUUGUGUAUUCAAGAAAUCUUGCUUUGUCAGUUUCCUUCUAUCGUGUUCUCGGGGUACUUGUACCCAAAACAUUAGCUGUGUGCCUAGAGCCAUGUCAUAUUUUCAUAAUAAUCUCAGUCAAGCUAUGAAUCCUUCGACUUCAGACAUUCUUAUGACUCAGGAAAUCUUCAUGGUCUCUUGAACUCAGUCAGUUAUCAGAUAUCAGUAGUAUUUCGUCAGUCAACAGAAUUCAGUAACUCAGCUCAUGUUCAGGAAGUAAAUCUUGUUCAGUGUCUUUUCAGAUGGGAGUAGAAAUUAGCACCGAGUGAAUCUAAUGGUGGGAACUCACCUGUUAUAUGAGGUUGUGACACUUAGAAGCAAUCUUUGUGUUCUAGAACUACGUAACAAGCAUAGGUUAAGACAUCAUAGCAUGCUAUAUAAGGGUAGAUGAGGUGUUUUCACCUGUUGUAUGAGGGUUCCCACCAUUCUCAUUAGAGUUACCUGUUAUAUUAGGGUCACUCACAUGUUAUCCUUACCAGUGGCAUGGUACUGACACCCUUCCAAUCAGGGCAUAGAUUGGACCACCCCAAUUCAGCUAUAAUUCAUCAUUCGGGGCAUGUCGGUUAGAUGUCUACUUCCAACAUUUUCAAUAUCAGCCACAGUAAAAGAACUCAGAUAGUUCUACAGAAUUCAGGACUGUCAGAUAUAGUCAACUCAAAUAUAGUAUGGAACUCAACUAGUUCCAUCAAAUUUAGGACUCUCAAAUACAAUCACUCAUGGUAUUAGUUAUAUCAGUUAUCAAUAUGUCAUGUUAUCAGUAUUAAGAUUCAGUAAUCAUGUUAUCAUGAUAUCAGUGUCAGUUAUUAUAUCUCAUGCAUGUAUUCUCACGCUCAUGAUAGUCAGUCUGUUAUUAUUAUUGUUCAUGUAUAUGAACCCCAUUAAUUUAGCCUACCUUACAUGCAUACCAAUACAUUUAAAGUACUGACGCAUUAAUGCUAUAGUAUCUUAUACCAUAGUUUUAGAGACACGAACUCCAGAGCAACAGUAGAUUCCAGUCUCAGCAGUCAGAGUUAGAAGUGAGUCCUCAUCUUUCGAGGAAAUAAUUAUUUAUUAUUAUCUAUUUUAUUCAUUUUUCAGUUGGAGUUACUUGGGACAUGUUCCAUCAACUCCUUACUCAGACAGUUCAGUCAGUUAGAGGCUUUCUAAACUAUUAUGAUCAGACAGUUAUUUCAGUUAUUUUGGGUUUUUCAUACCUCUUUUUAGGUGUUAUGUUUUACUUCAGAUAUGUGAACCUUAUGGACUUUCAGUUCAUGUUUCUACAUUAUUCAGUAUUUUAUGCAAUAUAUAGGUUCAGAUAUCAGUCAUGAGUUAGCUUGUAGUCCUUCAGGGUUAUGAGCACUGUGUAGCAUUCUCGGUACUAGAUUUGGGACAUUAUAAUAACCAACCACUGACAAAUGGCCAAUCGACCGACCGAUGCCGCCUAAUAGCCAUAGUAGUUCAAGCAAAGCCUUAUAAAAUAUGUCCCAAAAUCGAGUAUCAAUAAAGUGUCAGGACAAGCCCCCAAUAAUAGAAAAAACACAUAAUCCAAAGGAAUAGUCAAAAUGUAAAGGAAACCAUAAUCAUGAAUUGGAGUCUUCCAAAGUAUGGAAGCUCACCACUUCAAUCUGACUUGCUAGCUAAUCCCGAAUCCAAGUCACUGAGCUGAAGGAUUAGAAAUAUGACCAAUUCCUGUAUCACGUGGGGAUACAACAUCUAAAGACUAUUAGCGGGUUAAGCACUAGCAUGUAACUUGUGGCUAAGGAUAACAUAAUAUAUGAUCAAAAGUUUUAAAUCAUUUAAAAACCAAUGUACAUUAUAAAAUUUAUAGACAUAUAUUUAUAAAUCAUAUGCCGGGAUAAGGAACAAUGCUUAACAUAUAUUUCAAAAAUUUAGCCUAAGUUGUGUGCCUCAACCGUCAUAUUAUACUAUUGAUGGGAUAUAAGUGACCCAACUCUCACCCUCUAGUCGGGCCCCAAUGCUUAUAGCUGCACAAACUAAAGAAUAAUCUUAUACAUAUGCACGCGGGGGCUCGAACCUACCAACAUAUACAAAGGUGACUUAAGCACCUGAUCAUAUAAUGAUUUAUGGGGGACUCAAACCUCCGUAUUCAUGAAAUAAAAAUAAGGAGACUCGAACCUUCCUGGUCACUUUGAUCACUACGUCGGGAAACGCGAUUUCCCAUAUCAAUCACUCGGACUUCUACUUUCAUGAUUCAGCAAAACAACCCUUAUUCGAGCCCAAUUAAAAAAAACAUCACACAUUCAUAUACAUUUAACCAUAUCCCACAUUAAGACAUACAUUGUUGGUAUCAUGAUACAAACUACACUUGCGAGGCAACAACAACUUGUCAAAACAAUUGCUAUUAACUUGGAGAAAAUAACUCCCUUGUUCAUCAAUAAAUUGAGGGGGUCACUGACUCUCUUUGUUCAUUAAAUCAUAACAUUGUAUUUCAACUACCUUAUUAUAUCAUUCAUUUGUUUAAGACUAGUUCAAUUUUACAAAUUCCCACAGUUCUAAUAAUUUCAACUAAUUUCAUAUUGUCGAGUUAGGGUCAUAACCACUUCAAAAGUCACAAGUUUGGGAAAAGCACAAUUCCCGAGUUCAUUCACCAUACCCAUGCACCCAUGAGUUCAAAAUAAUUUUUAAAACAUGAAAUCAUAGAUAAACCAUGAUUUAAAACCAUUACAACAAUCUCAGGAACAAUACUUUAAAUCACAUACUUUUACAAAUUUAACUAUCAGGGAAAAGUAACAUUCCUAUAAUAGUAAGAUGUACGGAGAGAAAUCACCCAUGAGAGCCCUAAUUGAUCAACCUCUUAAACACCUUAAGUGUUCGUGAACUUGAGAAUUCUAGAGUAUUUAAGAUGUUAAUUAGAUUAUUUCUGAUUGAUAUUGACACCCGAAAAAAGAUAUAAGAUGUGGGUUUUAAGUUGUGCAAGAGGAGAAAUAUCUAGAAUCACGUUAACAUAAAAGAUGAAAAAGUGUCGCCUUUGAUUACGAGUAAACCCCUUGACUCGUAAACACUCCUUACAACUUAUCACCACGAGUCCUAACCAAGGUAGUACCACUAAGGCACCCUACACUAUUAUCCUUACAAUUCAAUGGCUUCACUCGUAAUGGAGGCCUAUGACUUGUAGUUUCCAGUUAUUGUCAACAAAUAACCCAAUUUUGGACUUACACUGGAACUGUACGAUUACACCUAAUGACGCAUAACAUAUCCCUGCGGCUCUUAGUGAGCCACUCAUACUUAGAGUAGAAUCAUGCCACAAACUUAAUAGUUUGGUUAUGACAUAUCUCAAUGGCUCGCAGGAUACCUUACGACUCAUAGGUAGAGUCAUAACUAAGGUAAUGAGCUCAAAGCUCAAGAAAUUUUCAAGGUCCAAAAUUCGGUUUGUUUCAUAUAAUCCUAAAAUAUUCUCUCAUAUCUUUCCAUGAUAAACUCAAAUGCAUCCUCAGUCUUCGUACUAUGUGAUGAAGAAGCCUUAAUUUUCAUAAACAUGGUCAACAAUUCACGUUCAAUUCUGAUUAUAAUGGGGGCUAACACAAUAUGUGGAAAUACAUCAGUACACAAAGUCUAAUACAUUCUAGGACUUAAAGUAGCAAUAGUAUAAGCAUUUGAAACAUGAAAAAAUUUGCAUAGCGAGGGUGGCUCUAGUACCAGCCAACCCGCUAUGAAAAGCGUAAACCUACCAAAUAACCUUAGAAGAUAUCAGAAGAAGAGCUACAACCGGUAUAUCUACCCAUGGUUUCAAACCAUCCUCAUUCACCACCUCAACCUCCUUAAAAUUAUCCUAAGGUAGGGGAGAUGAUACUGACUACUAAUGAACCUGAUCGGCUACUACCUGAGCUCUACCCCUAGAGAGUAUUGGUUUUACCUUCCCCUUCACUACCUCUACCUUUUUCUUAUCCACUAAUAAUAAAUUUUGUAGUAGUAGCUGCUGGUGCUAGAUGUUUUUGCACUAUUUGACCUAGUUUUUAUCAUCUGUGGAAAAAAAAUGAAGAGAGUUAGAUACUAAUUUAGAUCAUUAGAUACCAAUUGGAAUCAAGUUUAAAGAAUAAAAGAAGAAAGAAAAGAUAGUUUUCUAAGGUUCUAUAGAAUCUUUGGGAAAAGUACUAUUAUUUUCAUACCAUUCUGCAUGACUCUACUGAACACAUUUUGGUAAAAUGAGAUCAACAAACCUAGGUUGCAAAUGCCAGCUUUUUAGUAACCUAAACUUAUUAUAAGUCGCACCUGCACUAAAUCUCUGGUGGGAGAACCAACUAACAUCUUAAGCCGAUCAAAACUUAACCGACAAUAGACAUCUAAAAAAAUUCAUUAAAAUAAAUCAAUAUAUAGUAAUAUAAUAAAAGGUAUCAGUAAAAUAAUGCAGAAAAUCAUCUUCUAGGAAAUGAAAGCCAUCGUACCAAAACUCUAAUAAUUGUUAGAAGAAGGGAUACAACCAUAAAAAGUAAAGUAAUAUCGGAGUCUAAAACAAAAGAGCAAAAAUAAUAGAAGAACCCAUGGUAGUCCAAAACAUAAAACUCACCCUUGAGUUAAAAAAUAAGCCAAGUCAUAGUUGAGGUUUCAAAAUAGUCAUUGGAAUAUGCAUUGCACUCAACAAAAGGAGAGCAUAUGUAGUAUUACCACACAAUAAAUAAUACUUUGUCGAUAAAUUCUUUGGCCAACCCUAAAUAAGAAAUAUGUAUACAUAACCAAAACAUAGUACAAAAUUAAAACCAUGAACCCUAUCAAGCAACUAUUUUUCAAGUUCAAAAUAAUUAACCUUGAAAAAAGGUACAACAUGAUGUUUAGUCAAAAAGAGUAAAUAGGGAUAACAAAUCAAGUUAACUAGGACCAACAUUAAGACUCUGAGUGAACAACCAUGAUGUAACUUACAUAUAAUCUAUGUACAAUUCAUACAUGAAAUCGACAACAUAGAGACAUAUUACAAUGUGAAAAUAACCCAGACCACUCAAGGAUCCAUAAUACAAACAAUAGGAGCAAUAAGAUAUAUCCCUAUUUACACAAGAAACCGCCUUAGAAAUUAAUCAUACAAACCUUGUACACACAUGCUAAGGGUCUUAUGUAUGAACCCACUCAUUAUGACCUAAAAAGAAAUAGUCUUUGUCUAUGUACCAAAUCUUAGAAAUAAUGUGUAUGCCAAUCCUAUAUAACUAAUCCCAUGGAGAUAUCCAAAUACCAUUACAUCAUACAAUAACUUAAGAUAUCAAAACACUCACAACCACAAUGAUAAUUGAAUACCACCUAUAAAAUUUAACAAGUUUACAUAUAACUUCAUUUCAUGCGAUUAACAUUUAGAAUAGCAAAUUCUCAUUCACUUUCCUUUAAUAUACAUUGUACAAAAUUACUAUGAAUUAUUUAUCAUGUCUACAAAAUACAAAUUGGGUUUCAACUAUAUUAAAAUAAUCAUCUACCUCAAUCCAAGCUUGCACCACACAAUUAAGCCUAAGCCAUGUUUUUUCAUGCAUUAUUUUCUAGGUCAUGAUCUAAAAAAUGAAUAGAACAAAUACUCAAUCAAAUAAUCUAAUAUUUCAAGGAUUACAACCUAAUAUCUAACCACCAAGGCUAAUCCAUGAUCAUUUACCUAUGUGUAGGGUUUUUCUCUUCCUUAAUUCAUCUUAUCAAUUUUAUUGUUAUAUCAAUAAAUUAAUCACAUACAAGAAUAAAUUAAUGAUCAACAACUAAAACAAAAAGGUCUUAUACCUAAUUUCUUUCCUUGCACCAAAAAAUUAGAAAAUUCAAGCUUAAACCUUUUUAAAAAUCCAUAAAUUAGUGAUUUUAUGAUUAAACAAUCAAAAAACUAGUGAAUGGGGAUGAAAUACUUAUCAUUACAAAGAAAAAUGAUGAAAAUUUAGGAAAAUUUUCCAAAUUUCCUAUGACCUUAACCAAAUAUGUGUUUUGAAUAAUAAACUAUUUUCUAAAAUUUUUUUGCAUUUGCAACGAUUGAUCCUAUUGUAGUAGGAUUGACCGGCAUUAACUUUCGCUAUAGCGUAUAAUUUUCCGCUAUAGUGUGAAUUUUUUUGCUAUUAAGUGAAAUUUUCCACUAUAGUGGUAGUCGCUAUAGCAACAUGCCACCCGUUAUUGCUGGAGUAGCAUGGUAGAAACUUGGGAAUCCUCCUAGCUUUGCCUUUUUCGCAACAUAUCCUUAAAUCAUAACAUCCCAAACUAACAACUUUACAUCAAGUUUGAUAUCAGAAGUUCUACCCAUCAGAAUUUACUUCUAAAAGUCCUAUAUAAAAUCAAGCAACAAUUUAAUACAUCUACCCAAUGCAUUCCCCUAUUACCCUAGACCAUAAAUCACUUCAAUCUUGUUUGAAGGUAUCAUAGCCUAAAAUAUUAACUUUCAUUUCAGGAAAAAUAUUAACCUGAAUUAUUGCAUAAUUGACUCAUCUGUAAACAAAAAGGGUUGCUACACUCUUAUUCUUGGUAAUUAGGAGUUGAAAUUUUUGGGUUUGGGUCAAAAUGGGUUAAGAUAACAAAUGUGUUAACACUCGAAUUGACUCAAAUUUCCUUGGGUCAAAUUGGGUAAGGUCAAACCGAGCUAAGUAACAGGUCAUAACCCCACCCCAAACUUUUACUAUGUCAUAUUUUCUUAUUUUUUAUUUUAUUAUUUUUAGUACUUAACAAAUUAUUUUUCUUUAUUAUAGCUAUAUGUAGUAUAUCAAAUUCGAAAAAGUUUUUGUAAAAUAUUUUGACAAGAUUAUCAAAAACCAAUUUGGGAAGUUUAUAAAUCUGAUAUUUAAUUUGUUGAACUGGGUUUUAUUGAAAAGGGUUUAGCUAAUAAAUAAAUGGAUUAAUAUUCAACCUAAACUUAAAUGGGUUGGUCUAGAUGUAUUUGAUUUUUCCACCCUAUCAAUAAUAGCAUAUCAUUCUACAUAGGCGUUGGCUAAAUCAUUAAACCCUAGUAAACUGGAAAUAGUUAUUGAUCUAUGAUCUAAACCAUUGCCUUUAUCUUAAAACGAUGAGGAGUACAUGCCAAUCCAACCAAAAUAUUCUAAAGUGAUUUGCAAGAAACAAAAACUAAUGGAACGAGCUCUAGGUCUGUCUCAUCAGCUAGAAUUUAAAUAUCAUCUACUUCAUACUCUAACAUAAAGGACCCCACCUAAAUAGGAAUAUGAGUAGUUUCUCAGCUUCAAACAUGAGUUUUCCGCAACCUCUACCAGAUCCCCUAUACUAGUCACAUGAUUCGGCACAAGUAGUUAGUAUGAGAGCUUAAAGUGUCUCCUAACCUCGAUCCAAUAAUGUAUGAGUCCUCACCAUAUGUGAUAAAAUAAGACCAGAAUCUCUAUAAUCAUCAAAAUAGAAUAAAUAUGAUUAGAAUAAAGAAAGAAAUUUUCCUAAUGCUCUAUAGCCUUUCUAAGAUAGACAAUAGAUAUCUCUAUACUGAUUUAUAAAAGUGUACUUCACUUUACUUGUACUUUUUAGAUUAACGAGUCUACAUAUGUACCAACUUGUUAAGAUCCAAAACAGUGAUUGUGAUGGAACCUAUGACAUGCACCACGACAAAUAAACUAAACCCAACAUAAUACAAUAGCCUAAAUUAAGAAAAAGUAAAAGAAAAUAGAUUAUAUAACAAUCCGAUAGUCUUAAAGUAAUAGAUAGAAAAAUACAACUAGAAUAACAACUCAUUUGUAGAGGUCUCGAGUAUAAGCCUCUAAAUAUAAAGUAUAUCAAAAAAGUCUAAAAUGUAAAGAAACAUCAGAAAUGCAUAAAAAUAAAGAUAGAGAAGAUUUUUAGUAGUCUCUGAGAUCAACAACACCUACGUCAAGUCUUCAGAAUUCUACCAGAGGAAGUCACAAGCACUACAUGGGGGUCUCCGAAACAGUACCUAUAUGUAAGGUGUACAAAAUUAACAAAUAUGAGUACAAACUCACUUUUACUUUAAAGCAUUGCUAAGCAAACUUAAUUCAAAGUUUCGGUAAGAAAAUAAUACAAACCAUCUAAUACAACCAUAAAACUUCACCUAGGAAGGACAUCAUACUCUAGCAUAUAUAUUAUGAUCACCACAUUUAUAUACAUAUCACUACACAAGUUCAGUUAAUCGACAUAAAAUAUACCCAACUACUCACUUUCAAACAAUAAGCAUAAAAAUAUCACUUCACAUUAUACCACAAAAAUAAAAGACAUAAAUGAGAAAAUGUAAUGCAUAUUUUGUGUACACCUCCGUUAUGUGUAAGGUUAUAUAGGAUACAUGAGAUUCGUAAUAUAUACGUACUAUGCAAGGUUACACUUCAUUCCUAUUAUAUAGUAUGAUCAAAUACGCACUCUGGUCUUAAUAAUAUAUAAUAAAUAAAGGUGUACCAUCAAAUAUUAAUAAUAUAUAAUAUGUGUAGCUGUGCAUUUUGAUUUAAAUAAUAUAUAUUAUUUGCAGGCGUGCACUCUAAUCCUAACUAAAUGCAACUUAUGAUAAGUAGGCAUAAGACUUCUAUCCCAUGUCAAUAGUGAAUGUUUAACAAGGAAUCUCAUAUCAUAUUUAUAAUCAGAUAUCAACCUAAUACUAUCUUUGUUCAUCAAAUGGGAGUGUCAUCAUCAACCAACAUAGCCAACCAUUUCUUUUUAUAAUCAUAAUUCACAUUGAUCAUGCUAUAAAGUAGAGAAAAGACAAUACAAAUAAGUUAGUUAAAUACUUUUAACCCUUUAAAUAAUAUUGGUACUUGUAUAAGUGCUCAUCAUUCACCUAUACAGGAUCCUCAUUCCCCAUUACAUCUAUUACACACAACUAUCGCAUAAGUACUUUGUAAGAAAGUUUCGACUUGUCUUAAAGAAAGUUGAAAAAUCUAAUAGAAGCUUUGACCUAUCAAGUCACCUCCAAAUCAAUCCAAUCUAUUCAAAUAUAAAUUUUACAUAAGAAAAUGAAAUUAAGGGUACUCAUAUUUCUAUACUUUAAAUUUGGAUUUAGAUGGUCAAUUCAAUAGUCAACCCUUAGUUCAUAAGGAAAAAUAGUAAUUUUAUUAAGAAAUCACAUUAUCCAUAACUAAAGAAGUUAAAAUUUGAAAAUAUGUCGAAAAUAGGGUUGAAAUCGUAUUCAAAUCAUCAGUUUAUAAAACUUUCAAGUUGUUGGAGAAACCCUAAAUUUUAAAGUUAGAAUACCAUGAUUUGAAGGUAAAUAGAAAAUAAUGAGUGGAUAUUGAUAAAAUAUAUAUUUAUAAACUUAUCCAAUAUUUAUAUAUGUAAAAUACCCUUCUAAAUAUUUCAAAAUUGAGUUUCCAAUCCUUAAGAAUGGUAUUUGGAGGUUUAGGCAUGAAAAAAUCAUAUUUAAAUCAUUGAUAAUGAAAGCUUCAUCAAAAUAAUGGUCAAACCUUCAUGAUAUUGAGGUUGAUCAACCUAGACCCAUCAUGAUCGCAUGGUUUCAAAUGUGAAUCCAAUGACCAAAAGUGACUUCAAUAAGAAAAAAAUUAUUUUCUAUAUGAAAUCAAGAUGACCCCCUUACAUGAUGGUGAUCCACUAAGUUUCUUCUCUACGAUUAUGAUAUAAACAAUGGAAACGUAAAGAAAUACUUUGGGCUGCACUAGUAGCAAAUGAUAAUAGCUGAGGUAAAGUUGAAAAUACCCUGAAUCAACCCUCAUAAAAUAUUAAGAAAUCUACAUAAAUAAUUUUAUUAUACUACUAGUCUGAAUUAUACAUUUCAAACUUAAUAAGAUAGUCUAAAUUUCCAACGAACAUCAUUAUCAAAGGAUAUUUACCAAUGUCAAUCCCUGGUCUUAACUUUUUAACACCUCAUCUUAAAUCUCAAAAUCAUAGAAAAAGCUUUAAAAGAUAAACAAAUCAAGCUACAAAUUCAAAAUCAACAUUCUUGAGCUAAUUUCAUUAAUGAAAUUUUCAUAUGAUAUUCCGACCCUCGAAUAUUGUUCAAAGCCAACUAUUCCAAAUCUAAUGUCUUUCAAAAUAAAAAUCUAAUUUAAUUUCAAUGAAAAACCUCAAAAAGUAUGUCACUCAUUCGUGCAAAACACAAACAUCAAAAUAGAAUUACGAGGAAGGAUAAAAUAGUCAAAACACACAAACAACUAUCACAACAAGGGUUGUUGCAUGCUUCUGUAAUAUGGAAUAUUAAAAAUUUUUCUAUGUAAGGAAUAAUUUCGAGUUGGAUGAAUACUUAAAAUUUACCUUAUGUGAAAUGCAUGGAAAAUAGAAAAUCAUUCACUUUAAAAUAUGACUUAAAACAUUCAUGAUUUGAUUGUCUCUGCUAUCUCUUAUCAAUGGAUCACAAGUUUAAAAAAAUAAAAAAUACAUUUAAAAAAUAUAAGAUUAAAGAUGACCUAUCACCUCUAUCACUGUCACAAUAUGACAUUUGAAAGAAAAUUUGUCAGUAGUCUACAGUUAUAAGAUCUUUACCCUGUGUGCUUUUUGGAUAUGGUAUUGAACAUAAUUGGGCUAAAUUUAGCAUAUUAGAAAGAAAAUAUUCAAUAAUACAAUUGAGAAAUGGUGUUGAACAUAAUCGGACCAAAUAGAGCAUAUUGAAAGGAUAAUUUUCUUAUAUUAUAAUUGAGACGUGAUGCAUAUUAAAAAAUAUUUUAACAAUUUAUUCAACAUAGUAAUUGAUGUUAAGGGAAAGACAAAAGACAAUUAAAAAUCUUGAAGGAACACUAGGAAGUAUUACAGGUGAAAGGUGUUGUGGUUGCAAGAAUUGAAAAAAUGGUAAAGUUUUUAAUCUAUUCACAUUGGAUGAGAAACAAUAUAUAUGUGAGUGGAUUAGUAAUUUAAGGAUGUUUGAGGGCUAUGCUUCAAAUUUGAAAAAUUGGCCAGUUAUGAGUGAAGGAAAGUAGUGUGGUCUGAAAACUCAUAAUUAUCAUAUCUUCAUGGAAUCUUUGAUUCCUAUCACAUUUAACCACUGACUUGACAUAAUAUUAAAAUCAAUCAUAAAUAUAAAUUUUUUCUUCAAAGAAUUAUGUUCUAACACUUUGGUAAAGUCUAAAUCUGCAAUAAUGGAUCAUAAUAUUAUAUUCAUCACCACUAAGUUAGAGAAGAUCUUUCAGUGUGGCUUUGUUAAUAUGAUGACAUAUCUUUCAAUUCACCAUGUAAAUAAGGCAUGAAUGGGCCCAGUUCAAUAGGAUGUACCCAUUAGAGAAAUAUUUAUUAUUAAGUAAUUUAGUUAUUUAUUUUUAAAAUAAUACUAUCUAACAUGCAAUACAUGACUAUUAAUUAGUGAAAACAAACUACUAAAUAGAGGUCUAAAAUGGAAGGAUUAAUUUGUGAAGUUAGUCUUACAAGAGAAACUACUCAUUUUUAUUCUUAUUAUUUUGGGGAUCAAGUAUCACGUAAUAAAAAUAGGAUCAGUUAUAAUGAUUAUGGUAUACUGAUCAUCAAUAUCUACCGUAUCAAUUUUUAAUCACCUUUGUAGUGAUCCUAAAAAAUAAAAAAGAUGACGUUUGACUAGUAUGUUACUGCAAUCUACUGUGAGACAUAUUUUUCCUAUUAUCCUAAGAUUCAAUCAUAACUUAAAUAAGUUUUAGAUGGUGUUAUCAAAUUGUAUGAAUUUAAAUCUAUAUGUUCAACUGAUGAUGAAAUCUCAAUGUAUACUAAACAGUUUAUUCAUAAAAAUAUAUGGUAAUUAUGUCAUAUGGUGGUUUUUGAUUAUCUGAGAGACUAUGUAAAUUUGAAAGUUCAUAUUGAUUAAACAAGUAUAAUAUACUCAACAAUUAAAAGAUAUUAUUUUUCAUGUGUAAUAUGUGAGUUCAUGCUUAAUAUAGUACUAUUGAACAUUUAUAAUUUAUGAGAGAUGUAGCAUAUGGGCCUCAAAGUGAAAUUGGUAAAUGAAUAUGUAUUGUUUUAAUGAUUUCAAUUUCAAUAUGAUUUUCUAUGUAUAAGAAAAUAAAUAAUAGUGGAAUGUGCAUUCAAGGUGAUGUUACUAGUAAAAGACAAACUAUUGAAUAUUAUGGGGAAAUAAUAGAUAACAAUAGUUAGGUGUCCUAGAUGGCUGGAAAAAAAAUUACUAUUUUGGUGCAAGUGGUUUGAUCUGUCAUAGAGAGGUACCAAGUUGAAUCAACCACAUAAUGUAAUUGAAGUUAAGCACAAGAGAUAACAUGACAACUAUGAUCUUUUAUCACUACACAAAAUUUUAAGUAGGUGUAUUAUACUUUAUAUAGGUUGCAUUGAGAUAAACUUGGUCAUUGGAUUUUUAUAAUGACUGAGACUUUGAUGAGGAUUGACAUUUCUUAUCCAAAAGUUUUUCAUAAAAUAGUGGAUUCUAAGUUAGAAAAUAGUCUAAAACAAUCGUAACACAUAUUUAAAGAAGGGUCUGGCGAUGUGAUAACUGUCAUCAUAGUUAUUAAGGAUUAUUUAGAUAGGGAAAAUGAAUAAAUCAAGGAUUGAGAAUGGAACGAUGAUUAUGAAACAAUUGAGAAUGAUGAAUAGAAUGAUGAUCGAAAUAAAAUAUAUGAGGAGGAAAAAUGCAUUAACAUAUACUGGCAUGUUGUUUGUUUUCUUACAACUAAUUUUAUUUAAUAUAUAUGAAUUUGGUUAUAUAUAUAUACACACAUGUAUAUAUCAACACACACUAGCAUGCCGAUGUCAUCAGGUUAUGCUGAUUGAGGUUUUAAUAGUAAGAGUAGAGAAUUAAGAAAGAGUAAGAAAAAAGAAGUUGUAAUAGUAAUAAAUCCUAGCGAUGUUCCAGGUCACCUUUCAUCAUCUCAAAAAACUCACUCUUCUUCACUAGUGCCUUAUAUCACCUAUGUUAAAGAUUAAAUAAAGAAAAUAAUAUUAUCCCAGAAGUCUAACUAGAAUAAAAAAAUCAGUCAAAGCAUAUACAAAAAGACCAAUGACAAAGAAGAUAGAGACAACUACAAUAGCAGUGGGCAUACUCUACAUUUUUAUGGUAUUUCCCUAAAAAUUCUCUUUUCUAGAACUUACACUGCCUCCAUUAACCACUUAUCACACUAUCGUGCUUACACUAAUUAUGCAUCCAUCAUGGGGCAACCCAACAUCCGCAUGGUCAGUACUCCAUCUUGACAUGAUUCAUCCUCCAUCUAUAAUGCUUUUAACUUAGUGAUAUCAACUGUACUUUUUGACAGAUAGGAAUCCACUCCUUUAUUGACUCAGUUUUAUACACUUCUACCAUACCAUCUGUACCAUCACAUACAACUACACCUCUAUUAGAUCCUACACUAUCAAAAUUAUUCUACCAACAACCACCUAAAUAUCUUAACGAGCUUGAUAAAAUGAUAGCCGAACUUGAUGGAGUUGGGCAAGUUUGUUUUCUAAUUCUAUUAGUUUAUUUAUCUUAAGUAAUUAUUUAUGAAUUAAAAUAUUUAUUACUAUUUUUUUAGGUUCAACUCAGAAGAUGGAUGAACUCUAAAUGGGAGCAUUAAAAGGCUUUAUCAUCAUAUUUGGCCAUCCUGAUUUAAGAUUCCAUAGAGUAUAUGAUGGACCAUGUUUGAUGAUCUUAAGAUAUAUAUGAUAAACUACAUCUAACACUCAUCACUUUAUUUUUAGAGAUAGUGUACUUGGAAUUCAAAGUGUAAGAAGAUCAUUUUCUUUACUUUUGAGAGGAAGUGUAGUAUAAGGAUGUCUGACUAGCUUAGGAAUGCUCGAUUAAAUAAACAUAAGUUUGAUUUGGUUCUAUCGUCAUCUUUAUGUGGAGCUUCAUGAUUAUUGAAUGAUGCUUGAAUUUAUGGAUAAGUGUGAACAAAAAAAAGAUCAAGGAUGAAGAAAAAAGUGGCUUAUUGCACACUGUAAUGGAAAAAGCCAUGGAAUAAUGGCUAAAAUUGGUAAGUUUAAUUAAAUAUUGUUUGAUUAAGUUUAAUUACAUUUUUUUUGCAGUUCAAAACAUUAGGGUGCAUGUGACUCAGAAAGAGCUUUUUUGAGCAACAUGAGUUAAAAAAAUGAGUCAGAUCUAAAUAAAUGGGUUGAGCCAAGGACUCAACAAGCCUAUGUUAGUUUAAAUUAUUAGAUACAAACGCUCAAGUGUAUCUAUUAUGUAUGUAUGUGUGUGUGUCUAUAUGAUGACUUUCUAUUUUAUAUAUACAAACUAAUUAUCCAUUGUACUUGUUUGAAUAUAGCCAUACUCAGCAAGACUUAGGUGUAUAGUGGAUGUUGUUGCCAAAUUUGGACUGAGCAUGUGGCAAAGAAGAUAAAAAGGGAGAGUCUAUGUUCUAGGCUCUAGGAAUUCAGUCUGACACAUAAAAUCAGGACAUGAAGGUAUAUAUUGGUACUUGAAGAAAGACUGUGGUUGUUGUUGAUGAUCAGAUUGAUGUUAUGCCACAACCAAUCUAAUAGCUUAUGCAUUCCUUGGCAGAUGCCAAGGCUAGAUAGACUAGUCAAGAUAAAAUAUUUGUAGUAUCAUCGAGGCGUAUGUGAAUAACCUACUUGGAAAUCACCCGCGUGAUACGUUAUAUUUUUCCCUCUCCUCAAAUGAUGAACAAAAUUUCUAGUAGUGAUUGGUAGUAUCUGGAAAUGCCCCUUAGGUGUAAAUUAUCAUGGUUGAACACUAAAGACAAAUUGGAAACUUUUUUUUUAUAUUUGAAGUUUCUUUGUGUUGGAUGACGUUGUAGAUCCUUUUAGUAGAUCUAUUAAUAUUGCAUGCAAUAUUUAUAAUCGAUAAUUAUUUGUUUUUGAUGUUGUAGUUGAUAUAGAAUUGAUUUGUCAGCAAUUAGUUUGGGAAUAUAGAUGAUAUUGAUUUGUUUUCAAUUUGGCAUAUGGACUGCAUAAAAAAAAAAAUUUGCAUUUAAUUUUUUUAGAAAAUUGAAUGAUAGGUUUUACUGGUCCAUCAAUUUUCUCAAAAAUCACCAAAUGCGAAAACCGUAAUAACCUAGAGGGUCGGUAUACUAUGAUUUUUUGGAAAAUAAAUUAUUUAAUAUACCAUUUAUGUUCUUCGUUAUACUUUCUCUUUUCACAUCAAAAUAAUAAUUUAAAAAAUGACAAACUAUAUUUAAAUAAAAUCGAAGGAAGUCCAUAUAUUUUUUUCUAAUGAAAAAAGGCCGGUCAGAUUCUUAAUACUGGAGAAUCAAAAAUUGACGAUUGUGAUUGCAUUGAUUUUCCAUUGAUUUUGACUAAAAAAUGGCGUUGUUCGUCUUUUUUAUCCCUAAUAUGUUGGGUCAUUUUCAGUAGUGUGACGAGAUGUUUUAGAGCUUUCAUUACUAGCGUUUUUGAAGCUAUGUUAGGAGGCUUCCUUCUUCAUUUAUGAAAGGGGCCCCUCCAAUAUCAAUUAGAUGUGGAUUCUAUAUUUUAACUUAUUGUGUGCAAAGAUCAGCGCAUCUCGUACUACUUUUAUUGUUGACAAUAAUUGUUACAUGGCAUAAUAUUAAUUUACAGUUUCCACAUUGAUGAUUAUCCACCAUUACUCAAAAUUGAUCUGAACUAAUAGCAUACAUCUGUCAUUUUCCAAUAUAAGCCUGUACCAUAACCAAGCUCCACUUCUAUAAUGUUAUGUAGCUCUAAAUGUGAAUAUUUUUCUUUAGUAAAGGGUCCAUUUAAUGUAAUAACAUGACUUUUAACUCUUUUUUCUUGUUUGCGCUUGAAGACAACAAUGAUGCAAUCCAAACACUAAUUACCCAUCCAAUUUGGUAUAAAUAAUAUAGUCAUCAAGUCUUGGCAACUAACUAUUAAAAAUCUUCACAGCCCGUGUUGUUCUCUUGAAAGAACAUGGAUUAUUAUAUUAUCAAGUGCACUCGUAUGAGUACGUUUGCUGGGAUUUACUUAUUUAGUAGUUACAAAUCUAAAUUGUAUUAUUUAAUAUAUUUGGCGUGAUUAAUCUAAUUAGUAGUGUUAACUCGAUGUUGUAUUAUUAAAUUUAAAUGUAAAAGAUCUAUCCUUAGAAAAGCUCUUUUAUCUCCUUUAACUUAAGUUUGAUUUAAUCCUAAUGAAUUCUGUUGGCAUACAAACUAUGAAAAAACGAAUAACAUCACUAUAAUUAGUGAUAGUACAAUAUGACUAAUUGGGCAUAUUUACUUGUCGUGAUUUUAAAAAGCAAUAAUAAAUAGCAUGACUAUUUUGGUUAUCAUCGCAGAUUAAAAUGGAAAUUGCACUAUUAGCUAUAAGCAUUUUGUUGUUAAUUUGAUAUGUAUGUGAAUGGUAUCUAUGUGUGUGCGCUCUCGUGUAAAUAUACUUGCUCAGACUAAGAAGGGGUGUUGGUGCAAAUGGCUAGCACGUAGGUUUCAUAUCAUCCAAGUAAUCCUAAGGUCACAUUUUUAUUAUUUUAAAUAAUUUUGUUGUUUAUUUGAUUUCAAUCUCAUUUUGGUACAUUGAAUGUUGAAAUAUGGGGUGUGCACCACCUUUAAGGGACCAAAUCCCUAAGGUGAGGCAUACAGAAAUAAAAUAGUAAACGCAUAAUAAUUGCAGAAAAUAAAUGAAUAAGCAGAUUUAUGUGGAAACCACCUUGAUCAAGGGAGGAAAAAAUAAGACUUUCCCUAACAAACACUCAAUCUCCAGUAUAAUAAUAAUUUAUUAAUUAUAGACUCCAAUGAACUUAACUCUAAGUUCUUCAACUUGUAUUAACUUUAUUCCAACCACUUCUUGACAACUUUGUCACCUAUACUCUCAAUAUCGAUUAACUCUAAUCGACACCACUUAGGUAACCCUACCGAACAUACUUUACAACAAUUCAGAAGGGUUACUCUUAUUUGUUGAGUAAAUCUGUUAGAAAGCAAGACACAAAAACUCUUUCCUAAAAGCAGUAACAAUUUAAACCAUGAUUUGUGAGAUUUUUAACCACAACCAUUAAUUUCGCUGAUGUUGUAAGAAUGGUGGAAGAUCAAACAUCUCUUUUAAUUUCUAGUACUGUAGAUAAUGAUUGGACCAUGUGUCUGAUCAGAUAUGUUGUUCACCUACAUAGUUUGUUGCACUAGCGGACAAAAGUGUGCAGAGAUGUGACAGCUGUACCAGGAAACGGUAUGUAAGGGACCUGGUCCUUCAAUUUAAACUAGUCACUAUCAAAACAUGAGACAAUAAUUUUCCCUCUUUUUUAUGAUGAAAAACCAUUACCUCAGACUAUCAAAAAUUAUUCAUAUUUAGAGCAACCACCUGUAUCUACAACAAUAUUCUUCUGUCAGUGGCAUCCCUUUACUCUCAUGUCACACACAUCAUAAAAUUAUAAAAGUGUGUGUUCCCUAUAUCAACAUUCCCCCUAAAUCAACAUUUUCCUUUACAUUCACAUUCCCCAUAUCAUCAGCAAUCUCCUACACAUUCAUAUUCUCUCUAUCAUCUGGAUUCUCUUAUACAUUCAUCCCCCUAUACCACUUCCACCUAUCAUUAGCAUUCUCCUGCAUAUUCAUUCUUCAAGUAAAUUGGUCCCUACCAUGAUGAAGUCAACAUUUUCCCUUUUAGAAAAUAAAAAAGAAAUAAUAGUAAAUAAAGAAAAAAUAAGCACAAAUCGGUUAACUCAUGGACAGUGGGGCAACAUUUAGAUGAAUGAACAACUAUAAAGUAAAAAAACUAGUUGAUAGAAACAAAAUAAGAUUCCAUUCAUGAAAGAUAGCAAGUACUAUACAGUGAAAUAAAAAUUAACAUAAAAUUCUAUAUCCUAAAAAGACACAGGAAUCAGGAAUCAAGAAGGGGGAACUGACACAGGUUCUAGUAAAUUUAAUAGGGGAGGCUUAUGUGGAAGGAGGUUUAGGGGAGAGAGACUUGAGAAAUAUCUCCAUUUUAUCAGUCUCUAUAAUUUGAGCAUUCAACAGCUUCUUAGUAAGGUCCUUAACUUAUGCAUUCAGUCCUCUAACCUGCGUAGUGAGUGUUGCAACCUUAGUCUAGAGUUCUGAAUUUUUUGCUGCAAGUACUUCAGCAACACCUGGUCCCUCAAAGGCACACUGUUGAGUCUUCAUCUUCAUGUACAUAAUCUCUGUAUUCUUAGCAGCUAACCCAACUCUCAUAUCCUCUUCUUUUUUACUCAUUCUCUCAUGGACUUAUAGCAACUCUAACACUUGGGACAUUGUCCCUACCUUUACUUCUACAAAUUUAUUCUCAAUUAGUGUAGUCAGAGUGAACAUUUGUUUAACAAUUCAACGAGUUCCAUUUCACCUACAAUACCAAAAUAUCAAACACACAAUUCAAGAAGUAACUAUAAGGCAUACCAUAUUUUCCUUUCUUCAUAUGAAUAGCCUAAUACAUAUGUUCCAUUAUCAAGGCAGGUAAAUAGAUUCAUUCAAAUUUGCUGAGGCACUACAACACAUACAAAUAUACAGUAGAUACUAUAGUCCUAUCCUCAGAUCUAGGUAGUACCAGUUUAUUGAUAAACUCAAACACUAGUUGAAACUCUUUUGUGAGAAAUUUCUUUCUUAUACCUACAACAGAGGUUCCCCUAUCUUUUGAUGCAUCUAAUAUAAAUUCAGUCGAGUUCUACUAUUUUGAAACAAAUCUCACACCAAUGAUGACAACAUCUAGAAUUUUCCCCAGUGUUUCUUCAUCCAACUUCAAUUUAUUUACUUAGCCUAAAGAAUCUAGACACAACCCAUCUUAUGAGAAUUUCACAAUAUAGUUGAACCCGUACAUCCCUUCAAAGACAGACGGGACUGGUUCCUCUAGAAUGUGUAGCUAUCUGUGGUGUGCCACAUACUCCACCAGCUUCACGAUUCUAUGUUUAUUAAAUUUCCUAGAAUCAAAUACUCUUCCGGUAAGUACUUUUGAAAUUUUUAGUAUUUCAUCUCAUUACUUUGUAGACACAAAGUUCUAUUUUUACUCCUUCCUUUUUUUAGAGCCACUGCUUGGUUCUUCUUCUACUACUUUUUUGUUUUUACGAACAUGACCCUCGGUUGCUUUCUUCUAAUUUAUACCAAUAUGAUUCUAUUUCAUACUAGUAAGACUUCUAGAUUUUGUAGGAGAGAACCUGGUCGUUCCGUUCUUCUAAAGUCUAACACCUUCUACAAUAUCCACUACUUCGGCAUUUUUUUCCUGAACCACAAUGACUUUCUUUAACCUACUGCUAUUAAUGGUUACUAAAUUUUUUACCUUCAUAGCAUCCCACUAAUAAAUUUUUCCUAGUACCCCUAGUAGAGUGAGUUUUUAUAGCUUUUACACCAGUAUCAACCACAUUUUUUACCCUUACUGCCCCUUUGUUUUUUUCGCUGACUAUAUUAGAGGCAAUUCAUCAUCAUCAAUUUGAUGCUGCCUAUUUAGAGGUUGUACAAUUUCCCUAAUAGUCUCAUCAGUAUUAGGAGAUGAAUCUCUUAUUUUCUCACCAAUACCUUGCUCCUCCAGACUAAAAUAACUAUCUCUAGGGUCAUUUAUUCUUAGCAACCCAACCUUCAUUGGCUAACUAAAUACUGGAAGGAUAUAAUUUUUUCAUGUGAAGCUCUUUAUCAAAGAGUUGGGAAAAAAUAGGAUUUGACUUUGAUGAGGUUGGAGAACCAAGUUCGUUCAGGGUUUCAGAGGGGUCAGUCUUUUUUGUGACUUCUAAAGGAAAGGAAUAUUGAGGGAACUCAAUUUUAAUAGGGGAACCAAAUGAUUCACUAUGGGCUACAAUAAUGGCAGGCUCAAAUAGGCGUUAAAAAUCUUUUGAAAUUUCUUCCAUGGUUGGCUCAUUUAUGCAAAUAUGCAUUAAGAGUGCGUCAUCUAUAUAAGGUUCAGGGGAGGGUGUAGAUGGUGGAAUAAAAUUUGUUUGUUGAGGAGAGUUUGUAGAACUAUCCUUUUCAAUUCAUCUCAGAAUGGGCAUAUUAGAGACUUAGGACCUGAAAUUUUAGCUAAGUGUUAGAGACUUAGUCUUAUUUUUUGAUCUUGAAACAUUGAUGACUUUAUUUUAAACUUUCCCAACCUUGGAAUGACAGUUUUUAAGAUGUUUCAUGAUUAACGUAGUCCAUAGUACCUCUCGGGUAAGUUUUGAAAUUUUUGAAGAAGGUUUGGGGCAUGUUUGGAUGGCCAAAAUAGAAUGUCAAUGCGAUAUGGAUGUGCGACAUUGGUGGUCGGGUUAAGAAAGGAAAUGCGAUGUGUCGCAAUAAGCGGCUUGAUGCACUUCUUAUCUCAUUGGUGCCCAGUUUAGUGUUGCUAAAUGACCGGUUAAUGGGGGUAUUUGUGUCAUUUACCCUAAACUAAAUCUGCCCAAAAUAGAUAAUUUGAGCCCCAAAUAGCAUAGAUACUUCAUUUUUCAUCUUUUUCCUCUCUAAGAACAAAAUCCUAGCUCUAACAAAUCAAGAAAAAUUCCAUUACUUCUCCAAGAAAAUCAAUAAUCCAAGCUUGCUGGUUUAAGAACUUAAAGAAGAAACAUCAAGAAAACUAUUAGAAAUUCAAAAGUUCAAGCGUUUACAUUCAAUUAAUCCAACAAGGUAUGUUGGAUUAUGAACAAGGAUACUUCUUUCAUCUUUGUAUCCAAAACUAGAUUUUAAAGUUAAAUUUACAUGUAUUUCAUUCUAGGGUUCAUACCCAAAUAUCAUUAUUUGAAGAUUAUGAAGUUACAAGUAAUUUAAGUGUUGUAUUACAUAUCUAAUUUCACAUGUUCGUGAGACUUGAUUUCACAUAUUAAUAAUUGAAUUUUCAUUAUCUUGACUAGAAUUGUUAAAGUAUUUCAAGAUUAUUAUUGUUGAGGAUAAAGUUUGUAGUGAUUUGACAUGAUUUUAAAGCAUGGGUUAUAAGUCCUAAGUUUAACCCUUGAUAUUUCAAGAAAGGUGAUAUUUAAGCAUUCUUUGAUAAGCAUGAAUUCAUAUUUUAAGAAAUAUUUUAUCUUGUAAUCCUCAUCUAAGAUAUGGAAUCAACAUAUUUAGACUUCAUUAUAGUUCAAAAUAGACAGGUGCAUAACUUUUUUUCAAUAUAAACCAUUAUAUUGUUUUUAAGGUGUAUUUCAUACAAAAUAAGCAUAUAAGUAAGGGAUUAGUAUUUAGCACCGAGUUGGGUAUGUCUCAGUUCAUAUUCCCCAAAACUAUGAGCGAAAUAGUUACAAAUUUAAAGAAAUCACAUUUAUAUGGAUGGAUAAAAAGAUUGUGACCACAUAACUCAAGUUAUAUUCCCUGAAAACAGUAUGCCACCUCUCUCCAAUAUGCGGUUUUCCCUAAAGGGGAGCUAGAUGUUGGACACUAUGAUAGCUAGCAUAGUGUAUGUCAGUUAGAAAAACCUCUAUAAUAAAAAAGAAUAACUGAAAUUUUUUUAGAAGAAACUCCCUAUGUCCUAAAGUAAAAUAACAGAAUAGCUUUUAGAAACUAAGUGUAAAGUCUCAAUAUUUUAUUUAGAUAUUAUUUUACAUAAGUCAUUAGCAAUGAGAUUUCACCUUUUAGUUUACAGAUAUAGAGGUGAGUCCUUUUACACUUAGCCUGCAUGACUUUAAAUCAAACAUAACUUCUGUCCUACUCAGUUCAUUAUUAGAAAGAGUAAAAGUAAAAUUUUUAGAACUAAGUGUUAUGUCUCAUAUGAUUUUCAGUAUGCUUAUUUCCCCUUAUUUAUGAUUUUAAGCUUUUAGGUUUUCAACCCAAUGUGAGUAACGUACACUUAGCAUGCUAAUUUUGAAAGUUUGUUUGAAUAUUGCAUUACAGAUUUACUUAUUGAUUCUCCCCCAUAUGCUCAGUACUUUCCAAAACUACUGAUCCACAAAAAAAUCUAUGUGCUACAUUAUUUAAUAAUUCGGUUCAGGUACUCAUUCCUAAUAGCAUGAUUGACCGUGAGCAUCUUUAUCUACAUACUGACAGGUGGUGAGUCCUCAUAGUUUGAGGACCCAUUUAUUAAGAUUUUUCAGCUUCAUGCAGUAUUUGAUUUGUUAAUUUUAGUUAGGCUUGAGUUAGCUAAGGGUCUAUCCCAUUGGCUCUCUAAUUCGUAGAAAUAAAGGCUUAUCUAACUGCUAGUUACAUUUCAGAUUUAAAGUAUUGGUUGUCUAGACUUUUAAGUUAAAUAUUUCAGACAUUAUGUUUAGUUAAAUCCUAUUUAGUUUAGAUAGUAUGAAGUAUUUUAAUAUUUUUUCAUACCUAGAUUGCUUUAUUAUGAGUUCCAGAUUCGGUAGAAUGAUUAUAGUGUUAGCUUGAGACUUGCCGUGGUCUUGAACACCGUGUGACUUCUCGAUACAUAUUUUUGGGGAUUUACAAUAUUAUUAUCUAAGCAUAAGGUUUAAAGAGUCCUAAGGAGUAAGAUAAUUUGUGUUAUGUAGAGUCUUGAUCAUGAGUGUGAAGUACGCCGCAUUUAUGAGCUAGAGGAUAUCUAAAGUUUUAGGAAAUCAUACUUUUUUCAUGAUCUAUCAUGCUUAUAGUGUCCUUAUUGGCUUUUAAGUUGCGCUCUGAUGUGACAGAAUAUGCUUCCUUGUCGAGCUAAUACAUGCAAAAUAAUAACCAGCCACCCUACCUGUAGAUUCUUUGAAUGAAAAUGUGUCCCAUGCUGAGUUUUGGGUUACCUUUAAAGUAUUGGCACAAGCUAUAACUGCCAAUGUUCAGGGCACCCAUCAGGCUGCAGUCCUAUUUUAGUAGAAUGGUGAUCUAGCGACAGCUAGAAUUCGUGACUUCAUGAGGAUAAAUCUGACGGAGUUCCUUAGCUUAAAAGUAGGUGAGGACCCACAAAUCUAUCUUGAUUAGUUAAGAAAUAUUAACCAAAUUAUGCAUUUUAAUGAGGAGAAAAGUGUAGAGAUAGCAUUCUAUAGGCAGAAGGAUAUGGCGUAUGAAUGGGUAGUUAUGUGGAAGAAUGGUAGAGGUGAGAAUGCAGCUCCUUUGAGUUUGAAGGUAUUUGAGGAUAUGCUUCUAGAUGGUUUUUUAUGCACAAAUUAAGAGAAGCUAAGGUAGAGGAGUUUAUGAACCUUAGGCAUGUGUCACAGGGUCAUUUUUCACUGUGUCAGCAGCACAUAAUUUUUCUCAUGCGGCGCCAAUGGUUCCCCAUACUAUGGGCUAGCCUUCCUUAUUUCCUAAGUCUUUAGCAUGAUCCUGUGCCUGUGGGAAGCUCACCUCAGAGGUUUACUCCCUUUGGUGCCACUCUAUGAACAUGUCGUCUGACAUGGCCAACGUAUAAGCAACUCUUAUAGUGCACCUUUAAUCCUUGGAUCUUAUCCAUAUGCACUCCCGGGGAUGGCUACGGACAUACUACCCUCUCACCUAGACCUGGGCAUUGUAUAGCGUGCACAGUCCUAUCCUCAAGCUUUACAUCACCUUAUGCAUGUGCACUUGGCCUUUGUUUCGCCCGAGUAAGGCAACCGUCAAUCCUUGGCCUUAGUCACAAGUGUCUUUCUUAGAUAUGCCAUCUCAUGCCUUAUGUUAUAGCCAAACAUAGCCCACGCAACUUGCAUUCAGCUUUCAUAGCACAGUGUCGCCCCACAACUGCGCAAUUAGGCCAACGGACCAUUGCUUGCUUGGCUGAACUUUGACCAAGAUCACGAGUCUCUUGGGGAGAGUAUCUCGAUUGCUCUAUCGGCUUGACGGUAUCCUUACAUCAUUUAGAAAGCCUGAAGGGCAUGUUGAUUCAUAUAGCCAAUCUUCAGCCUUGUCAGGGUGCCCAGCGCUAGUCCACCCGACCCUGCGUUUCCUAUAGUAUUCCCGAGCCCUAUGAGUACCUUGCUCAUUUCUUUGACAUGCCAAGGUAGGCCCUUGAGGUUGUACCUCAAGGAAGCACACUUGGGGUGGCCAUCUGUCCACACAUCCGGGGGAGGUUGGUAGGCUAUCACCAUGUAUACCUCCCUUAUAUAUGCUUAAAAUAAAUAAUCCCAAUAUCUGGCACUAGACAUCAUUUUGCCCGAGAACUAUACUGGGACUUAGAUCAUUCAUUCGAACUUCAAAUUAGAUGUCGUGUGUUCCUACUUCUUUCUCUUGACUUCCUUCACACCUCCAUGAAGUUUCACUCCAUUCCCAUACACAUGGAACAAGUUAUGGCCUUCGAACCAAUCAGUAAAUUAUGAUAAUGCCACUGGACUUUAGCCAUGUCAAGCCCCUAUCCAAACGGACUCCAAAUAACCCUAAAUUUGGUAAGCAUACAUAAGGUACCCUUAAUAUCAACACUUUAAAUCAGAAUCCUUAGAUUCCACUUGUAGCUCAAAAUGGCAUGACGCUGACAUCGAACAUUGCAAACGAUCCUCACCAUGCCUCCGCCCCCUUGGGCUGUAAAUAAACCCUCUCUAAAUCACCAUUCCUAGAGUCUUAAUUUAGCAGAGUGCUUAUCUAGCGAUACCCAAAAUUCGGGACUUCAUGAGGAUGAAUCUGAUGGAGUUCCUUGGCUCAAAAGUAGGUGAAAACCCAUAAAUCUAUCUUGAUUAGUUAAGAAAGAUUACCCAAAUUAUGUAUGUCAAUAAGGAGGAAACUAUACAGAUAGCAUCCUAUAGGCAUAAGGAUAAGGCAUAUGAAUGCGUGGUUAUGUGGAAGUAUGGUAGAGGUGAGAAUCCAGCUCUUUUUAGUUGGAAGGUAUUUGAGGAUAUAUUUCUAGAUGGUUUUUUAUUCACAAAUUGAGAGAAGCUAAGGUAGAGGAGUUUAGGAACCUGAGGCAGGGCUUGAUGACAGUGAAGGAGUACUGCCUUAAGUUCAAUCAGUUGUUUAAGUAUGCCCCUGACACGAUGGCAGACCCUAGGUCAAGUAUAAGUAUGCUUUUUAUUGGAGUGUUUAAUUUUGUAGUCAACUAGUGUAAGACUUCCAUGCUUAUUCAGGAUAUAGAUCAUUCUAGGUUGAUGACUCAUGCUCAAUAGAUUAAGGCAAAGAAGCCAAAUGAGAGAGAGGGGGGAGGGGGAAUAAGAAGGCUAGAACUAAACAAUUUGAGUUUGGCCAAAUAAGGUUUGGAGGGGCAAAUCAUUCACAAUAUUAGGGUCUUUAAACUAUGCCAGUACCAUCUUCAGCUAAUGCUCCCAAACCAGAACCAAUUAGAAGUAGUGGGGUAGAACAUCGAUGUCCAGGUCUUAGAGUAGUGAGGAUGGAAGGCCUUGUUAUUCGACAUGUUCUUGUGGUAAGAAUCAUCCUGGUGAGUGCUUGUCGGGAGAAAAAGCUUGUUAUGGAUGUGGUAAGUUGGGUCACGAAAUCAAAAAGUGCCCAUAUGCUAAGCAUGGAAUUAGGGAUCUUUAUCCCCAGACUCAGGGUACUAACACACUAGCUCUAAAAGGUCGCCUAUCUCUCUCACAGGGUGCAUCAUCCAGUACUGCUAGAAGGUAGUUCCUGAUUAAGUUCUAUGCUUUACUAUUUCAUCAGGAGCUAGAGAGUUCAUCAGAUGUUGUUAUUGGUUUGCUUCGUGUCUUUCAUCUUUAUGUUUAUGAGUUGUUAGACCUCGGGUCAAAUCUCUCUUAUGUGACCCCAUUAGUUACAGUAAAUUUUAGGGUAAGUCCUAAAAAACUUGCUAAGCCCUUCUUAGUUUCCACCUCGCUGGGUGAGUCUGUUAUUGCCAAACGAGUCCAUUGAAAAUGUCCUAUCAUUGUCCUUAAUAUGAUCAUAUUAUUAGGCAUAAUAGAGUUACACAUGGUCAAUUUUGACAUUAUUCUUGGUAUGGAUUGGCUCUAUUGUUAUGAUGCAUCUAUAGAUUGUCGCACUCAAGUAGUGAAGUUUCAAUUUCCUAAUAAGCCAACCGUUGAGUGGGAAGGUAAUUCAGUGCCUACCAAGAUUCAUUUCAUAUACUAUCUUAAAACCAGAAAGUUGUUAUCAAAAAGGUGCAUCUAUCAUCUAAUAUGAGUCGAAGACACUAUGUCUGAGACUCUAACUUUUCAGUUAGUCCAUGUAGUCAAUGAGUUUCCAAAGUUUUUCCUAAAGAUUUGGCAAGGGUACCUCUUGACAGAGAAAAAGAAUUCGUCAAUGAUCUUCUUCCUGAUACUCAACCCAUCUUCAUUCCUCCAUAUCUUAUGGCCCUAGCUGAGAUUAAAGAGUUGAAGAGCAUCUUAAAGACCACUUAGAUAAAGGUUUCAUAAGGCCUAGUAUUUCUCCAUGGGGUGCUCCCAUCCUAUUCGUGCACAAGAAAGAUGGUUCUCUCUGAAUAUGUAUCUACUACCGUCAAUUGAAUAAAGUCACAAUCUAAAGAAAAUAUCCUCUUCCUAGGAUUGUUGACUUAUUCGACCAACUCCAAGGGUUAAGUUACUUAUCUAAGAUUGACCUUAGAUCUGACUAUCAUCAAUUUAGAGUAAGAAAAUGUGAUAUUUUAAGGAUAACUUUCAGAACCCGUUAUAGUUAUUUUUUUCUAGUCAUGUCCUUCGGGCUAACAAAUUCCCCAGCAACCUUUGUGGGACUUUAUGAACUAAGUGUUCAAAUAUUACCUAUACUUGUUUGUUAUACUUUUUUAUCGAUAGUAUACUUGUUUAUUCCCAUAGCAAGGAUGACCACACCGACCAUCUUAGAAUUAUGUUGCAAACUCUUAGAGAUCACAAGUUGUUUGCCAAAGUUAGCAAGUGUGAAUUUUGGCUAGGAUCAAUAGCUUUCCUCAGUCAUAUUGUUUUUAGUGAUAGCAUUAGAGUUGAUCCCCAAAAGACCAAAGCGGUGAGAAACUAUCCUAGACCCAUACUCCAUCUGACAUGUAGUGUUUCUUGGGCAUAUCUGGCAAUUACCAAUGGUUUGUUAAUGGGUUUUCAUCUAUUGCGUCCCCCAUGUCGAGAUUGACCCAAAAGAAGGUUAAGUUUUAGAUGUCAGAUUCCUGCAAGAAGAUUGUGUGUGUUAUGCGUUGACGAUUUGAGGCACCAAAUGGUAGAGGUUUUCUUCCAAGGGGGUGAUGGUUUGUUGAGAUAAUAGAGUAGAUUGUGUGUGUUAUACGUUAAUGAUUUAAGGUAAAAAAUUAUGGUAGAAGCCCAUAAUGAGCAUUAUUUCAUUCACCCAAGGCUACUAAGAUGUACCAUAACUUGCAGGAAGUCUAUAGGUGGAAAGGUAUGGAGAAAGAUAUUGCAGAAUUCAUGGUUAAGUGUGCUACUUAUCAACAGGUUAAGAUGGAUCACCAAAGACCUGGUGGCACCUUAUAGGAGUUUGGUAUUCCUACUUGGGUGUGGGAAGAGGUGAACAAGGACUUUGUGAUAGGAUUACCUCAUUCGCGUCGGGAGCUUAAUUUUAUUUUGGUUAUUGUAGAAAGAUUGACUAAAUUAGCCCACUUCUUGCCAGUCCAUAGGUCUUACAUAGAUAAAGACUAUGCUAGACUGUAUAUUAGAGAGUUAGUCAGAUUUCUCGGAGUUCCAUUGUCCAUCAUUUUUUAUAGAGGCACCCAAUUUACUUCUCACAUUUGCAAAGACUUUUAGUAGGAUCUUGGUACCCAAAUUAAUUUCAACUCAAAUUUUCACCCUUAGAUAAAUGGUCAGGCAGAGAGGACCACUCAGACCCUAGAGAAUAUGUUCAGGGCCUGUGUUUUUUACUUCAAAGGCAGUUGAGAUGACCACUUUCUAUUAAUCAAAUUAGCAUACAAUAACAGUUACCAUUAUAUUAUUUAGAUGGUCCCAUUUGAAGAUAUUUAUGGAAGAAUAUGUACGUCACCUUUUGGUUGGUUCGAAGUAGGCGAGGCCACUUUGUUAAAGCAAGAGGUAGUGUCUAAAGACAUGGGGAAAGUCCAAUUGAUUUGAGAGAGAUUAAAAGCAACUCAUAGUUGUCAGAAAUCUCAAACAGAUAUAGAGAGGAGAGAUCUUGAGUUUAAAGCAAUGACUUAGUUUCUUUGAAGGUUUCACCCAUGAAGAGGGUGAAGAGAUCUAGCAAAAAAGGGAAGCUUAGUCCCCAAUAUGUGGGCCCCUACAGAAUAUUGAGUCAAGUUUGGAAGGUAGCGUAUGAGCUUGAGUUUUCUUCAGACUCGUCAUCAGUUCACCCAGUGUUCCAUGUAUCCUUAUUGAAGAAGCGUAUGGGUAAUUUAUCUAUUGUAGUCCCUCUAGAAAGCACGUAUAUUCAGAAUAGCCUUUUAUAUGAAGAACUUCUAGUAUAGAUUCUUGAUCAUCAAUUUUAUAGACUAAGGAACAAAAAAGUUCCCUUGGUCAAAGUCCUUUUGCAGAAUUAGUCUAUUGAGGGAAGUAAGAGAAUACAUGUAAACCAAGUACACUCACCUUUUCUCCACAAACUCAGACUCAACCUAAGGAAAUAGUCUCCUUAAGCUCAAAUCUUUUCCAGUCUUAGUUCCAGCCUUUUGAUUAUCUUCAUAUCAUUACAUGCAUUUGAAGAUUUGUUCUGUCAUUCAUCAUGAUUUAGAUUCAACCAUGCUAUUAUGUUUUCAGUUAUGCCCAACAAACUAUACCUUUAGUUCCUGAGAAUUCUCAGCUUAACUAGCCUCAUUUGUGAAUGAAUGUUCCCAAGGGGCAGAUAUUAUAAUACCCCUCAUUCUCCCUCAUUCAAUUCAACUGAGAAUGGGCACAUAAGAGACUUAGUACCUGAAAUUUUAGCAAAGUGUUGGAGACUUCGUCUUAUUUUUUUGGCCUUGAAAAUUUAUUGACUUUAUUUUAACCUUCUCGACCUUGGAAUGUAAAUUUUUAAGAUGUUUCACGAUCGCGGUAGUCCAUAGUACCUCUCGAGUUAGUUUUAAAAAUUUUGAAGAAUGUUUGGGGCAUGUUUGGAAGGCUGAAACAGAAUGUCAACGCGAUUUGGAUGCGCUACAUUAGUGGUCACGUCAAGAAGGGCAACGCGGUGCGUUUCCUAUCGUGUCACAGUGAGUGAUGCAGUGCGAUGAUUAUCUCAUCGAUGCCUAGUUUUGUGUUGUUAAAUGACAUGUCCAUAGAGGUUAUUGAGUCAUUUACCCUCCCCCAAAUUCUCCUAAAACACAUAAUUUGAGCCCUAAAUUUUAUAGAUACUUGAUUAUUCAUCAUUUUUCUCUCUAAGAACAAAACACUAGCAUGUGCCCUAAAUUUUAUAGAUACUUGAUUAUUCAUCAUUUUUCUCUCUAAGAACAAAACACUAGCUCUAAGAAAUAAAGAACAAUCCCAUUACCCCUUUUUCAAGAAAAUCAUUAAUCCAAGAUUCCAGGUUCAAGAACUUUAAGAAGAAACUUCAAGAACACUAUCAGAUAUUAAAAAGUUCAAGAUUUUAUAUUCAAUUAAUACAAUAAGGUAUGUGGGGUUAUGAAAAAGGAUACUUCUUUCAUCCUUGUGCGUAAAGCUAACUUUUAAAGUUGAAUUUACGAGUUUUUCAGUCUAGGGUUCAUACCCAAAUAUCAUUAUUUGAAGUUUAUGAAGUUACAAGUGAUUUAAGUGUUGUAUUACAUAUCUACUUUCACAUGUUUAUGCGUGAGACUUGAUUUCACAUAUUGAGUAUUGAAUUUUCAUUAUCUUUUGUAGAAUUAUUAAAGUAUUUCAAGAUUGUUAUAGUUGAGCAUGAAGUUUGUUGUGAUUUGACAUGAAUUUCAAGCAUGGGUUAUAAGCACGAAGUUUAACCUUUGAUAUUUAAAGAAAGAUGAUGUCUAAGCAUUCUUUGAUAAGCAUGUAUUCAGAUUUUAAGCAAGAUUUGAUGUUUUCAUCCUCAACUAAGAUAUGGAAUCCACGCAUUUAGUCUUGUUAAUAGGUUAAAACAGAAGAGAUACAUACCUGGUUUUCAUUGUAAACCCUUAUGCUAUUUUUAAGGUGGAUUUCCUAUAUAAUGAGCAUAUAAGUAAGGGAGUAGUAUUUAGCGCCAAGUUGGGUAUGUCUCAGUUCACAAGCCCAUGAACUACUAGCCAACAUAGGUAAUGAUUAAGAUUAUUCCCAUAUAUGUGGAUGCAGAAAUAGAUUGUGAUCACUUUGCUCAAGUUAUUCUCUGUGGAAAGCGUAUGACACCUUUCUCCAAUGUGAGGUAUUUACAUUAGGGGUAUGAGACAUUGGACACUAUAAUAGCUUACAUAAUGUAGGUUGGUUAGAAGAAUCCCCCGAAUAGAAAAGAAUAAUAAAAUUUUUUUUAGUAGAAACUCCAUAAUUCCUAAAAUAGAAUAACAAAAUAGCUUUUAGAAACUAAGUGUAAAGGCUCAUAAUUUUAUUCAGCUAUUCUUUUAUAUAAGUCAUUAGCUAUGAGAUUUUGGCUUUCAGUUUAUUGAUAUAGAGGUGAGUCCUUUUACACUUAGCAUGCAUGAUUUGAAAUUAGACUUAAAUUCAAUCCUACUCAGUUCAUUAUAAAAAAGAGUAAAAGUACAUCUUUUAGAACCAAGUGUUAUGGCUCACAGGAUUUAUACAGUAUGCUUAUUCACUUACACUUAGCAUGCAGAUUUUGAAAGUUUGUUUGAAUAUUACAUUGUUGUUUUACUUAUGCAUUCACCAUAUAUGCUCAGUACAUUCCAAAAGUACUAAUUGGAAAAUACGUCUAUGUGAUACAUUGUUUAAUAUUAUAGGUUUAAGUGCUCAGUCCCAGCAGUGUGAUUAACUGCUAGCAUCUCUAUCUACAUCUUGACAGUUGGUGAGUCCUCAUAGUUCUAUGACCCAUUUAUUUAAAUUUUUAGUUUUAUGCAGUAUUUUAUUUGUUGUUUUCAGCUUAGUUUGAGUCAGUUGGAGGUCUAUUCCAGUUGCUCUCUAGUUAGUAGAAGUAGACUCUUAUCCCACUUCUUGUUACAUUUAAUAUUUCAAGUUUUAAUUGUCUAGACUACUAAGUUAAAUUCUUUUAGACAUUAUGCUUAGUUAAAUCUAGUUUAGUUCAAAUAGUAUUUCGUAUUUCAGUAUUUUCGCAUGCCUAGAUUGCUUUAUUAUGAGUUCAGAUUUAGUAGACGGCUUAGUGGGUUAGCUUGAGACUAUCUGUCAUCUUGAGCACCGUGUGAUGUCUUGGGACAUAUUUUUGGGGCAUUACAGGUAAGAAUAUAAUAAUCCUCUGUAAAUGGUUUCAUUUACUGUGAGACCACGUUCAUUAUUAUCUAUCUUGGAACUAGAUCCAAUUUGAGUAUCAAUUUUCCUAGCAUCACCAAUAAUAUUUUUUUUAUAAACUCCUUGAUAUAUUUUUAUGAAAAAAAUAGUCCAUUAAGAGGAUUGUUUAUUCUAUAGGCCAAGGAAGUGUCUCAAUUCACCUAUCCUACUCAUUUCAAACUCAAUCCUUAUUAGUUUUGCUAAUUCCUUACAUAGAGAUUUAGAAGUUUCUCCAAAAAUUAUAUCAUCAACAUAGAUCUAGAAAAUUAGCAAGUUACUACCUCUUUGAUUUCAGAAAGAUGGUAUUGUCAAGUUUUUCUCUUUUAAAUGCAUUUUCUUGAAAAAAUAUUGAAAGUCUCUCAUACCAUGAUGUCGAUGCAUGCUUCAAUCUAUAGAGAGCUUUAUCAAGUUUGAUCACAUGAUGUGGGAGGUUUGCAUCCUCAAAACCUUGAGGUUGUUUCACAUAAAAUUCUUCUUUCAAAUUUUUAUUUUAAAAGGAACUUUUGACAUAUAUUUGGAAGAGUUUGAAACCCAUAUAUGCAACAAAGGUAAUAAGAAUUUCAAUAUCUUCCAUCCAAGAAAUAAGAGCAUAGGUCUCAUCAUAGUUAAUACCUUCUUCUUGGUUAUAUUCUUGAACAACAAACAUUGCUUUAUUCCUAUUGAUAGUUCCAUGUUCAUCCUGCUUGUUUUUGCACACCCAUUUUUUCAAAAUAAUUAUUUGUUCAAUAAGCUUGGGGCCUAGGUGCCAUACAUUACUCCAUUCAAAUUGCUGAAAUUUCUAGUGCAAAGCAUUGAUCUAGUGAACAUAAUUUAGGACCUCCUUUACAUUCUUGGGCUCAAUUUAUAAUACAAAGGCUGAGAAAGCCAUAAAAUUCCUAUCUUAAGCUCUAGUUUCCAUUCCAUAUUUAAGGGGAUAUGUCAGAUUUUCAAGGUAGUGAGAAGAUUUAUGCUUCUAAUUAGUCCAUUUGGACUAUGUUCUACUGAGACCAGGUCCUUGAGAAUUUUUAAAAUGUUCUUCUUGAUGUUUCUCAUCUAUAUUUAUAUUCAGCAACUGAGGCGCUGAUUAACUAUCACAUUUUUCAUCUUCAAUUGUAAUAUUCUUUUAUUGAACUCUAUUUUCAGCUAUGCCAUCCCUUUGAAUAGGAAAAAGUUCUUCCAUGUUAGAAUCUUCACCCGUAAAAGAAAUUAUUUGCUUUCUUGAUUCAUCAAAUACUACAUUUACACUUUCCUUCACACACAGAGUCCUUUUAUAGAAAACUCUAUAUGCUUUACUUUUUGAAGAGUAUCUUAGAAUGUAACUUCAUCAUUUUUAGUGUAAGAUUUCCUAAGUUUACUCUUUCCAUUGUUUAGAACAAAAUAGUUGCACCCAAAUGGGUUGAAAUAAUCAAGCUUAUGCUUUUUGCUGAACACAACUUCAUACGAAGUUUAGUUCAAGAAAUAUCUAAUUAGUUAUCUAUUUUUCACAUAAUAAAUAGUGCUGACAACUCUAGCCCAAAAGAUUUUUGAAAGUAUGCUAUCAAUCAACAUAGUCUUGGCAAUUUCUAUGAGAGUCAUGUUCUUUAUUUCAACUACUCUAUUUUGCUGAAGAGUUCUAGGAGCAGAAAAAUUAUGAUUGAUGCCAUUUUCUGCAUAAAAUCCUUCAACAUGGGAGUUUUUCAAACUUAGUUCCAUGAUUAAAUAUGAAUCAUAUAAUUUUGUAGUCUAGCUUCAUCUGAAUUUGCUUGGCAAAGACCACAGAAACAUAAUAAAUUUCAUUCUUAGUUCUUAACAAAAUUUUCAGAAUGAAUCUUGAAUAAUUAUCCAUAAUAAAUAGCAUGUAUAAAGUAUCCUAGGUUUGGACCCUUAGAAAUAUUCUAGGAAUCUCAUUCUUCAGACCCAUUAUGACUCAUGGUAUAGGCCGUAAGUUGGGGUACUAGUGGCGCAGAUAUGUCGUUAGUUGAACAAUGUUCUCGGACAUUAGAUGCCAUACAACUUUAGGGUAUAAGUCAUAUAGGUGAAUCAUAAGGUGGUCAGUGUUUGAUCCUUCUAGUGUUACAUUCUUCAAGGAAUAUAGAUUAUUGGUAGAAAACAUAUGUUGAGGUUACAAUUUUGUUGGAUAAGCCGUAUACUGGAUAUUGUCUUAUCCAUGGUUAAGGAUUGGUUACCAUUGAUUGGGUAUCAACCAUAAGCUAAGUUACGACUCAUUAGGAGGUCAGUCGUAACACUGUGUCGGGUUUUUAUGGAAUUUAAGUAGGGGUAUUCUUGACAUUUUCAUCUUUACCGUAAUAAGGACCCACAACUUGUAAUAUACUUAGGAGGUUAUUUAACCUUUUAUCUUAAUCUUAAACACAUGGAUCACUUCCAAAACAUAUCAUAAUUCUCCAAGAGCAUUUAAGGAAAAAAACUAGGGUUUCAACUAAGGGAUUACUUUGGGGCUUGUCUAGGUGAAUUCUCUACAUCAUUAUUUUAGGUUUAAGGCAUGAUUCUUUUCCCUACUUGUAAUUUCAAUUAAAGUCAUGGUUAUAUGGUUGAUUUCAUAGUUUUUACUUUUGCAUAAUUUUGGUUUGCAAUCAUUGAUUUAGGGGUUUUGAUGUUAAAGACUUGGUUAUGAUUUUUUAUGGCUUUAAUUAUGCUUUGUAAGCAUCUAUGGUGGUUUUGGAUAAUGGAAUUUCCUGCUAAUGGAAUUUGGUUUUGGUUGUACUAUGCCCCCAACGUGUUUUAUAAAAUGCUUAUAAAGAUAUGUUCAUUGCAUUGACUUAUGUUAAUAGAGCUCUUGCUUGUUUUAACCUUAUAUGAAACCUUAAAUGCUUUUCAAUGGUUUAAAAAGGUUAAUGGCUAAUUGGUAAUAUAGUAAACAAAAAGUGCACCCAGAGUCUCCGUAAUCUAAAUAGUUUUGAUAUGGAUAAUGCUUGCAAGUAUAGUGGUAUGAAAAUACCACUGGUUUAAAAAAUAACUUUGGUUAAUAUAUGGAUAAUUGGAUAGUUUGGAAUUGUUUUUAAUUGUGGGAAGUAAAAUUUAAGCAAUGAAAGGUGGAGAUCCUUCAGGAAUCAAAACCAAAAACUCAAAUUUUCUGAUAUUAGGGGUCUUUGAUAGUCAUUUCAAGUGUUCCGUUUGUAUUAGAGGGAUGUACUAGUCAUCCCAGGGUUACUACCUAGUCAUUGGCUAAAGGCAUCGAGACCCUUUCAGCAUGGGAAGCUAAACUUAUAUGGACCGUAGGUAGUAGGGCGACUAAGCUAUACGACCCAGGUUAAGGUUUGAAAUGACAUGCUAAACCCGGUCCCUAAUCCCAUUACUUAUAUAUAUAUGGUUGUUUGCGUUGGAUGGUUUUCACUUGGCUUUUAUAAAAUGGCAUUUCUUUAUUCGUAUCCCGUGAUUUAUGCUUGUGUUCACCCACUAACCCAUCUACUGGCGGCUGUAUACCCAUGUUAUUUAGGAACCAAAUGUUCGACUUCUCCUUCAUAGUACUUAAUUCAGGGAUAACUUAUUGGACUGAAGUGGUGAGCUUCCAACCUUUCGUAAGGUAUCAUUUCAUGUUGGACAUUCUUAGACUUUUGUUUUCUUUUUGAAUAUUAGAUUUGGCAAUGGUUGGGGGUAUGUCCCAACUAAAUAUUUGUAUUCUUUUGGAUAGAGUCUUUAUGGUAUUUCUGGGUUUGGAAUGGGCGGGAUCGAUAUUGGUGUCAGCCUUGGCAUUGGAAUAGGAUAGGAGGCUGGCAUUAUUGAAUAUAAUUUCUCAAUAUUCCAUCAUAUUACAUUUUGAGUUUGACUUUCAUAUAUGUUUUGAUAUUCUCUUUGUCUUGGUAUGGUAUGGACGGUUGGUUUGGUAUGGACAAACUUAGUUGGGUCGGUCAUGGUUAUGACCCUAGCCAAAAAUUUUUAUCAUAGCAUCAUGCGAUCUAUUUAUAUGCUCAAAAUUUAUCUCAUCUAAGGCUGUAUAAGGUGGUUGAGUUUGGUUAAGGAGUGGUCCUCGAUCCUAGGUGGACGUAGGAUUUCUAUUACAACAAGGACCCAAUCUGGUUUGCGUUAAGUUGAUAUUAGAGCCUAGGUUCAUGGUCAAUUAAGACACCACAAAGCCAUGUUGAAUAGAGUUUCAUUUAGGGGUAUGUGAUGGGCCAUACUCAUAAGGGUGAGACUGUAACACAUCUAUGAAUGUCUCACUUUCUUGGUAUUCUUUCUUCAAACUCUACUUCUCAAUCCUAGAAUAAUCUCUAAUCAUUGUUGGUUCAUCUUUUAGAACAUGCCUGAUAGAUCUAGAACACAAGAAAAUUCUUCUGUACUAUUUGAGCAUAAUGCUAAAGGGGUACCUCCUACGUCUAGAGUACAUCUUUGAUCUCAUCGACCUAUUCCUAAUUAUAUCAUAGUUCCUCCGAUUUCUCCUACUUUUACUUAGGUCCCUUAGGGCAACGCGAUGAAUAUAGAGUUUUGUUAGUCUAUACAUGUUAUUACCCAACUGGUUUCUACUUAGGUCGAGCGGGGUACGACUAGCAUUGUAUCUGCUAAGGUCGCUAGGAUUGGAAAGUUUAUGAAGAGGAGUCCUCCAACUGUUAUAAAGUGAAGGUAGAGGAAGACCCAUAAGGGUUUCUUGAUGAGAUAGGUAAGAUCUUUAGGGUAAUGAGGGUUACUAAUGUAGAAGGAGAAAACUUUGUAUCUUAUUAGCUCAAAGAGGUUUUUAUUUAUUGUUUAAGGAGUGGGACAUAGAUUAGGGUGAUGUAGAAGAGACUGGGUUAUAGGAGGGCUUUUUUGAUGCCUUCAUGGAUUGGUUCUUUCCUCAAGAGUUGACGAAAGCCAAGAAGCUUGCAACGGGGGUGAAUAAGAUUCUGAGGGCUUCAUCUUCUAUUCCUGUACCCGUUGGUGGGGCAUCUGCUUGUAUUAUUUCUCUUACUUCUAGUACUGUUUGGAAUAGGUUGUAUGUUGUGGCGUCCCAUCAGGAAAUUUAGGCAUCGCCUGAUAUUUUUACUUGUAUGUUAUAACUUUUCUCUUAUGAUGUGUAAUGUUUGCUUGGUCCAGGUUCUACCCUUUCCUAUGUGACUCCUUAUGUAAUUGUGUCUUUUUGUUUCAAUCCAAAAAUUAUUUUGGAUCCAUUUUCUAUUUCUACCCUAAUUGAAGAUCCGAUCAUUGUUGAAUGGGACUGUAGGUAAUUUGUGAUAUUCGUAAGUAGUAGGCAGUCUUUGAAGGAUCUAUUUUAGUAGGUUAUGGAUCAAUUUGAUGUAAUCUUUGGCAUGGAUUGUUUACAUUCUUGUUAUCCAAAUUUGGAUUGUCGAACCCGUAUGGUUAUCUUAAGUCUCCCUAGAGAGUUUGAAAUAAAAUGGGAAGAUUGUUCCUUAGCACCUAGGGGAAGCUUAUUUCUUAUCUUAAAUCCUAAAGGUUAAUCUCUAAAUGUUGUCUUUAUCACUUGAUUCGGGUCAAAGAUUCAAAUUUUACAGGUCCUCCUUUGUGAUUGGUCCCUAUGGUUAUUGAGUUUCCAAAGGUCUUUUCGGAUGAACUUUCAGGUAUUCCUCAGGAUAGGGAAAUUGAGUUUGGUAUUGAUUUAAUUUUGGUCACUUGUCCAUUCUCUAUUCCUCCAUAUUGAAUAGCUUCGGCUGAGUUAAGGGAACUCAAGGAGCAAAUUAAGGAUCUUCUAGAUAAAGGGUUUAUUCAUCCUAGUGUCUCCCCAUGGUGUGCACCGAUAUUGUUCAUGCGCAAGAAGGAUAGUUUUUUUCAUAUGUGCAUCAACUAAAGACAGUUGAAUAAGGUAACAAUGAAGAACAAAUAUUCUAUUACACGAAUAAAUAACCUAUUUCACAAGUUGCAAGGGGCAAAUUCUUCUCUAAGAUAGAUUAUCGGUCUGAGUACCAUAAGUUAAAGAUUAGGGAGGUGGAUAUCCCUAAGAUAGAUUUUUGGUGAUGUCGUUUAGAUUGAUAAAUGCAUUGGUAACAUUUAUGGAUCCGAUGAACAAGUUGUCUUAGUAAUAUUUAGAUCUCUUCAUUAUUGUAUAUAUUAAUGAUAUUUUUGUGUAUUCGAAGACUGAGGUGGAUCAUGCUUAUCAACUCUAUGUUGUGUUGAAGACCUUAAAAAAAUAACAAUUAUUUUCUAAGACAUUUAUAUUUGAGAUUUAGUUGAAUGUUGUGACUUUCUUGGGUCACAUCAUUUCUAGUGAAUGGAUUAUGGUUGAUUCGCAGAAGGUGGCUAUGGUGAAGAAGUGGUCUAGACCUAUGACUCUAUCUAAUAAUCAGAGCUUCAUGGGUUUAUCUAUGUAUUUUGGUAGUAUAUGGAAAGCUUCUCGUAGAUAGCUGCUCUUUUGGCUAAGUUGACUCAGAAGAAGGUUAAGUUUUCUUUGGUAGAUACGUGCGACGGGAGUUUUGAGAAGUUUAAGGAUAAGUUGACUUUGUCUCCACUUUUAACUUUUUUGGAAGGCAAUGAUAGGUUUGUGAUUCAUUGUGAUGCACUCGGGUUGGUCUUGGUUGCAUGUUGAUACAACAAGAGAAGCUUAUAACCUAUGAUUCAAGGUAGUUGAAGGUGCAUGAGAGGAACUAUCCUACUUAUGAUUUUGAGUUAUUGGUCGUUGUGUUUGCUUUGAUAAUAUGGAAACAUUAUUUGUAAGGGGUCCAUACGGAUAUCUUUUCUUAUCACAAGAGUUUGCAGUAAGUGUUCUCACAAAAAGGGCAUAAUCACAAUCAGAAGAGAUGACUUGAGCUUCUCUAGGAUGAUGAUAUUAGUGUUUACUACCAUCUAGGUAAAGCUAAUGUGGUUUUUGAUGCUAUUAGCAGGUUAUCCAUGCGUAGUUUGGCUCAUGUCGAAGAAGGAAAGUAUGAAUUGGUUAAGGAUAUUCAUUGCUUGGAAAAUCUUGGGGUUCGUCUCUUAGACUCGAAGGAUGUUGGUGUGAUGGUGGAAGAAGUAGCUAGAUCAUCUCAAGGUGCAGACAUUAAGAAGAAACAAGUGUUGGAUUUUGCCUUGAUGAAAAUCUAGGGUAACAUUGGUAAGAAAAAGGUGAUGGAUUUUAAGAUUAGUAGCUAUGGUAAUUUACGACACCAAGGAAGGUUCUAUAUUUCCAAAGUAUACAGUUUUUGGCAAAGGAUCUUGGCUGAGGAACAUGAGUCGUGCUACAUUGUCCAUCCUAGUUCUAAUAACACAUACCCUGAUCUAAAGGAGAUCUAUUGGUAGAGUGGCAUAAAGUGGGACGUGGUUGAUUUUGUGUCCAAGUGCUUCGUGUGUGAACAAUGUAAGGUUGAGCACAUGAGGCAUGAAGGGUUGUAUCAAGAAAUUAAGUUUCCUGAAUGGAUGUGGGAGCAUAUCAAUAUGGAUUUCGUUACCAAUCUUCCUCGGUCUUGGAACUAAUUUUAUUUGAUUUGGGUCAUUAUUUAUAGGAUGACAAAGUCUGUGCAUUUCUGUCCUAUGCACACUAGCUUUUUGAUAGAGGAUUAGCAAAACUUUAUCUUCAAGAGAUUGUGAAAUUGCAUGGGGUGCCUUUUUAAAUUAUUUCCAAUAGCGGUACAUGGUUUACAUCGUACUUCUAGCGGUCUUUCCGAAAAGCAUUGGGGACUAAGGUAAAUCUGAGUUUAGCUUUCUACCAGUAGUAAAUAGGCAGAAAUAAAGAACUAUUCAAAAAUUAAAAGAUAUGCUUCAAAACUAUGUGAUUGAUUGUGGUGGAAGUUGGGCAGAGCAUCUACCUAUGGUAGAGGUUGCUUACAAUAAUAGCUAUCAUAAGAUUAUUAGUAUGGCUCCUUUUAAGGCAUUCUAUGGCAGGAGGUGUAGAUCUCUUAUUGGUUGAUUUGAGCUAUGUAAGGCUAAUUUACUGUGGUUCUUCAAGCUAUGGAAAAGUUAAAGAUCAUUCGGGAUAGGCUUAAGGCUGCCCAUAGUCAUCAAAAGUCCUGUGCAGAUGUUAUGAGUAGAGACUUGGAGUUUGUAGUUGGGGAUAAGGUUUUCCUCAAGGUGUCUCCUAUUAUGGGAGUAAUGCGGUUUGGAAAAAAGGGAAAGCUUAGUCCUUGGUAUAUUGGUCCUUAUAAGAUUUUAUAGAGAGCGGGCAGUGUUGCAUAUGAGUUAGAGUUUCCAUAUAGAUUGAGUUUGGUUUAUACCGUAUUUCAUGUUUCUAUGUUAAGAAAGUGCAUUAGUGAUUCAUCUUCGAUUAUUCCUUUAGAAUGGUUGGACAUCUCGGCUUCUCUAUUUUAUAAGAAGCUCCCAAUUGAGAUAUUUGAUAGGCAGGUUCAUCAGUUAUGGACCAAGGAUGGAACUUUGGUUAAGGUUCUAUGGUGGAACCACAAGCUGAAAGAGGGUACAUGUGAAGCAGAAGAGGAUAUGAUUUCUAAGUAUGCACUCUUUUUUCCUACUUCUGAUAUUCAUGUGAAAUAUAUGUGUUCUUGAACACAUCUUUAUUUUUUGAGUUUGUUGUAGGAAAGAUUAACAUCUUUGCCUCUAUGUUCUUAAAAAUUUUUAAAAGGAUGUUUGAUAAUGCAAAUGACUCUGUGUGUGGUUACCCCUACCUUAUUCAUCAUUCGAGGAUGAAUGUUCCUAGUGGGGAAGACUGAAGCAUCCUAUGUUUGGACCCUUAGAAAAUUUCUAGGAAUUUUAUUCUUUGGACCUAUUAUGACCCAGGGUAUGAGCCGUAAGCUAGGGAACGAGGGAUGAAGUCCUGUCGUAAGCUGACCAGUGUUAGUUGAUGGGAUGAUUUUUGAUACUGGAAUGGAUACGACUUUAGGAUAUGAGUCUUAAUGCAUGGGUACGAGUCAUAUAGAUCAUUUAUAAGGUGGUUACUAUUUGAUCCUCCUAGUGGUACAUUCAGCCAAGGAUAUGAAUUAUGGGUACGAAUCAUAUGCUGAGGUUACGACAUGGUUGGAUGGGUCGUAUACUGGAUAGUGUUUGAUCCAUGGUUGAGGAUUAGUUACGAUUGGGUGGGUAUCAAUAGUUUGCUAGGUUACGACUCAUAAGGAAGUAAUUUGUAACCCUGUGUCAGGUUUUUAUGGGAUUUAAGUGGGGUUAUUCUGGAUAUUUUCCUACUUACCAUAAUUAGGACCCACAACUUCAAUUACACUUAGGAGGUUAUUUACAUAAUUAUUUUAUUCAUAAACACAUAGAUUCUCUUCAAAAACACAUCAUAAUUCUCUCAAGAGCUUUUGGGGCAAUAAACUAGGGUUUAAAUAAAGGGAUUACUUUGGGGCUUGUCAUGGUGAAUUCUUUACAUCAAUUUUCUUGGUUUAAGGAUUGACUCUCUUCCCUACUUGUAAUUUAAAUUAAAGGCAUGGUUAGAUGGUCCUUUUCAUGGUUUAUACUUUUGUAUGAUUUUUGUUUUCAAUCAUUGAUUUGGGGGCUUGGAUGUUAAAGGUUUGGUUAUGAUUUCUUAUGGUUUUAAUUAUGCGUUAUAAGCAUCAAUUGUUUUUUGGGAUAAUGGAAUUGCAUUAUAAUGGAAUUUGGUUUAUGCUGUACUAUGCCCCAAGGUGUUUGAUAAAAUAGUUAUAAAGAUAUGUCCAUUGCACUGACUUAUGUUAAUGGAACUCUUGCUUGAUUUAAUCUUAUAUGAAACCUUAAAUGUUUUUCAAUGGUUUACAAAGGUUAAUAGAUAAUUGGUAAUGCUUGUGGAGAAUAUGGUACUCUCCCAAGAGGUUAAUAUGGUAAACGGAAAAGGCAUUGAAAGUCUUCUUAAUCCAAAUAGUUUGGCUAUGGAUAAUGCUUGCAAGUAUGGCCGUAUGAAGAUACCACUGGUUUAUCAAAUCGCCUUGGUUAUUAAAUAGAUAAUAUGAUUGUUUGGAUUUGGUUUUAAUUGGACAUUAAUGGCGGGAAAUUUAAGCUAAGUCAUGCAAGGUGGCGAUCCCGAGGAGAUCAAAAUAAAAAAAUCAUAUUUUCUGAUAUGAGGGGUCUACGAUGGCCAUAUGUAAGUGUCACUUUUAUAUUAAAGGGAUGUAUUAGUCAUCCCAGAGUUACUGCUUUGUCCUGAAGCUACACGAAUCAAAAACCUUUUAGCAGGGGGAACUGAACCCAUAUGGCCCGUGGGUGGUAGGACGGCUAUACUACAUGACCUAGGUUAAGGUUUUAAAUAAUAUGCUAAACCCGAUCCCUUAUUCCAACACUUAUAUAUGUAUGGUUGUUUGCAUUAUAUAGUUAUCCCCCAUUUUUUAUAAAUGACAUUACUUUAUCCUUUUCUCGAUAUUUAUUCUAGUGUUCACUCACUAACCCAUCUACUGGUAGUUGUAUAUCCAUGCUAUGUUGGAACAAGAUGACCUACUUAUCCUUCAUAGUGCUGGAUUCGGGGACAACUUAAUUUAUUGAAGUGGUGAGCUUUCAUUCUUUCGGAAGGCAUCAUUUCAUGUUGGUCAUUCUUAGACUUUUAUUUUUUUUUCUAGAUAUCAGUUUUGGCCAUGGUUGGGAGCAUAUCCCAAUCAAAUAUUUGUAUUCUUUUUGAUAGAGGCUUUCUGGUACUUUUGGGGGUUAGAAUGUGCGAGAUGAGUAUUGUUGUCAACCUUGGCAUUGGAAUAAGUUGGGAAGCUAGCAUCAUUGAACAUAAUUUCUCACUGUACCAUCAUAUUACAUUUUUAGUUUGACUUUCAAUUAUCUUUCGAUAUUCUCUUUGGUUUCAUAUUUUAUGGAUGGUUAGUUUGGUAUGGACAAACUUUCUUGGGUCAGUCAUGGUUGUGAACCUAUCCUAAAGUCUUCAUGAGAUCAAUAUUCAAUCUUAUUACAUGUUUGAAAUUAAACUUAUCUAAGGUUGUAUAAGGUAGUUGGGUAGGGUUAAGUGGUUGGUCCUAAGUCCUAGGUGGACAUGGGAUGCCUCAUACAAUAAAUCCUCGGUCCUAGCUCCAUUAGGUUAGUAUCAGAUCCUAGGUUUAUGGUCAAUUAGGAGUCCACAAAGCCAUGUUAAGUAAAGUUUCUUUUAGAGGUGUGUAGCACGCCACACUCAUAAGGGAUAGUCUGGAAGACAUUUUGGAAUGUAUCACUUGGUAUUUUUUCUUAAAGCUUAACUUCUCAGUCCUGGAAUCUUCUCUAAUCCUUGUUUGUUCAUCUUUCAGACCAUGACGCCUAGAUCUAGAGUACAAAGAAAUUCUUCUAUCCCAUCUGGGGAUAAUGUUAAAAGAGUACCUCCUACAUCUGGAGUACAUUUUUGAUCUCAUAGUCCUAUCCCUAAUUGUACCAAAGUUCAUCCUAUUCCACCUGCUGCUCCUCAGGUUCUUCAUGGCAAUAUGACGAAUGCGGAGUUUUGUCAGUCUAUGCAUGUUAUUGCCUAAUUGGGUGCUUCUUAGGCCAAGAGGGUUACAACAAAAAUUGUAUCUACUGAGGACUUCAGGCUUUGAUAGGUUAUGAAGAUGGGUCCUUUGACUUUUAUGGAUGUGAAGGUAGAAGAAGACCCACAGGGCUUUCUUGAUGAGAUGGAGAAGAUAUUUUGAGUAAUGAGGGAUACUAAUAUGAAUGAAGUAAACUUUAAAGCGUAUUAGCUCAAAGAGGUUGUUUAUUUAUGGUAUAAGGAGUAGUAUAGAGAUAAGGGUGAUAUAGGAGAGGAUGGGUUAUGGGAGGCUGUUUUUGGUGCCUUCAUGGAUUUGUUCUUUUCUCAAGAGCUGUUGGACGCUAAGAAGAAGGAGUUGUGAACCUCAAGCAAGGAAGAAUAUCUGUAAAGGAUCAUGCUUUGAAGUACUAUUAGUUUUCGACGUUUAACCCUGAUUUUAUGGCUUACAUAAGGUCGUGAAUGAGGAAGUUUACUUUUGGAUUGUAUAGAUAACUUAUUCUAGAGAGAAUGACUAUUUUGCUCAUAAAGGAUAUGGACAUGUUAAGGUUAACUGUUCAUAUGCAUCAUAUUGAGGAUAAUAUUAAAAAAAAGAUAGAAUAUGGAGAUAGGUAGGGUAAGCGGGGUAGGUUUUUUGAUCUAGUAUUUUCCUAGUUUUAAGUUGGUAAAGAAGGUGGGAAAUGACAGAAAAAAAUGUGGGGGAGUUCUGGUUCCUUCUCUACUGCCAGCACUACUUACCCCAGUAGUCGGGCGACAGGUAUCAUCAUGGUGGUGAUAAUUCUUUGGUGCAGGGAGCCUAGUCUCAGGCAAGUAGAGGUCAGUCUUUUUCUUUGUGUCCACCUUGUUAGUUUUGCGGGUGUCUUUAUUGGGGAUUUUGUGAGGAAGGUAUGGAUUAGUUCUUUGUGUAUGACCAAGUAGGCUAUCUACUCAAGGAUUAUCCGUCUAACAAUGUUGCUAAGGGGCAAAUAAGAUUCUGGUGGCUUAAUCUUCUGUUCUUACUCAAGGAGAUAUGGUAUUUUCUUUAGUUACUAUUUCUAGUUCCAGUGCUGGUCGGAACAGGUUGUAUGCUUUAGCAUCCCUUCAGGAACCUGAGGCAUCGGCUAAUAUUGUUAACAGUACAUUAUACAUUUUCUCUUGUGACAUAUUAUUUGCAUGAUCUAGGUUCUAUCCUUUCCUAUGUGACUCCUUAUGUAAUUAUCCUUUGGUUUUGAUGUAGGAAUUAUUUUUGAAUAGAUUUUCUAUUUCUACCCCAAUAAGAGAUCCGGUCAUUAUUAAAUGGGUCUAUAGGGGGUGUGUGGUAUCUGUUAAUGGUAGGCAGACUUUGGUCAAUCUGUUUAAGUUAGGUAUAGUAGAUUUUGAUGUAAUAUUAGGCAUGGAUUGGUUGCAUCUUUGUUAUGCAAAUUUGGAUUGUCAAAUCGAUAUGGUCAUAUUUAUUUUCCCUAUUAAGCCAAUAAUAGACUGGGAAGGUUGUUCCUUAGUGCCUAGGGGGAAGUUUAUUUCUUAUAUUUUAUCCCAAAGGUUAAUAUCUAAAUGUUGUCUUUAACACUUAUUUCAGGUUAAAAAUUCUAAUUGGAAUGGUCCUCCUUUGUCUUUGGUCCCUGUGGUUAAUUAAAUUACAGAGGUCUUUUCAGAUCAUCAUCAAGGUGUUCCUCCAGAUAGAGAAGUAGGGUUUAGUAUUGAUUUGCUUUCGAACACUCAUCUAAUUUCUAUUCCUCCAUAUAGAAUGGAUCCGGCUGAGUUAAGGGAACUCAAAGAGAAAAUUAUAAAUCUUCUAGACAUAUGGUUUAUUCAUCCUAGUGUUUUCUCAUAGGGUGCACCAGUGUUGUUCGGGCACAAUAAGGAUGGUUCUUUUCAUAUGUGCAUCGACUACCGGAAGUUGAAUAAGGUAAUAGUCAAGAAUAAAUAUACUCUUCCUCAGAUAGAUGAUCUAUUUGACCAGUUGCAAGGUGCAAAGUUAUUCUCUAUAAAUCUUCGAUCUGGGUACCAUCAGUAGAAGAUUGGGGAGGUGGAUAUCUGUAAGAUGACUUUUCGCUCUAGGUUUGGGCAUUAUGAGAUUUUGGUGAUGUUAUUUGGAUUGACAGAUGCCCCAGCAUCAUUUAUGGAUCUGAUGAAUAGGAGGUUUUGAUAGUAUUUUGAUCUCUUGUUCCUUGUGUUUAUUGAUGAUAUUUUGGUGUAUUCAAAGCGUGAGGUAGAUCAUGCUAAUCACUUUCGUGUGGUUUUGCAGACCUUUGGGGAAUAGCAGUUAUUUGCUAAGUUCUCUAAGUGCAAAUUUUUGUUGAAUGCUGUGACUUUCUUUGGUCACAUCAUUUUUAGUGAAGGGAUCAUAGAGGAUCUACAGACGGUGUCUUUGGUGAAGAAGUGGCCUAGACUUACGAAUCUAUCUGAUAUUCAGAGCUUCUUGGGUUUAACCUGGUAUUAUAGGUGAUUUGUGGAAAGCUUCUCAUUGAUAGCUACUUCUUUGACUAAGUUGACUCAGAAAAAGGUUAAAUUUUCUUGGUCAGAUGCGAUUAAGAGAAGUUUUGAGAAGUUAAUGGAUUAGUUGACUGCAACUCCAAUUCUGACUUUACCAGAAGGCAAUAAUGGGUUCGCAAUUUAUUAUGAUACAUCUUGCAUUGGUUUUUGUUGCAUGUUGAUGCAUAGGAAGGUGAUAGCCUAUGCUUCCAGGAAGUUAAAGGUGCAUGAGAGAAACUAGCCUACUCAUGAUGUAUAGUUGUUGGCCAUUGUAUUUGGUUUGAAGAUAUGGCAAAGUUAUUUAUAUGGGGUCCACGUGGAUAUCUUUUCUUAUCGCAAGAAAUUGUAGUACUUGUUCUCCUAGAAAAAGUUUAUUCUCAGGCAGAAGAGAUCGCUUGAACUUCUUAAGGACUAUGAUAUGAGUCUUCACUACCAUUCGGGUAAAGCAAAUGUCGUUAUUGAUGCUCUUAGCAUGUUGUCCAUGGGUAGUUUGGCUUAUGUGGAAGAAUGAAAGUGGAAUUGUUAAAGGAUAUUCAUUGCUUGGAAAAUUAUGGAUGUUCGUCUUUUAAACUAAAAUGAUGGUGGUGUGAUGGUGCAAAAAGUUCUCAGAUUGUCUCUUGUUUUUUAGAUUAAGGAGAAACACGUGUAGGAUUCUACCUUGAUAAAAAUCAUUCAUAGCAUUGGUGAGCAAACGAUGGCAGAUUUUGGGAUUAGUCGCGAUGGUAUUUUGUGGUACCAAGGGAGGUUGUCCGUUCCUAAUGUAGUUGGUUUAUGGGAAAGGAUUUUAGUUAAGGUGCACGAGUCAUGCUAUGUUGUCCAUCCUGGUUCUACUAAGAUGUACCAUGAUCUCAAGGAGAUCUUAUUAUGGAGUGGCAUAAAGUGGGACGUGGUUGAUUUUUUUAUCCAAGUGCUUGGUGUGUCAAAAAGUUAAGGUUGAGCACAUGAGGCCUGGUGAGAUGUAUCAAGAUAUUAAGUUGCUUGAUUGGUAAUGGGAGGAGAUCAAUAUGGAUUUUGUUACCGGUCUUCUUUGGUCUUAGAACUAAUUUUAUUCGAUUUGGAUAUUGUUGAUAAGAUGAUGAAGUCUGCGCAUUUCUUGCAUGUGUGGACUAGUUUUUCGGCACAGGAUUAGGUGAGGCUUUAUCUUCAAGAGAUUGUGAAACUAUAUUGGGUGCCUAUUUUGAUUAUUUCAAAUUUUGGUACACAGUUUAUAUCCCAUUUCUGGCGGUCUUUCAAGAAAGGUAUGGGGACUAAGGUGAGUAUGAGUACGACUUUCUUUCCGCAAUCAGAUGGGCAGGCGGAAAGAACUAUUUAGAUAUUGGAAGAUAUGCUUCGAGCGUAUGUGAUUUAUAAUGGUGGUAGUUGGGUGGAGCAUCUAUCUUCGGUAGAGUUUUCUUACAAUAAUAGCUUUCAUAAGAGAAUUUGUAUGGAUCUUUUUGAGGCAUUGUACGGUAGUAGACAUAGAUCUCUUAUUGGUUGGUUUGAGCUCGACGAGGCUGAUUUUUUUGAUCCGGAUUUGGUUCAUCAAGCUAUUGAAAAGGUGAAGGUGAUUCAGAAUAGGCUCAAGGCUGCCCAGAGUCGUCAAAACUCCUAUGCAGAUUUUAUGCAUAGAGACUUGGAGUUUGUAGUUGUGGAAAAGGUUUUCGUUAAGGUAUCAUCUAUGACGGGAGUAAUACUAUUUUGCAAUAAGGAGAGGCUCAGUCCUCGUACAUCGGUCCUUAUGAAAUUUUACGAAGAGUAGGCAAUGUUGCACAUGAUUUAGAGUUUCCAUCUAGUUUUAGUUUAGUUCAUCUCAUAUUUCAUAUUUCUAUGUUGAGGAAGUGCGUUUGUGAUUCAUCUUCUAUUGUGCCUUUAGAAGAGUUGGAUAUCUUGGAUUAUCUGUCUUAUGAAGAGGUCUUGGUUGCGAUAUUGGAUAGGAAGGUUCAUCGGUUGCAUACCAGUAAAAUGGCUUUAGUUAAGGUUCUAUGGAGAAACCACAAGCAUGAAUAGGCUAAGUGGGAAGCGGAAGAGGACAUGAAGUUCACGUAUCCACUCCUGUUUUCUGCUCCAGAUAUUUGUGUAGAAGGUAUAUGUUCUUGAACACAUCUUUACUUUCUAAGUUUGUUAAAGGAAAUAUUAACAUCUUUACCUCAUUGUUUUCAAACUGUGUUAAAGGGAUGUUUUAUAAUUCAAAUAACUAUUGUGUGGUUACACAUACCUUAUCUGUCCCUGUGGGAUGAAUGUUCCUAGUGAGGGAGACUAAAGCAUCCUAUGUUUGGACCGUUAGAAAAUUUCAAGGAAUCACAUUCUUUAGACCCAUUAAGUUGGGGUAUGAGUGGUGAAGAUCUUUCGCGAGAUGAUAAUUAUUAGUAGGUAGGCUCGUCUUGGACACUAGAAUGGAUAUGACUUGAGGGUAUGAGUGUUAAGGCAUUGGUACGAGUCGUGUCGAUGAUUCAUAUACUGAAAAGUGCAUGAUCCAUGGUUAAGGAUUGGUUAUGAUUGGGUGGACAACAAUAGUAAGCUAGGAUACAAUUCUUAAGGAGGUCAUUCUUAACCUAGUAUUGUGUUUUUGUGUGAUUUAAGUAGGGUAUUCCUUGAAAUUUCCCUAAUUACCUUAACAAGGACCCACGACUUCUAAUACACUUAGGAGGUUAUUUACCCAAUUAUUUACCCAAUUAUUUUACUCUUAGAAUCUCUUUCAAAAUAUAUCAUAAUUCUGUCAAGAGCUUUUGGGGUAAAGAGCUAAGGUUUCAACACAGGGAUUACUUUGGGACUUGUCUUGGUGAAUUGUUUCCAUCAAUCUUCUUGUUUUAAGGCAUUAUUCUCUUCCCAACUUUUAAUUUCAAUUAAAGGCAUGGUUAUAUGGUUGAUUUCAUGGUUAUUACUUUUGCAUGAUUUUGGUUUUAAAUCAUUGAUUUGGGAGUUUUGAUGUUAAAGAAUUGUUUAUGAUUUCUAAUGGUUUUAAUUAUGCUUUCUAUACAUUAAUGGUGCUUUUGCAUAAUGGAAUUGCAUGGUAAUGUUUUAAUGGUAAUGGAAUUUGGUUUUGAUUGUACUAUGCCCCUAAGGUGUUUAAUAAAAUGCUUAUAAAAAUAUGAUCAUUGCAUUGCCAUAUGUUAAUAGAAUUUUUGCUUGUUUUCAGCUUACAUAUGAAACCUUAAAUGUUUUUCAAUGGGUUACAAAGGUUAAUGGCUAAUUGGUAAUGCUUGUGGAGAACAUGGUAGUCUCCCAAGAGGUUAAUAUGGUAAAUAGAAAAGGCACUGAGAGUCCUCUUAAUUUAAAAGGCUUGUCUAUGGAUAAUGCUUGCAAGUAUGGUGGUAUGAUGAUACCACUGCUUUAUCAAAUAGCCUUAGGUAGUACAUGGAUAAUUGGAUUGUUUAGACUUGGUUUUAAUUGGGCCUUAAUAGUGGGAAGUGAAAGCUAAGCCAUGGAAGGUGGUGAUCCUGGGGGUUUCAGAAUCAGAAACUCAUAUUUUUCGAUAUGAGGGGUCUUCGAUGGCCACGUACGAGUGUCAAAUUUAUAUUUCAGGGAUCUACAAGUCAUCCCAGGUUUACUAUUUGCAGGUACAGCUAUACACACCGGUACCCUUUCAUCAAAGGGAGCUUAACCCAUAUGGCUCGUGGGUGGUAAGAUGGCUAGGCUAUUUAUAUAUGUAUGGUUUUUUAUAUUGGAUGGUUUUCACUUAGUUUAAUAAAUGGAAUUACUUAUCCUUAUCUCGAGAUUCAUGCUAGUGUUCACCCUCUAACCUAUAUACUGCCGGUUGUAUACCCAUGAUAUGCAGGAACCGGACGUUCAACUUCUCCUUUUAUAGUAAUUGAUUUGGGGACAACUUAUUGUACUGAAGUGGUGAGCUUCUGUUCUUUCGGCAGGAAUUCUUUCAUGUUGUACAUUCAUAGACUUUUACUUUGUUUUCCUGAUAUUGGUUUUGGCCAUGGUUGAGGGCAUGACCCAACUGAAUAUUUUUAUUCUUUAGGAUAAAGGAUUUGUGUUAGUUCUGGGGGUUGGAAUGGGCGGGAUCCGUAUUGGUGUAAGCCUUGGCAUUCAAAUAAGCUGGGAGGCUGGCAUCGUCUGACAUAAUUUCUCACCGUUCCAUUGUAUUACAUUUUGAGUUUGACUUUCUUAUGUUUUUUUGACCUUCUCUUUGGUUUUGUAUGGUAUGGAUAAUUGGUUUGUAUAGACAGACUUGGUCAGUUCGGUCAUGGUUGUGACCCUAUCCCAAAGUCUUCAUGAGAGCAUUACAUAAUCUUGUUAUAUGCUCGACAUUCAGCUCAUCUAAGGCUGUAUAAGGUUGUUGGGUUGGGUUAAGGGGGUGGUCCCUAGUCCUUAGUGGACUUGGGAUGCCUAUUAUGACAAAUCCCAAGUUGGAGAUGCGGCAACAUACCUCUACCCACUUUUACUUUGGACUUUAACUGGUCUACAAAAAAUCAUGUGUAAUGAUUCAAGGUAUCUUGAAGUGCUUACUUUCUUAUACUACUUAAAGGAUGAUCUAGUUUGUAUUACUUUGAAAUAUGCAUCAUUGACCUUGUUGUCUGAAAAACUACAUCUUUGGAACACCACAGACCAAGUCCUUUGAUAUCAACUUGUCUGGUAUAGAUGACCUUGUAUGUCCUAUCCUUCUAUGCCUCAAAUCAGCAUUUUCAGCUUACACAAUUAAACUGAUCAAUUCACAGGUAGCUAAAGAGUCUAGAUUAGCCACAUACAUGUUCUUGCCCCUUUUAUCUUUGAGAAUGACUUUCUCGGACUUGAACUUUGGCAAAGUGCAUAAUCAGAUAAAAACAUUACCUCAUUUCCUUUGGUACAAAUUUAAGAUACACUUAUAAGAUUAUACUUUAAAGUAUCAACAUAAUAAACAUCCUAAAUUGCAUGAUUUAAGGAUUUCCAUAUCGUUCUGAUAUCAUUAAUGUAACCUUUCAUUCCAUUUCAAAAUGAAAUAACUCCAACUUAAAGUGCCUUGACUGAGAGAAAGUUGUCAGCUUUACUAGUCAUAUGCUUAGAGCAUCCACUAUCCAUGAACCAUCUUUGACUGCUUUCUCUUACUACUACCUGUAUAUAGAUGUCAUUUAUUAGAUUUGGGAACCCACGUGAGUUUGAGUUCGCAAAAUAUAGGAAAAUUGAGUGAUCACAUCUUUCUUGAUCAAUAUAGGUAAUUAGGUCUUCUUAAAAAUUGUAAAAUAAUUAGAUCCCUUGUAGAAAGACUGCUUUAAGUGAUUACAUUUAGUAGUUUUCAUUUUAACUUUAAGGUAACCCUAGUAUUUCUACUUCAAUUGGCCAUCCCUACCAUAGUGAGUAUAUAGAGAAUUAUUGGCAUUGUUUUUUACCAAUAAAAAUAUGCAUGCCUUGGGACAUAGAGUUAUGGGUGUUGUAUUCAUACCUAAGAACUCUACCAUUAUUGUUCCCUUAACUGAUUAUAUUAACAAAGAUCUAUGAAGAUGUUAUUCAUUUGAGUGAUUUGUUAAGAUCUUUUUUUAAAUGCACCAGGUCUCUCUCGAAUUCUUUAUUAUAACAAAGAGCAGUGAUAAGAGCUUUUUAUAAUUCUUCAGCUUUUCUUCAAGAUCCAUCUGAUGUUUUGAGGCUUCAGUCUUAGCUUUCCUAUCAGUUUUAACUAUUAUCUUCAGUUUAUUCAUUAAAUCCUUAUUUUGUGAUUUCAGUUUUAAGGAUUGUUCUCAUACUUAAAACAACUUGAUGGUUAAGGCAUGUUUUCAUGUUUCGGGUUUUCUACCUUAUCUUCAAGCAACUCUCACAUAGCAAUAAGCUCACACACAUAUGAAGGAAUAUAUUUUCAUGUUUCUUUAUCUUCUUAAGGGAAUAAUCAUUUAAGUUCUUCUUAAUAUCAAAAAGAGUUGCCUCAUUCACUUCUUCAUCUUCUGACUUUUCAAUUAGAGUAAACAAUGAGUCAUAGGUAGUUUUACUUCCUUCCACUACUAACAUAGAAGAAUUUUCAGGGUUUUUGAAUUCGUCGAAUUCACUAGAAGUACCUUCCCUGACUGCUAAAGCAAUUUUCACUACAUAGUCAACUGCAACCUUUCUUUUUGACUUCUCUAAGACUCGGUCCUUUUUAUUUCCUUUGUAUCCAGCUGACUUUAGAUACUCUUGAUAGUCCAUUGUGUGUAGUGGUAAAUCUUUGAUGAAAUGCCUAGGUUGCCCACACUUGUGAUAGACUUCAACAGUACACCCCUUUCUAUUGCUACUUCUAUUUCUUUGAAACUGGCCACUUUUCUUCAUAGUCCUAACAAUCCACUUAGACAGGUAAGGGACAUCAAUAUCCUCAUCACUUGACUCAGACUUUGAGUCGUUCAAUGCUAGAGAAUUUUCUUUUUUAGUUUUUUUUACCUUAUUGUUCCUUUAGUUCAUGAGUCUUUGAAUUUCCAAUUAGUUCAAGCAUGGCAAGAGUUUAAAAAUUUCUAGCCUCAGUAACAGCGUAAUAAACCAGGUUUUCACCUCUAAAAAAAAUCUUGACUUUUUCUUCACUGCCCAUGCAAUGACUCAUGUGAAGAGUCAUUAUCACUCGCCACGAGUCCUAUUAUCAUGAACUGAAGCAGCGCCUGGCUGUGAUGGGUAUCUCAAGUCCGACGUGGAUUGGAGAUCACCCCUAUACCUAACAAAGACAAACACAACAUUACCCAAUGUUGUAUUAAAUGCGAACGUAUAACAAGAUAGCAUGCAACAAGCUCGAAGAAAAUAAAAAUAAUUCUAUAAUCGAUGACUGAUGACUUGCCAAACAACCAAAUAACUGAACAAUACCAUGCAAUAUCCAAAGUAAUCAAAAAAGCCUUCUAAAUAAUGAACCAAAAAAAUCUUAGUCGGGACAUGUCCCCAACUUUAAAAGAUAACAAUGAGAAUGAAAAUGAUAAUGUUCAUACUAAUGAGAGUAACUAUCAACUCAAAUAGAAAAAUGAAACUGGUGAAAUCCCUAAGCCUUUUGGGGAAUGGAAGCUCACCACUUUACCACAAUACUAUGAACCAGCAGACCGAACCGAUCAACUAACUCUGUGCUAGAAAAAUAGAAAAAGCUCUGGUGCCUGGAUCGCAUAGGGAUACAAUGUUUGAAGAUGGUUAGUGGGGUGAACACAAGAAUAUAACUCAGGGAUAAAGAUAAUAUAAUGCUAUGUUCAAUAGUUCAAAAAUCAUUCAAAACCAACACAUAUAAUCAAAUGCAUCUACAUGUAGAUAUAUCACAUACCGGGAUAGGGAAUAAGGAUCAACAUACGCUUUAAAACUUUAGCCUAGGUUGUGUAGCUUAACCAUCAUAACAUGUACCCAUGAGCUAUAUGGUCCACAAAUUUCACCCCCAGGUCAGGCCCUAGUGCAUGUAGCCGCAAGAAUCGGAGAAUAAUAAUAUAUGUAUAACAGACUCUAACCUUCCAAUCAUAUACUAAGGUGACCUAAGCACUCAAAUAAUCUCAUGUAUAUGCAUAGGGAACUCAUGAUUUAAAGUUGGCCAGUGUGGUUUUUGCGCUGAAGAUUUGGUGCCAUUAUUUAUAUGAGGUUUACAUGGAUAUUCAUUUAGAUCAUAAGAGCUUGCAGUAUGUGUUUACAUGGAAGGUUCAGAAUCUUAAACAAAGGCGGUGGCUUGAGUUUCUAAAGUAUUAUGAUAUGCAUCUUUGUUACCAUCCAAGUAAACUUAAUGUUGUUACUUAUUCUCUUAGAAGGUUAUACAUAGAGAGCUUCUCUUAUGUUGAGGAUAAGAAACUAGGAUUGGUGAAGAAAUUCUCCUGUUGACUAAUUUGUGAGUUUAUCUUUUGGACUUUAAGGAUAGAGGGGUUAUUAUUAAAGAGGCGGUUAAAUUAUCUCUAGGUGUGGAGGUGAAAGAAAAGUAGGAUUUUAAUCCUUUACUUAUGUAUAUUAAGGAUUAUGUGAGAUAGAAAAAGAUUAUGUACUUUAGGAUUGGAGGUGAUGGUAUCUUAAGAUACCGAGAUAGAUGGUAUUUUCCUGACAUUGAUGGGCUAUGGAAAAGGAUUUUUACUAAGGCUUAUGAGUCUAGAUAUAUUGUUCACUCAAGUUUGACAAAGACGAACCAUGAAUUAAAGGAAAUUUAUUAGUAGAAUAAUAUGAAAAGGAUAUGGUUAAUUUUAUGGAUAAAUAUAUGGUCUAUCAGCAAGUGAAGGUUGAACACUUGAGGACUGGUGGUAUGUCUCAAGAGAUAGAGUUGCCCAUGUUGAUGUGGGAGGUGAUAAAUAUGGAUUUUAUUAUGGGUCGUCUACGGUGUCGCAGAGAGUAUGAUUAGAUUUGGAUAAUUAUUGAGAGAAUGACUAAGUCUACUCAUUUUUUGUCAGUGAGGACUACAUAUUCUAGAGAUGAUUAUGCUAAGUUACUUAUUGAGGGGAUAGUUCGACUACAUAAAGUGUCGGUGUCUAUAAUUUUGUAAUGAGGUAGGUAAUUUUCUUAUUACUUUUGGCGUUCAUUUAUGAAGGGUUUGGGGACUAAGGUAAACCUUAGUACCUAUUUUCACCAUUAAACGGAUGGACAAUUAGAAUAGACUAUUAAGAAUUUUAAAGAUACAAAGGGAUUGUGUGAUUAACUUAAGGAAAGCUGGGUAGAUCACUUACCUCCUAUCGGGUUCACAUAUUACAAUAGUUACAAUUCAAGUAUUCAGAUGGCUCCUUUUGAGGUUUCAUAUAGUAGGAGGUGUAGGUAUCCUAUUAGGUGGUUCGAGGUUGGUGAGACUAUAUUGUUUUGUAUUAACUUGGUUCAUCAGGCCAUGGAGAAGGUGAAGAUAAUUAUAGAAAAACUUAAGACUUCCCAAAGUCGCCAAAUGUCUUAUGUGAAUAUAAGGAGAAAAGAGUAGAUGGAAACUUCCACAUAACCUUAGAUACUUUCAAUUAUGUAUGAUAUUCCAUUAGUUUCUUCAUUGAAUCUGUCUAGUUUCUGGAACAUUGUAUCUUAGGUUUUCUCACCUUUAUCAGCAUAUACAUGUUCAUUGUCUUAUUUUUAAUUAUCCUUUGACUAGAUGCAUUCCUUUCUUCAUGCUUUCUGCGCUAUUUCUUCUUCACCAUAAUUACCAUAAUAUAAAACUUAGACUAACUCUAUAAUAAGGCUUCACAUUCUUAUUGACUUCUGCUCCCAACCAACAUUAUGACCUCUUUGAGAUGUAAUCCUACUAUAUUAAAACAUAAUAUAGAGCAAAAUCAGACCAAAUUCGAUUAGCAGUAUGAGAUUUCAGAAGCACAUGUGCUAGUGUCUCUUGAUUAGGACUUUCACAACACAAACAUCUAGAGGGGCAGUAAACACCCCAUUUGUUAAUUUGGUCAUGCAUAGGAACUUUGAAUUUUCAUACCCUCUACAUAAUAAAAAGUCAUCUUAAAUGGCAUACCCUUUUUCCAUAUCCACUUGCAUAUUUUGAAGGGAUUUUCUUUGUAUCUAAUGUAUUGCCAUGCUGGUUAAUUGUGAAAGUUCCUUUACUAUUGAGAAUCCACUAGUGUUUAUCUUUUUCUUCAUAGUUUCAUAGAAAUUUAACAUUGUGUAUGAUAUGCUCUGCUAAUUCCAUUAGAAGGAUUUUCUUCAUUAACUCUGUAUCCCAUUCCCUAUGCUUUUGUUAACUUCGAGACUGUGCAAUAGGAGUCAUCUUAUGUAAUCCUCUCUUUAAAAUGUGUAUAAUUCACCUAUCCAUAUCUAAUUAUCAUGCAGCAAUGAAGCUGACCCUCUUUUGGAAUACCAUAAUUUGGUAUUCUACUAAAUCUUUAACCUAUAGCAUUUUCUUCAAAACUUAUGAUCAAACAACUCUAAUUUUCCAUAUUACCAUAUUUAAAUUCAUUUAUUGCAAUAUUUUUUCUUUAUAUAUUUACUACACACUGAUGUCUUUGUCUGGAAUUUCCACCAUAACUUAAAAAAUAAAGCAUCUGAAAUAUCUGGCAGCAAUUUAAAGUCUAUUCCUCCCUACUCUUCUGGUAGGCAUAAAUGACUCUAUCUAGUCUAGUGCCUACCAUUUCCACCUAUGAAGCUACUCCAAAAGAACUGGGCCAUCAUCAGUUGAACAUGUAUUAGCACAUUGGUCGGAGGGUUAAUCACUAAUAAACCAUUAAUUGGAGAACCUUUCAUUAUAUAUUAAAUUAAUAUUUCUGUACCACCAUAUGAUAGUAAUUUUCCUUUACACAGCUACAACUUUAAUCUUAUUCUUUGUAUAUUCUUUUAAUUGUUAAACUUCAUCUUUCAUUAUAAAAAAAUAGAAAUCAAAUGAAAAUAAAAGGAAAUUUCUUUCUUAGGAUAUCUAUAUAUUUUUUUCCACUACUGACUCACGAUCCAUUGAUACUGUGAAGCAUAUAAAGUGCACUCUUAUCUUUAUUGACCUUCUUCCCUGAUACUUCUUCAUACUUAUUCAAUGUCUCUGACACCAAUUGCAUUAUUCUUACUUAUGUUUGUAUAGGAUAGUGAUGUCAUCUAAAAAUGUUAAGUUAUUUAACUUUAGUCUUCCUCUUUGAGUUCUAAACCUUUUAAACUUUUUCCUCUCCAUGAUGGUAUUCAGUGAUCUUGAAAAUACUUUAAUUGCCAAUAUGAAUAGAGUGGGAGAGAGUAAAUCACCCUGAUUAAUCCCUCUUGAUGAUUUAAGGAAAACUUUAGUUUAUACACUGAGAAGAAUUGAAUACCAAUUAUUAACCACUAAUCUAUGAACCAUAUCUAUGAUCAUUUCUCAAAAUUCCAUUCUUCUUAUCAUCUUUGUUAGAAAAAAGCCAUUCUACUAUAUCAUAGUAUUUCAGCAUACCCAGUUUAAUAUGUUAGAAGGUAUAUUUCUUUUUCGAAUCUCAGUAAUUAUUUCUUGCACAAAUAACAAAUUCUCUACUAUACUACUUCCUUCUACAAAUCUUUCUUUCUCAAGAGAGAUGAUCAUUAGCAAUAAAGUUUAAAUUCUUUCAUGAAUUAUUCUUAAGAAAAUUUUAUUUACAAAAUAUCUUAAUGAAAUGGGGCUCUGGUCUGAAAAGUUUGUUACUUUAAUUUUCUUAGGGAUUAACACUAUAUUAGUGUGAGUAACGAAUCAAGAUAAUUCUGCACUACAUUAAAAGCCUUUACCAUGUUGUGGAUGUCACCUCCUACUAUCUCCCAUGUAUCUUGAUAAAAUGCUCUGAUCAUACCAUUUUGACCUGCAACAAUAUCCCUUUGAGUGGUGGUAUGACCACACCACUAAAUUUGAGAACAUUUAGUGUCAUCACUACAUAACUAUAGAUAAAAAAAAUUAAAGAACAAGGGGUAAAGACAUAAUUGAGGUGCUAAAGGUAUCAUAUGUGGAAUCUGCUCCUAGUAUCUUAGAAGUCACCAUAUUCUCUAAUAUUGUGGCCUUGGCUAUGAUCUGGGCAUUAAAAUAAAUGUUGGUACUACUGGUGGCUGGUACAUUUAAGGAUGUAGAACUACUGGGAGAAUAUAUAAUUUCCUCACCACUCUUACAAACCACAAUAGUAUAAACUCUAUGUAAUUUAGAAACUCCAGAACCACCAGCUCCUUGCCCCAUCUCAUGAAUCUAAAAUAACUGAUACUCAAGGAGCUACUUUCUUUCACUAACAACUUUCUCUCUUUCUUUACUUAUUUCAUUAUUCUGGCUUAGUAUUAUUUGCAACACUAUUUUCUUUGCCUGUAUUACACCAUAUGUUAGGCACUCAAGAUCAUCAACCCCUCCUAAAUCUCAAACUAACUGGUAGGCUUAAAAGUUGGAAACUAUCUGAAAUACAAGUCCUCAAAUAUAGAACGAGGGUAAAAAGCUCCUAUCGGAUCUCGAUCAAGUUCGAGGACUUAAUACCUUAAGAUUAUGAUUUAACAUCUUUUCAAAACUAUCAAAAUAGGUAUACACCUUAGGUAUCUAAGUCUUAAUUUUACCAUUCACCCAUGAUAGGACAAAUUUUAAUCUUGUCAACCUUUCACAUCACUAUAGUUAACUAUUUCAAAACUUUUUAUAAGAAUUUAUGAUCGACUAGAACAUACCCACUGAAAUGUAGGUGAGGAAUUACUAAACCCAAAGUAGGGUAGGUGAAAUAAGGACUGAAGGUGGUUAUGAAGAGGAAUAAGUAGUAAAAUAAAUAGUCUCAUGAGUCUUAAGCCUCUAGAUCAUAAUUUGGGGAUCAAUAUGUGUAAACCCUGUAUCAACAAAUCUAAAUGUACCAAUCCUCUAUCUGUGCACCUAACUAAAAAGCUUCGGUUAAAAAUAUAACAUCUGCUAUAACUUUUUCCUUGGAAAUAGAAUGUGUUGGGUUUUUAAUUUUCCUAAAAUUAGUAGUGGGACAAGCAACAAUAAAGUGAUAUAUCUUAGGCAGCACAGAGAUACAAACCUCCAAACAUAUUUAAUUCACCAAACACAGAAAUGAGGAGCUUAUCUUACCCUUAGUAGAUCUAUCUCAGAUCACUCAUGAAUAAACAUAACAAUAUUGAUCUUGUACCCUUCCAAGAUGCCUUCAAAAAAAAUUUCUCAGUUAAGUGAUAUGGGCCCCAACUAGUGACAAAUUACCUUUGAGUAAUAUUUGGUAGUAAGGUUAAACGAAUCCUUAUUAAUUUGCAACUCUUGACAAGUUACCCAUUCAAAUUCUUCCUUUGAAGCUACAAUAAUAUUUUUCAUCCACUAAAAAAGUACAUUUUUUCAUCAGAACUAAUUUUGUUCAAUUUUACCUUCAUUAUUUUAUCAAAUAGAUAAUCUAUCUCUAUGGUAUUAGUCGGAGACUCAAAGUACUGACCAUGAAGUUAGCAUUAAAUAAUAUGUUCCAAGAUAUUGACCUGAACACCUUGAAUAAAAAUAGUUGUUAGUGGAGGCCGCACAUUCCAUAACAAACACUACAAAGCCAUAACCUUUUGGGUGGCCUAAUAAGCUACAUAGAAUGCACGAACAAGAGAUAGGUUUAUAUCUACCUAUUUACACAAUCAUUUACCUAAAUUUAUACAUGUUAAGCAAUUUUUUAUACAAGGGCAUCUCAAACAUACUCAUAGUAAUCAAUCUCGGCAUCUCAUAGAAACCCAUCUUUGUUUGACCCAUGGUUUUCCUAAUUGGUAAUAUUACCCAAAUUACACCUCCAAAAAGUAUAAAGUGGUCUCUGAAUCAAAUUUAAAACCCAAUAAGGUUGAGGUCUAUGUCAUGAGGAAUAGGCUAAAAUUUUGUCAAGAAAUUUUUUGACGUAACUAAAAAUUUAGUAUAUAAAUGAGGAGUUUUGUAAGAUUAAAUUUUAAUAGUAAUAUUUUUUGGUUAAUUGGAUAGCGAUCAAUAUAGAUAAGAAUUAGUAUUCUGUUCCCUAUGAUUUCAUAACUCCAUAGUCUAUUCAUUAUAGAAGACAAUACAGAUGUGGAAUAGGCUAAAAUUUUGUCAAGAAAUUUUUUGACGUAACUACAAAUUUAGUAUAUAAAUGAGGAGUUUUGUAAGAUUAAAUUUUAAUAGUAAUAUUUUUUGGUUAAUUGGAUAGCGAUCAAUAUGAGAUAAGAAUUAGUAUUGUGUUCCCUAUGAUUUCAUAACUCCAUAGUCUAUUCAUUAUAAAAGACAAUACAGAUGCCUUGCAUCAUCAUCUAACAAGAUAUGUAUCAUUUAACUUGAAUGAAUUUAACUCAUAUCUCCACCUUGGUUGAAUGAAUUUGACUCAUCUCCUCUUUGAUUCAAAGUGAUGCAUUACUUACCCUUGUUCUGUUAUCUCAAAUUAACCAUCCCAGUUAAGGCUCAACUUAAUUAGAUGAAAGAUGAUAGCUUUAAUUGUUUUUUGUAAUCUUCUUUUCCCAAUAUUAACCUCUCUAUUGGAAAAUUCUGCAAUACAGGUAAGUUCCUAACAUUUUGAGCAAUUAUGAAAGAAAUAAAAUCAAAGGAAAUACCUAUACAGUCAAGAACACCAAUCUAGAAUUAAUAUGCACAUAACUUGUUUCCUUAAUCAAUAUGAUUCCCAGAAUCCUAGUUAUGGGUUUAGAUACUCAUGACCAUAAGCACACAAUAAGAAUUCAUAUAUGAAAUCAUAAUUUUUAACUUACAAGAAUAAGAAGAAACACUGGAAUCUCAAAUUGAAUAAAAAUCCUAAAACCAAUGUCAAUGAUUUCAAGAUCAAUAAUAUGUCUACUAACCUCAAAAUAAUGUAAAAGUAUGUAAAAUAAUCAUAAAAUAAAAUGGGAAUAUUUGUAUAUACAAAACAAAUCAUAUCUUAAACUUUGUGGAAGAAUAAGGCUGACAACUUUCUACAACUCAUGGAAUUAUGUCAUGGAUCAAAUGCAUAAGCUGUCAGUCUCUCUUGUGGAAACUACACUAUAGAUCAAUCUUCAGAACAAUAGUCAUGGCUUUUAUUCACAAGUUGUGGGUUUGAGUAACAGGUCAUAUGUCAAUCCAUGGAAAUUAAACUUCGCCUUUAGCUACAGAACUUAACUCAUGAGUCUCAUCCAUAGAUCGUGGUCCCAUCUACAUACAGGGAUCACACUCGUGACUCUUCAACUUUUCACUCACUUAAUAGAUUUAUUCUUUUUUAUCAACAUUUCCUUUGAAAGUUGUUUUCCUUUACAAUCAACACAAAAACAUAUCAUACCGAACAAAUCAUCUAUGUUCUUGCAUAAUUUCAUUUUUUAAGUAUCAGAAGUCUCAUAAAAUCUUGGCACAUGAACGCCCUCAACAUUGAACGUAUACAUAUCUUCAAGGAAAUAAAAUACAAUAAACAACCACAAUGCUUAGCUAAGAGAAACCUAUGGUACCUACGACAGUCAAUUUGUUCAAUUCAACAAAAAAAUCAAAUCCACUCCAAUGCACAACUUUUAAAACCACCGUGUGAAAUUAUGACACACAAUUUUAUGACACAAAAGUAUCAAGUAAUUGUAUUGGAUUGCUAACAAACUGAUGUGCUAUGGUUUCAUAGUACUUUUGAUGCUUAAACAGAUAAAAAUAUGCUAGUUACUUUGGUCUUUUUAUAAUAUAUGAUUUGUUUUGUGCUAUAUUUCAUAGAAAUUAGGUUUUGGAGAUAAAAAGGAGAAAAAAUUAAAAAUUGACGAUUUUGAGACACCUAUGUGGGUACCUAUGCCCCAUAGGUACUACCUACAUAGAGUAGAUGUCAGACUAUGUGCCAAAAAUUUAAAGUUCAGAGAUUCUGAAACUGAAGAUUUUGGUCUCUAAGCUAUAGAGGACUACGUAUAAGCCUUAGGCAGUACCGAUGAUCUAUAGGUUUUAGAAAGUAGGAAGUUUAGAGAGUUAAUUUAGAUUUCGGACACUGGAACCUACGAUGGGCCCACCUAAACCUUCUAGGUACCACCUAUACCUUGUAGGUGCUACCUAUGCCCUGUAGGUACCACCAAAACCCUGUAGGUUCCACCUAAACUUUAUAGGUUGUCCCGUAGGUGGCCACCGGAUUUGGUUUUUCCCUUUCUUUCGGAUGUGUUUCCUAGGGUUUCCUCCUAUUCUAUUAAUAACCCUUUUACAUUUGUUAGUUAGUUUUAAACACUCUUAUUACUUACAAACAUAAAUUGAUUCAAAGUUUCAAUUUUGAUCUUAGGAUUGCUUUAUUCUUAAUUUUUUUUUUGAAGAAUUAACCUGAGGCAUUUGGUUUUAUUAGUUAAUUAUUAUGAUUUUUAUAUAAUGCUUUCAAAUAUUAAUUCUAUUUUUUGUCACACAACAAUGAGCAACUUAUUUCCUUAGCUAGGGUUUUAGAAACCCUAUGAAAUUAAUGAAGUAGGCAAAGUGUUCAAUCCUUCUAGAUUAUUGUUGUUGCAUGUAUUGUUGUUUACUUCACUCUUAUUUAUUUCUUAAUGGUAGUAAAUAUUAGGACACCGCCUAUAUUAACUUUGAUCCUGAGAGGGAGGUAGAGAUUAGAAAAGGGAGAUCGUAAUACUGAUUUAAAGUUAAUUGUUAAAAUAACCUAAUCAUCACUAUCUACCUAAGAUAAUUAUCUUCAUCUAAUUAACUUAAGACCACGAGCAGAUAGUUGAAAUUGGGUUACAUGGUAAGGGUUAGUAAGAUGACACUGUUAGACCGAGAGGAGAUAAGUAAGAUUCCCCAAAGUGUGUUAAGAGGAUUUUAGUGGUACAUAACAUGCCUGAUCCUACAUAUUGUAGUUUGGUAGUUGGAUUAAGCAUGAUAAAUCUACGGAGUUGAGAAGCCAGUGGGAACACAUUCCUUGUUUCAGAUUGAUUACAUCCUAUUUCUUUUCAUAGUUUACAAAUGCAAUCCCCCUAUUUACUUUCUUGUACUGUCCAUUGAUUUUAGCAAGUUUGAAAUAUAGUUCACAUAUUUUGUAUGGGUUCAACCCCGCCAUGAUUUGGGUUAUUAGAUUCUACAUUGACAGUUUUAUCUUCAAUCUAAGGUGUAGCUUUCUGAGUUAUCAAAAUUUCAGCACUAUUGAUGGGGAAUAUGGUAUGAUUAUUUAUUAAAGUUGUUAAAGUUCAUGGAUUUUCAAUUUCUAAUUUUAGUAUGGUGUACACGGUGAAUGCCUAACAUAAGAGUAGAGGUAAUCCCAUACUCCCAGUAAAGACUGAACCAUAGAGAAUCUUAUAGCCAACUAGUAGGAUGACUAAACACAUAUGAGAAGGCCAUCUUGAAUAGGUUUGGGAUAACCCAAAUACUGAAACUCCCCAUCUUCCUGGACAUCUUCACGAUAUUAUUAAUAAAAGAAUAAUGUAUUAAUUAUCAAAAGAUGCUAGCCAAAGGGGGGAAGCAUAUUUCAAUAUAUAUCUCAUGAGGCAAAGCUAGCAAGGUAGAUCGUUGAGCAGUUAUUGAUAGAAAUUGAGAUAGAGUUCUAGGAGGUAGAGCUCAAGUACUUAAAGAUUAUAAGUACUUUCCACUAUAUGAUGAUCCAAAAGAGGAUCUGGGAUACGUUGAGCCUACUGACAUAUGAGUUAUCCUUCAUAGUAUAUGAAGGUAGAAGAGGAUGAUAAGGAAGAGGUAGAGUUAGAUCCACUAGUAAAGGACCUCAGUCUGAAAAGGGGCCUCAAGAUGAGUCUACAGCAACAACAUUUGAGCCAUUAGUUAAAGUACCCAAAUUUGAGAAGGCUACAACCUGUACACCUAAUUAGGUGUCUACACAAGACUCACAUCCACCUAUUCAAACUGUCUAGACUUAAGACCCUACUCAUAUCUUAGUUGAGCCUAUUACUGAGAUAAACCUGAGUUACUGUGUAAAUGGGUGGUAGACAAUUUAUGAGAAAGACAUCUUUGUGACUUGGGUAGGCCAACCCAAGAGGGCUAUUAUGGAGGAGAGAUGUAUUAAGUUAUCUAGUUUAGCUGAAGCACCACUUUUAUGAGUUGUAGUUAUCUAGUUUAGCUAGAGCACCACUUUUGCGAGAUACAACUGAUCGAUAUCAGUUAGGGUAGAUAAUUAGACCCCAAGGCAUUGGUAUAAGAUUUAUAUGGAUCCUUCUUGAUAUAUUAUCUUUAACCACACUUAGAGGUGGUAGGCAUGCAGAGUAGCCCCAAUUAGAGCAGAGACUGGUGAGAGGUGUCAUUGUUUAUAAUUUAGUGGCGGUUAUCCAUUGAACUCUCUUUGGCCUGAUUAUACAGUUUCGGUAUCUAAUGCGAAGUGUGAUUUUUCCUUCAUAUUUGUGUGAGAUAGAUACACUAUGAGGGAUACUGAGCAUAGAAAAUAGAGGGUAGAGUUGUUGAGAUGGAUUACCAUUAUAUUUCAGACCUUGGUGAGGAUGCCCCCUAGAUUGAGGUAAAGGGGUAUAUCAAAAAGGCAACUUUGAAUUUUUCCAAUAAGUUUUGGUGGAUGGUUGUUUGUUAUUGAUUAUGUCAAAUUAUUGUGAACAUCUUGCUCACAUAGGAUGGUGCUUUAUGAAUCAUAAGUCUUAUGGCUGGAUAUGAUGUAGACUUUGCAACCAUUGUCAGGUAUGAGCUACAUCAAUAAAAUUUUUGUUAGUUGACUACAUUAGCAUUUCUUUUCCUUGUCCAGUAGUUGUGCUGGUGUACCUGAGGUUCUAGGUAUUGACCUAAGAAUAGAUGCUAUGGGUGUUGCGUAGAUAAGUUGGAUUAAGGAUCCAAAAACCUCGAUCCUUGCUCAAAGGACGUAUAAACCUCAGAUAGAGAUUUUGAUCUAAUCUAAGGGCCUAUUAGUUUUUUAGAGCCUAGUGAUAGAAAAUAUGUUAAUGCAGAUACGAGUAAGGAUUUCAAGAUAGGUAAGCAGAGAGUGGCACCUGAGAUAAGAACUCAAGGAGAGGGGACCCCAAAAAUAUCUACUUAAGACCUGACCUCUACUUUUGAGCUAGUUGGGGUACCUUCUAGGACUUUGCAUCCCACUGCCACUUUUACAGCUCCAGGCUUUGUUGUGGUAGCUCAAGACUUCUUGCAUAACCUAGUAGAAAGGAAACAUAAAACCACAACCUAGUUCACUGAGGCAGAGUUUGAGAUUGCCAAAUUAUUAAGCUUUCUGUCCUUGGGUUUGGAUGACUUUAAAGAUUCUUAAGACUUAGAUGAGGGCUGAUAUGGUAGAUAUGUGUAAUAGCCCGACCAUUUUAUAAGCCUAAAUACAUCUUUUGAGUGAAUGGGAAAGACUUCAAAAGUGAAUAAUGUUUAAACUGUGCUGCAUUUCCCUGAUUUCUACUUUCUAUCAUGUUGAUAUUUGAAUAACAUUUUCAUUGAUACCAAUUUCAUCAAAAUCAGAGAUCCAAGAAAGAAGUUAUGACUAUCUAUAUCAGAGUCGUGAAACAUCAUUAUUUAGACGAUCAGUGCAUCGCGGAGUUGAGUAAUAUCCCAAUUGUCACUUUGCAAUGAUCCUCUAUGAUAUUACCACAUCACACCAAGGCCCAAUAUCAGGACUGUCAAAUUCUAAUGCACCAAUGUGAUUCCACUGCGUCGAGGUGCCCUUCUAGGUCAUAACAAAGGUGGCAACGUAAUUUCACUGCAUCGUGCCACUGAGCAGUUUCCUAGUUGUCGAAAAUCCAAUGAAGGACCCUAAUAAUGGCGCAUUAUGCUAGGGCCAAAAAUUAGGCUGCAAUUUUAGAAUUUUCUCAAGGGCAUUUUGGUCUUUCCACCCAGUUUGGACCUCUAUAUAUAGAUUCAAGUAGAGAAGUAAAAUCUAUUCUUCUUCAUUUCUCUUCCAAGAAAUAUCUAAAACUAGGGUUUCUCUCUUCUAAAUCCAAAUCAAAUCUUAUCCAAGAAAUUCAAGAAUUUUUCCAUAGAUUUCACCAAGUUGUUCCAGAAUCAAGUUCUCUAAGUCAAAGGCAUCAAGAAACUUAGAUCAAAACUAUGAAGAAGAGUUUCCAAUCAAGUCUUUUCAUCUUAAAGUUAUAAUCCAAGGCAUGUGGGGUUUUCAACAAGAGCAAUUCUUUCAUUUUUGUGUCCAAAGCUUUGAUUUCUAUCAUGGAUUUAUAUGAUUUUGUUAGUGGGUUUAUACCUAAAUUACUUCAUCAUGAGAUUAUGAGAAUAUACAUUUUUCAAGCUUUAUUAUACAUGAUUAUUUUGCUACUCCCCAGUUAUGACUUGAUAUUAAAUAUUACGAAUUUCAUAUUUCUACCAUGAGUUGAUAUUUCAAGUUCUUUCAAGAUAUGUGUCAAGCUUUAAGCUUCUUUAUGAAAACUGGAUUAUUAAGUAUAUUGAUUCAUGAGAUUGAGUUGUUACAAUGAGUCUUGAUAUUAACUUAAAGUUAUUGAUGUUGUCAUGAUUUAUGAAUUGAGAUAUUUUUAUAUUGAGAAAGAAUGAUUUGAUUUAAGUUGAGUUAGGAAUCCAUAAAUUGAUUAUGGUUUGAUAAAUGAGAAAGAGAUUUGAUUUGGUCUUCAUGAUAAACCCUUGAGAUGUUUUUGGUGGAUUUUCUAAUGUGUUCUAAGCUUGUGUCUGGGAGUAGUAUUUAGCACCGAGCGGGAAAUAUGGUAUUUCCCCGAAACUACGUGCCACCAUAGGAUUAAUAUUGAUAAUUGUGGGCCAAAGGCCGAGUAUGAGAUUGUGAUCACUAAAUUGAGGUUAUACUCCCUGGCAAGAGUACGAUGCUCCUGCCAAUGUGGGGUUCUCUCCUUAGGAGGAAAAAAUGUUGGACUCUAUGUAGCUCACAUGGUUUAUGUUGAUUAUAAGAAACUCCCAUGUCCAUAAAAGUUGAGUUUCUUGGAUUACCGAGUCACUCCAAGUCUUGAGUUGAAGAGUUGAGUUGUUUAUGAUGAUUUAUGAGGUUUUUAUCAUAUGAUUUAUUUACUAUGAGAUCAUGAAAAGUAUGUUUCAAUCUAACUCAAACCAAGUGAUCCAUCAUUGUACAUAUUCUUAUUUUUGUGAAAUUGAUAAUUAUAUUUAUAUUGUUGAAUGCACCGCCACAUUCUUAGUACAUUCCAAAGUGCUAACCCAAAUCUUUUCUUAUGGGCUAUAUUUUCUCGUAAUGUAGGUUCAGGUACACAGCCGCAGCCAUGUUAGCGAUAUUUGAGUACCUCAACUACGUUCCCUCAGUGGUGAGUCCUCAUGGUUUGAGGACCGUAUCUAUAUUUUUGGUGAUAUCAUUCUAUUAUUAUGGCUUUCAGUACUGUUUGAGUCUGUUGGGGGUUUGUCUCAAUGGCUAUUUAGUCUUGAUUAGUAGAGGCUUUGAUAAACUAGAGUAUCAGUAUAUACAGAAUGUCAGUAUUUUGAUUGUACAGGACAAUAUAUCUUUGCUUUUGAGUAUGUCCAUAUUAUUAUAUCCUUCCUUAUUUUUCCAUGAGAACUGUCAAAGUGAGUUAAAAAAGGGAUAACAGGCUUAGAGGGUUAGCUUGAGGCCACGUGUGUCCUUAAGUACCGUGUGACAUCGCGGG
rnacentral:lncRNA from 1 species